rnacentral:lncRNA from 1 species
AAACUGGACUGACUAUGCUACUUCAUGCCAACCUACCUCUUUUUCUAUGCGUAGAGGCCUUCUUAACUGCUGUGUUCCUCAUUAAUAGGCUGCCUUCCUCAGUAUUGAAAAUGACUCCAUUUGUCAAAUUAUAUAGUGCACAACCUGACUAUAACAGCUUGAAGGUGUUUGGAUGUAGAUGUUUUUCGUACAUUAAGGGUGAUACCAAGUUUAGCCCAAAGUCUUAUCCAUGUGUUUUCACAGGAUAUAGCAGUAAAGGAUAUAUAUGCUAUCAUUCUCCAACAAGGAGAGUCUAUGUGUCAAGGCAUGUCAUUUUUUACGAGUGUACAUUACCUUAUGUACAACCAAUACAGUCUCAAGCUAAAGCUAAUGUCUCACUUCACCUAGCUACCUUUGUUGAGUUUUUUACUAAUUUGCAGGCACAUGAUUCUGUUAAAGUUACUCCAGGGGAAGUGCUGCUGGUUGUGGUGAAUCAAGCGACUCAACUAACUGUUGAGGAUCAGGCUACUCAUGUAGUUGAUCAACUAGCACCUGUUGAGCUUAUAUUGCCAACUGUUGAUAACCAAAUAACACUGGCUGAACCUGUUUUAGCCACUCUUGUUAAUGAUGACAGGGAUUCUAGUUCCAUAUUUGAAAAUGAGUCUUCUGAAAUGCUUGACAUCUCAAAUGCUGAAGCAAUAGGAGAUGCUACUGAUCCACCUAGCAUACCACAACCCUCAUCACUCUCAGUGUCUAAUCCACAAGAUGAUAGUGCAGGUGCAACACUCGUAGAAGAUAGUGCAGCUCAGAUAUCACUAGAACCACAAAGGCAUCAUAUGAUCACCAGAUAUAAGGCAAAAUCAGCUGCUUUACCUUAUGUGUCUCUUGUUGCAAGCAAAGAACAAAUCAUGAGGGAACCAAAAUAAAGAAAUGAAGCACUGAAGUCACCACAUUGGUUUGCAGCUAUGCUGGAUGAGAUAAAUGCUCUACACAAUAACAAAACCUGGAUACUAGUACCUAAACAUGCAGGUAUGAACUUGGUUGGCUCCAAAUGGGUGUUUAAGACUAAACUGUCGGCAAAUGGAGCAAUCGACAGGUACAAAGCAAGGCUUGUUGCUAGGGGUUUCCCUCAACAUGAAGGAAUAGACUUUGAAGAAACAUUCAGUCCGAUGGUUAAAGGCUACAACAAUUAGAGUGGUUUUGUCUGUAGCUGUUUUACUUCAAAAUGGCAUGCCAGACAACUUGAUGUCAAAAAUGCAUUUCUACAUGGCCACUUGCAGGAUGAAGUAUACAUGAGUCAACCUCCAGGAUUCAUUGACCCCAGGUAUCCAACUCAUGUCUCUUUGUUAAAGAAGGCAUUUGUAUGGUGCUAAAUAGGACCCUAGAGCAUGGUUUGACAGAUUCAGUAUGUAUUUGCUUCACCUUGGUUUCACUUGUAGCAAGGCAGAUCUCUUUGUUUACUUUACAUGAUAACAGAGGGACUCUUAUUAUUACUAUAUGUGGAUGAUAUAAUUAUCACAGGAAGUAAUCGAAAGCAUGUCUCAGAGGUGGUUGCUAAACUUGGGAGAGAAUUUUCUAUGAAAGAUCUUGGUCCUUUACAUUUCUUUCUAGGAAUUAAGGUCAAGUACUUCCUAGGUGGACUACACUUGAGUCAAGGGAAGUAUGCUGCUGAGUUGCUUAAUAAGACUGAUAUGAUACGGGCAAAAGCAAUAAAUACACCUCUUGCACAGAAACAUAGCUCUCAUGAAGCUGUUGGAAGCCCUGUUGAUGCAUCUUUGUAUAGAAGGAUUAUGGGAAGUCUUCCGUAGUUGACACUCACAAGGCCUGACAUCACUCAUUCAGUAAAUCUAGCUAGUCAAUGCAUACAGAGUCCAAAUAGUUAACUGAUGCGCCCAAAUUACACCUCUCUUACGAGAGAGUAAGUGGUCGCUGUCAAAUAUAGAACCCCACUUGGUUGGGUGUCGAAUCCCACAGGGAAUACAGUGUUCACUAAGUAUUGUGAUUGUUAUUAGACUGUUGAUCUAAGGUUUCGAAAUAAAGGGGGUUUGGAAGUGUUAACGGUAUUCUUUUGUAUUUGUGUUAAAAGUCCAGAUACUGAGAAUAAAUGUAGAUGUAAUUUCAAUGAAAAUGAAUUAACUAGAGUUAUGCUCACCAAGAUGUUCAAACAAUUAUGGUUGCGAGUUUGUGUUCGAAAUCUAACUUAUGUAUUCAAUUGCAAGAAUUAUUGAAUUCUAAGGAUUACCCAUAUGUUUCUCAACCUAAUGAGUAUUUCACCCUUUACUUCUCUCGAACUUAAAGGAUUCAUGCAUUAUUCAAUAACACUCUCAUGAGGGUGAUCCUGUUAAGGCAUCAACCCGUUAACCCAAAGCGUAAACCUAUGGAGUUCAUGUGAAUCACUUCUUUUCCCAACAUCCACUUUCUUGUCAGACAAGUGGAGUUUAUGGGCUCACUUCUCAAGUUUGCAACCAAGAGAUAUCAUUAAGAUGAAGAAAGAUUCAUGCAAUUUCGAUAGAUGUUAGAAAUCAAACACAUUCACAACCCCAAAAUAGUUCUCUGCAUCAAGGCUCCCAUAACCCUAGUUAUGGGAGUUUAGCUACUCAUCUCCAUAUAAGAAAUCAAAGUUAUAUUGAUGUUCAUAAAUAGCUUCAGAAAAGUACUUACAAAAGUCACAAUAUUGUUCUUCACAAUCUUUGAUGGAAAAUAUGAAAACUAAUAAUCAACUCUCAAUCUCUCGAUUCAAAUCCUAAUGAAAGGUAAUACAAAGUUCUCAAUAGAGGAGAAACUAUGAAACCGAAGACAAAGGAUCAGAUCGGAAUAAACCCUAAUACUCGGUAUUUAUAUGAUUCCAGCACUGGGGUUUUAAAAUUCAAACUCAGAUUCUCCGCGUUUUGGUCGACCGGUCAAGCGACGGUUCGUCGCUGGGUGUCUAGUGACUCCAUGUUCUGCUUCUGGGCAACGGGUAGUGCGAUGACCCGUUGCAAGGUCGACGGUCUGUCGCCUGGACCGUUGCAGGACUUCUAGUGAUGAUGCAUUAUGUAUUAUGGCGACGGUUCACACCGACGGUUCAUUGCAGGGCCGACGGUCCGUCGCCUGGACGUCCAGAGUCUGUGCCUUCUGCUUUUUUUGUCGACUGUUUAGACCGACGGAUCGUCGCAAGGUCGACGGUCCGUCGCCUGAGUCGUCAAUGCUCAAUUUGCCUUUGUUUUGUGCAGAUUGUCCAAGUUAUCCUUCACACUUAGUCCUUAUCCUGAAAGCACUAAAAUGCCACACUCAGUCCUUAUCCUGAAAGCACUAAAAUACCAUGUUAAAUACAACCAUGGUUGCUUGAAAACACACAAUUAUCCUAAGGAAAAGGCCAAAAAUGUUCCGUCAAAACCCGGAACAUCAACAUCCUCAACUUAAGGCAAUUGCUUGUCCUCAAGCAACUCAACACCAGGAUACAUAUAUGAACAACAUCAUGAUGAGCAUUUCAUAGUAAAACCAACACAAUCAUACAAUCAUUCCACUACCCAUUUGGUUAUGCCAUCUCAACACACAUGGGUCCACUACUGGCAUUAACUACUAAUCAACACAUUCAUAGCUAUAGAUACAACACCUCAAAGAACUAAAUAGAACAGAUAUAACUCAACAUGCCCUCACAGCCAAAGAAGUCCACCUCACAUCACAGUUCAAUCGUGGACAAAACUAAGCUUCUCACUUUCAGAAAAGAAGUUGCCAACACAGUGUACACCUAUAAGCUUGCCCUUAUCAUCUAAUGUUCUCUUAUGAUUGGCUCGCUAAGAUAAGUAGGACUUGCUAAGAAAGUUAUUCAUUUGGGUAAGUGGCUUAAAAGUACAAGAAUUUCACUCUCUUUACCCUUUUUGGUAGCUACUUACCAGAAUUAAGGACCCUCUCUUUCAUUUGCAGUUAUUUAUCAGUGCUCUUGCCAUACCCAGACUCCCUCCCCUCCCCCUCCUUUUCUUAUUGAGAACACAACAUCAGCCACCCUCAACUUAUGCUGAUGCAGAAGAUUGAGGUGCACAAUAUCUAUUUAGAUUGCUAACUAGACCAGGGCCGGAUGCUACCUCUCAAAUUACUUUCAACUCAACCUCCUAGGCUGUUAACAAUCCAGCAGUAGCCACCCUCAACUUAGGCGAUUUACCUAAGUUAAAGUGCAUAAUGUCCAUAAUUGGACCAGGGCUAAAGCUAAAUGCUUAACACCUUCUAGAAAGUGAAUCAAACUUAUUUGGACAGAAAAAACACUACCAUAACUCAAAAGGGUUGACAAAGGGAACACAAUGUUUUUUGGUGGGUCAAUCAUUUCGCUAAGUGGACUAACAAUACAAGAAGGCCUACUAUCCUCUCUUAUUGAGUCAAAACACACGACAACAUUUGAUGAACCGGGCAAGUUCUAGGUGUAACACUUAUGUCAGAACUACACAAAUACUCACCCAUACAGGCACUGAGUUAACUUCUAUCCUACUAAUUUUCGGGAUCCAGAUCACAUAGCUAUGCUUUGCCUUAUUACUAACUUCUAAUGCCAUUAACAGAGUCACACAUGGUUGCACAACACUUUGCCACUUGGUAGGAGGAAUUAAUUAUACGAAAAAUGUAAAACACAAUUUUGCCACCAUCAGUUGUCAUCCUCAUAUGUACAACAAGGUGCCAACGGGAAUGGAACUUUUAUUUCAUGCAAUCAUAUUACCAACAAAACAUGAAAAUGAAAAUUCAACAAACAGAACAUGAAAAUGAAAAUUUAACACUUAGACAUGCUAAUAAUACGGCAACACAGCCCCCCCAACAAGCACAUCCCACCACCACAAAAAAAUGCUUUGUCCUCAAAUGCAUAAAAUUUUAAGUACAAAGGGGAAAAUACUUAUCGUGCCUCUUAUUCAAUCUGAAGCAUCAGUGAAGUGUGGGGUGGCGCCAGCGUCCUCACCAGGUGCAAUGUUGACUCCCAUGGUGGUGGGAGUACUCAAAAUCUCUCCCUCCAGAGUCGGAGGUAGCACAUCUCUGACAGGGUCUGAAAUUUGCCUCCUGACUGAGGCCGAACUAGUGAAUACUCCAGCUGCUUCAUCUUGAAGCCUUUUCUACUGCUUCUCUGCCUCUCUCCUUGAUUUUUUUACUGCCCGCCGCAUCUGGUAAUCUUCGAAUUGUUCAAGUGACAUGGCUGCUAGUCUUCGCUUCUUCUCUUUUUUCUUAGCAGCUUUCUCAGUCUUCUUGUCUGCUUCUGCCACUUUCUUAUCGGACACCCAAAUAAGUCAACAAGACCCUCGUCCUCAUCACUAGCAAUCUGGACUGGAUCAAAGAUGGUCUGCUGUGGCUGCUGAUUUAUCUUGUCUACAUCUGCCCGGAGCCGUCUAACCUCUUCUAUCACUUUAGCAAAAUCUGGGAUGGACAUUGUAUCCAACUUCUUGUUGAUUCGCUCCUUCAUUUUGUCCAUUCGCGGCUGGAUGUUUCUGAAAGGGUGCAAUGCUUUCCUCUACAAUCCGCUCAACAAAGGGUUUGAAAUCUUUCCCCCAUAUUGCCAUCUGCUUUUCAAUCUUUUUGAUAGCCCGUACAGUCUUUGCAAAGUUUUCAUGGUUCAGCCUGUACUCAGAAUAUUGGGGUGGGAUAGACGCAGAGUUUGGAAUCCCACCCGUAGGCAUCGAAUUUGAACCUGUAGACGUAGUAGGAGGCACAUACGUAGUAAGUGGCAAUGGCAUACAUGCAAAACCCUUUGACGAUUCAGGAACUGGCGCUGACUAAGUCUGAUGAGCUGGAGGUCUGCUGACUCUCAUAUCAAACCUCGAUUCAUCCCUCGUCUUUUCAAUGUCCUGUUUGUGCAGUGCUGGGACCUCAAUAUCAACCCCACUAAUCAAAGGAAUAUUUGCUUGCCUGCACAAGUCAGUGAUACGCCGUCUGAGUCUUGUGAGCACGGAAGAACAACUCAUCAGAGAUAAUGUGACCAAAAUCUACGGUCAACCCUUUAAUCAAGCAGCCACAACCACAGCUCUAGUAAGUUCCAAACGAUCAUCGCCUCUAGGGGGCAUGAGCCUCAGUCGCACAUCGCCCACCAAAACUUGGCUCUGAAGCUGAGGGAUUUCUUCGAUAUUCGUUCAUUGAGAUCGUGUAACCAUGUAGGCUCGCCCCCGUCUGUCAGGAUCCUCGCUAACCAGGGCCUUUGUGUAGCCCGUGUGAAUAAUCGAUGCUCCAACUCAGGAAUUGCCCCUGGUAUCUGGUAAUCGAGCCCAAAUAAGAACCUGUUCAAAGUCCGCUCUGAAAUGUCGAUGUCAACUCCACGGACAGGAACUAUCUCCAGCUUGUUCAUGUCGGCAACUGAUGCUCCUGCGAGACAGUCCUUUUUCAGCAAUGCCAAAUAGUUGGCAAAAAACUCGCGAACUAAGGUAGGUUGGUAGGAUCCAAGUGGCUUACUCAUCCAAGCCAACUCAUACUCAUUGAAUCGCCGCUCGAGUUCAGGAUACUCGUGCAGUUUGGUUGUUAUGAUCUGAUACUCAGAAAUUGCCUUUUUGAUUGGUAACCUAUCCGUUGGUGCCAACCCUUUGUAGAAGAUAUCUCGAGCACCCACCACUUGCCAUCUUAUGGCUUCCCGUACUUGAGGGUCCUUGCGUCGGAUUAAGUUAGGAUCCUCCUGUUGGGGAGCCUCCUCUUGAACGGGUUAGAAGUUUUCAAUCCCCACCUCAACUGGAAUCGAACUGGAGCUGCUGCUGCUACUGUCUUCAACCUCCUCCUCAGACGAGGAGGAUGAAGAAACCACUUGAUGACUUCGCCGAGUGUUAUGGGCUGGUGCGUCAGACCUGGUUGCUUGGCCUCUACCCUGGCCUCUGGUUUGUGGUAAUUUGGGAGCCAUGAUACCUUAGCGUUGCUGCACGUGAUUCUAACCUCGAAUUGCACUCAAAACACAUGAUGCAGUAUGACAAUUUACUUUUGUGGAGAACUUUUGUUGUUUGCAAGUGAGAGAACAAUGAGGGGAUGAAGUUUAAAUAGAAGAGGGAAAAGGGAAAUGGAAGGUCUUCAGAGAGAAUGAACGGUUACAGGUGCUUUGAAUAAUACGGGGGUUACUCAAUCGCUUCAAAUUAUCUAUUUAAAACCGUUUGGGUCGGAUAAGAAUGAAAGAGUUGCUAUUUAAAUCGAUCCGAUCCGACCCGCUGAAAUAGGGUUAAAUGCGAGGUUCGUUCGACGGUCCGUCGAAUAUGUGACGGUUCGUCGAUCGACCCGUCGUCCUAAUCUUGUGAACAUACCUUGUGACUCAUUAGUGACGAUUCGUUUGACGGUCCGUCGAACUUGCGACGGUCCGUCGAUUAAACCGUCGCUCCUUUUCCAGUUUCUUGGUUUCUGGACAUUGUCGCGACGAUAACCACGACAGUACGUCGAGCCCACGACGGUCUGUCAGGUGACCCGUCGGUCACCUGAAACUUCUUCUGUUUUUGUUUUCCCUGCUCUGUUAUACCUGCACAUUUCUUCCACACACCCUUCAACUUGCAUAAAUAAACAAAACAAACAGCAAUAACCUAAAUUAAUGGUACACAACAACACAAUGUGGGUUGCCUCCCACUAGCGCCUGAUUUAUCGUCGCAGCACGACUUAGUUAUCUCGAUUACUCAGACUUCAUCGAGAUAGAGAGUAGUAGCACUACUUUUUAUCGAGUCUUUUUGACUGAUAUAAAGUUUGACUCGUUGCCCGUUGACUUUGAAGACACUUCCAUCUUCAUUUUCAAGUUCAACUACUCCAAAUGAAUAAACUUGACUCACUUUAAACGGGCCUGACCACUUGGACUUAAGUUUACCUGGAAUAGUUUGAGUCUGGAGUUGAACAGAAGCACCAAGUCACCUUUUUGAAAAUCUCGUUUUUCAAUCCUCCGAUCAUGAUACUUCAUCUUUUCCUUGUAUAGGUCUGCCCUUUCAUAAGCCCCGAGAUGGAAUUCAUCCAUCUCAUUUAGUUGCUCCUGUCUUAGCUUUGCUGCCUCCUUCCAAUUCAGAUUUAAUCUUUUGAGUGCUCAUAAAAUCCUUGUGCUCCAGCUCUAUCAGUAAGUGACAUGCUUUGCCAUAGACUAACUAAUACGGUGACAUGCCGAUGGGUGUCUUGAAAGCAGUCCGAUACGCCCACAAGGCAUCAUCGAGCUUUCGAGACCAAUCUUGCCUACUAGCGUUCACCGUUUUGGUUAGGAUGGCUUUAAUCUCCCGAUUCGAAACCUCCAUUUGCCCACUAGUUUGUGGGUGAUAUGGAGUUGCUACUCUAUGCUGUUUUACCCCAUAUUUCGCCAAGGCAGCUCGAAACACCUUGUUGCAAAAAUGAGAUCCUCCAUCGCUUAUUAGUACGUGGUACUCCAAAGCGAGAGAAGAUGUUCUUUUUGAGAAAUGCAACAACUCUCUUUCCUUCAUUAUCAGCCAAGGCGACGACUUCAACCCAUUUCGAUACAUAAUCAGCAGCAACUAGAAUGAAUCUCCAACCACAGAAAAAUCAUCCAUGAACACCUCCAAGGUGUCCUCAACCAUAUCCGAGAAAAUAGACAUCAUAAACCUUUAGAAGGUAGCGGGUGCAUUACAUAACCCAAACGACAUCCGCUUGAAUGCAAACGUGCCAUACGGGCAUGUGAACGUCGUCUUCUCCUGAUCUUCAGGAGCAAUACACAGAUCUGAUUGUAGCCAGAAUAUCCAUCCAAAAAGCAAUACCACCCCCUUCCUGCCAAUCGAUCAAACAUUUGAUCCAUGAAGGGCAUUGGGAAGUGGUCCUUUAAAGUCAUGAGUUCAGUUUGCGGUAGUCCAUGCAAACUCUCCAAUCAGUCACACGCCUGAGAGGAAUCAACUCGUUCUUUUCAUUUGCGACAACAGUCAUGCCCUCUUUCUUGGGCACACAUUGAACUGGGCUUACCUAUUUACUGUCGGAAAUAGGAUAAACCACUCCUGCGUCUAGCCACUUAAUAAUUUCCUUCUUAACCACCUCUUGCAUUGGUAGGUUAAGUCGGCGUUGAUGCUCGAUGGUUGGAGUACAGUCUUCCUCAAGUUGUAUCUUAUGAGUGUAGAUGUCAGGGGGAAUGCCAAUAAUAUCAGCAAUAGUCUAGCCUAUUGCUUUUUUGUACUUUUGAAGCACCGAAAUAAGUGCUUCCACCUGCUGCGCGCUCAAAUCAGCUGCAAUAAUAACAGGUAGCGUGUUUCCAUUUCCCAGAAACAUGUACCUUAAAUGUCCGAGCAGCUCUUUCAAUUCCAACACCGGCGGCUCUUCAACGGAUGGCUUCGUCGGUGGUGUUGGUCGAUUCUUAAGAUCAAGAUCUAGCUUCUUAGGAGCAUAAGAGUAUGAUCCCAUUCCUGUCAAAGCACAAACAGUCUCUUCAUACUCCUUAAUGCCUUCACAAUCAAAAUUCAUAAGCACUGCAGCUAAAGGCUCGAUAGAAAACUUCUCCUCUAUUGGCACCUCCUGCUCAUUCUCAUAAUAUACAUCAACAAUUGAGAACACACUUAUUUCUUUAUGCUGCUUCAUUGAUUGACACACAUCAAAGUGCACCAAUUCAUCAUUCAUCCUAAAUCAGAGCUCAUUAGCUUGCAAAUCAAUCAGCACACUUCCGGUUGCGAGGAAAGGUCGACCCAAGAUUAUGGGCACCUUGAAGUCCACCUCGCAAUCCAGAAUUACGAAAUCUGCAGGAAAUAUAAAGCUAGCCACCUUCACCAGCACAUCAUACAAAAUACCAACAGGCCGUUUUACCGACCUAUCCACCAUCACAAGUCGCAUGUUGGUGGGUGUGAGAUCUCCCAAACCCAACUUUUUAUAAACAGCUAGCGGCAUCAGAUUAAUGCUCGCUCCCAGAUCACAUAAGGCCUUAGCAAAUUCCAGAGACCCAAUCGUACAAGGAAUAGUGAAUGCUCCUGGGUCUGCCUUCUUUUACACCAAGGACCUUGUGGAAAUAACACUACAAUGAUGGAGAUUAUCCACCGGUUCAUAACUCACCGCUAUUUUCUUCGUCACAAGAUCCUUCAUUAAUUUAGCAUAUGCGUUUGCUCAAGUGCCUCUACCAAAGGCACAUUUACUGUCAACUGCUUAAACAUUGCCAUGAAUUUACUAAACUUCGUGUCAUCAGCCUUCUUCUUCAAUCUCUGAGGGAAGGGAGGUGGUGGUUUUCGGAAAGUAUUCACCACUACUUUCUUUUCCUUCUCUUUCUCUUUUUCCAACUUAUCAACCUGCUGAUGAUUAGAAGGGGUAUCAAUGCCAUCUAGCUUUUCAGUCUCCAUUGGAUUACCUUCUUCAAGAUCAACAUUUUCAUUCAUAGCUUUGGCCAAAGAAGGGCCUGAUAAAAUCUUACCACUCCAUGUGGUAAUAGCCAUGCAUGACCCAUCAUUCCGAGGGUUCUGGAUUGUAUCACUUGGUAGUGUUCCCACUCUUCCUCUGAUUCAAUACUGUCGAAAGCUGGCUCAUUUGUUGCUCCAACUGCUUGAUAGAGGUACAGUGCGAGUUUACCGACUCAUAGAAGAUAAAUCGCUCUUAAUGGUAGUCACUCCAGAGUUGGUAGAUUCAACUCCCUUUAAUAAUUUCUCCAUCAUGUCCUCCAUGGACAUCUUACCAGAGCUAGUUGCAGCACUAUCUCUGCUUCCGGGCAGUACAUAUAGCCCACUCCUAUCAUUCUUACCUUUUCAAUUUCCUUGCUCCCUAUCCUUGUAACCAGCCUUGUCGUAGUAGUUCCGACCUUGAUUUUCUUGGCUAUUGCCUCGGAAACCCCCCUGAUUAUUCAAAUAGUUAGCCUUUUCUUUCGAAUCAGAAUCAUCUCUACCUUUGGCUACAACAACUUUCAUUUUUUCAGUCUUUGCAGAUAAUAAAUGCUUGGUCAACAGAUCCAUUUGCGUUUUCAAGUGUGCCAUUUCUUGAUCACGUUCUUUCUUUUUCUUACGUUGCUCCGCAGUCAUGCCAAUGGACUCAACAGGGCUUGCUACCACAGAAUCCUUGGUAUGCCAAGCUCUUCUUUGUUNNNNNNNNNNNNNNNNNNNNNNNNNNNNNNNNNNNNNNNNNNNNNNNNNNNNAUCCCCCUUUAACAUUAUCAACUACUGGCUUCGUAAUAGAGUUCAAACCCCGAUAAAGAGUCUCCAUCAGAUGAAUAUCUGUCAUAUUAUGGUUCGGACACUGCGUCAGCUUCUUUUUGAACCUCUCCCAUGUCUCAUGAAGGGCUUCGGCUGGAAACUGCCUAAAGUUGCUGAUCUUAUCCCUCAACUUACCCUUCUGGAAGACGGAAAAAACCUUUCUAGGAAAGCCUCUUUCAAUUGCCUCCAGUUGGUUAUAGAAUCGGGCGUUAGCUCAUUAAGCCACAAUGUUGCCUCCCCAAACAGAGACAACGGAAAUAAACGCAGGCGGAUAGCAUUCUGUCCCACUCUCGGGUUAUCAAAGGACUUGCAAAUAGUGACAAAAUUCACUAAAUGCAUAUUGGGAUCAUUUUACUGGUAAUAUUGAACUUUGCUCCUGGUGCUAGAGGUGGAGGAAUAGUAGCUCCAGUGGCACCAGCCCCGUCCAUUCCAUCUUCUUCAUCAUUAAGAUCAAAUUGAACAGCUUGACAAUUAGGUCUCGCCUUGAGAGGACGGUUUCUGUUCACAUUUCUGUUCACUGGUGCAGCUACAUUCUCUGCACGCCUUCGAUUAGCAGGAUCUAACAAGUCAUCAUCUCCCAAAUCAUCAUCACCAGGAUUAGGAUGCUGUGCGUGCUGACCAUCAUUCUGCUGAUUUAGUUGAGCUCUAGCCAACGCGGCUAGUCUCUCAACAUCUUGGAGUUCUGUCAUUCUGCCAAUAAGUUGCGGUUCCGGAUGUAUUGGUAAUAACGGUGCACUCGAUCUCCGUGUACUUGACAUACACAACAACUCCCCUGCACAAACAAAAACAACAAACACAACAACUCCCCUGCACAAACAAAAACAACAAACAAGAAGUAUAAUUUGGGAAACUUGAGCAAAGGUCAAUUAACAAACACAAACUCAAUUGACAAUCGUAAUCCCUGGCAACGGCGCCAAAAUUUGAUGCGCCCAAAUUACACCUCUCUUACGAGAGAGUAAGCGGUCGCUGUCAAAUAUAAAACCCAACGGGGUUGGGUGUCGAAUCCCACAGGGAAUACAGUGUUCACUAAGUAUUGUGAUUAUUAUUAGACUGUUGAUCUAAGGUUCCGAAACAAAGGGGGUUUGGAAGUGUUAACGGUAUUCUUUUGUAUUUGUGUUACACAAAAGUCCAGAUACUGAGAGAAAAUGUAGAUGUAAUUUCAAUGAGAAUGAAUUAACUAGAGUUAUGCUCACUAAGAUGUUCAAACAAUUAGGGUUGCGAGUUUGUGUUCAAAAUCUAACUUAUGUAUUCAAUUGCAAGAAUUAUUGAAUUCUAAGGAUUACCCAUAUGUUUCUCAACCCGUUAAGGCAUCAACCCGUUAACCCAAAGGGUAAACCUAUGGAGUUCAUGUGAAUCACUUCUUUUCCCAACAUCCACUUUCUUGUCAGACAAGUGGAGUUUAUGGGCUCACUUCUCAAGUUUGCAACCAAGAGAUGUCAUUAAGAUGAAGAAAGAUUCAUGCAAUUUCGAUAGAUGUUAGAAAUCAAACACAUUCACAAUCCCAAAAUAGUUCUCUACAUCAAGGCUCCCAUAACCCUAGUUAUGGGAGUUUAGCUACUCAUCUCCAUAUAAGAAAUCAAAGUUAUAUUGAUGUUCAUAAAUAACUUCAGAAAAGUACUUACAAAAGUCACAAUAUUGUUCUUCACAAUCUUUGAUGGAAAAUAUGAAAACUAAUAAUCAACUUUCAAUCUCUUGAUUCAAAUCCCAAUGAAAAGUAAUACAAAGCUCUCAAUAGAGGAGAAAGUAUGAAACUGAAGACAAAAGAUCAGAUCGGAAUAAACCCUAAUACUCGGUAUUUAUAUGAUUCCAGCACUGGGGUUUUAAAAUUCAAACUCAGAUUCUCCGCGUUUUGGUUGACGAGUCAAGCGACGGUCUGUCGCAGGUCUGGCGGUUCGUCGCCUGCACCGUCGCUGGGUGUCUAGUGACUCCAUGUUCUGCUUCUGGGCGACGGGUAGUGCGACGACCCGUCGCCUGGACCGUCGCAGGACUUCCAGUGAUGAUGCGUUAUGUAUUAUGACGGUUCACACCGACGGUUCGUCGCAGGGCCGAUGGUCCGGCGACGGACCGUCGCAGGACGUCCAGAGUCUGUGCCUUCUGCUUUUUUUGUUGACGGUUUAGACCGACGGAUCGUCGCAAGGUCGAUGGUCCGUUGCCUGAUCCGUUGCUGCUCAAUUUGCCUUUUUUUUUGCUCAGAUUGUCCAAGUUAUCCUUCACACUCGGUCCUUAUCCUGAAAGCACUAAAAUGUCAUGUUAAAUACAACCAUGGUUGCUUGAAAACACACAAUUAUCCUAAGGAAAAGGCCUAAAAUGUUCCGUCAAAACCCGGAACAUCAUGAACAUCUUCAAGGUGUUAAAAGGAUCCUCAGGUACAUCAAAGGAACUUCACAUCAUGGGCUCAGAAUUAUCUCACAAUCACCCUGCAGUUUAUAUGGCCAUUCGGAUGCUGAUUGGGGAGGCUGCACUACAACUAGGAGGUCAACUACAGGUUAUAUCAUCUAUUUAGGUGCAAAUUGUAUCUCUUGGACCUCGAAGAAACAAACCACAGUAGCAAGGUCCAGUGCUGAAGCUGAAUAUAGAGCCUUAGCUUCUACUAAAGCUGAGAUGACAUGGAUCCUUUACCUUCUUCAUGACAUUGGAGUAUAUCUCAAGACAAUGCCAAUACUGUAUUGUGACAAUUUAAGUGCCUUAUACUUGACAUUUAAUCCAGUGAUGCAUGCCAGAACAAAGCAUGUAGAAAUGGACUACCAUUUUGUUUGAGAAAAAGUGGCGAGAGGACAGCUAGUCACACAGUUCGUAAAGUCUAGAGAUCAGCUAGCUGACAUUCAUACAAAGGCCUUGACAAAGCAGGCGUUUGCUAAUUUCAGAAGCAAGCUAGGAGUGAGUGUUCCACCACUCACUAGCUUGAGGGGAAGUGUUGAAGAUACUGAUCAAAUAGAAGAUAAAGAGAGUGUACGAUUCUGUUAGGGUAGCUGAUUCUGUUAGAGUUAUCCUAUGCUUUGCAUCUAUAAUUGUACUAGUAUUGUAGUAGUAGUAAACAUCUACUUGUAUAUGUAGUUGCCUAGUGAUACAACUCUAAGUCUUCAAUAUUGGCAUAACUAGGACUCUUGUAAGUAGUCUAGGACUCUACAACUCCGUAGUAUUCAACUCCUAUAAGUAGGAGCAUGCAGUCAACUCCUUAAUCAUCAGAAAUAUACUUUGAUUCUCUUCACUGUGCUUGAGAAUUCUACACAGACAUCACCAUUAUAAAGUAAAAAUAAAACUACCUAGCCUUAUGACUUAUUCCUUAAUCUACAGUUUGCGUAGUGAUUCAUUAAUAUCUUUUACAAGCUCAAUGUCCUUAGGAGACUGUAGUCCUUGGAAUAAUGUAGAGUCUGUAGUAGCGAUGGCAAUAAUUCUGAAUUUUAAAUGAUUUAGAUGGAAAGACAAACUUGGCAUUGUGCAUGUGGUAUUAGAACUAACUUUUUUAGAACCAUGGGGAGAACAUGGCAUGUUUUACUUGCUAGGACUUGCAUGAAAACCAUGCUGUUGGCUAUCUCUUGGCUGUGUUAUUUGUUUUUUUUCUACUAUCUGCUAUAUCCUGCAUGUGUUUAUGUUGCUUUAUCAAUUCAGCCCUACUGAAUCUUUUUUUCGUGGUCUGUUAAUUGUUUUCUAGUAAAUAUUUUGACUUGAUAUGUCAGUGACUUACAUGUUCUUGUUUACUUUUAUAUUUAUAUAGAUAGAUAUUCCCUCUGAACGAGGGUUGCAGAAUAACCUACUUGGAUGUGCUAGCUUUCCCCCUGGAUGCUGAUUUGAAAUUUUGCAGAUUGUACUGGGCAUUAAGUCGGGGAUGGAACCUCAGGAAGCAAUAUGUAGUGUAAAAACUCUUUCUGAUGUUGAAGGGUUGUGUGUAUCAUUCGCUGGUACACACGGUUCUUCUGACCCUGUUUUUGCUGUCAAGGUGUAUACUCUUACUCUCAGUUCACUCCUUUCCUGCCUGACACCUCUCUGUCCGACGCAGUUUCAUUAUUUUAGGAUCUAGUUUGGCUCCCCACCCAUUGGGUGAAAAUUUGUGAUUGCCAUUUUCUGGAAGUUGAAUAAUUAUGCGUGGGUGGAUAUUGUGGUUGGAUUUUCAGUUAGUUUUUCUUUUUCUUUCUAUCAGUAUUAGCUUUUCGUUGUGGUUCAUGUUAUGGUCCUAUUCAAAGAGGGGUUUGUGCUUUUACUCUUGUUGUUUACCUGUGUUACAUUCAGCUGUAACAAUCCCACCACUGCUACAGGUGCUAUUGCAUGAGGAACCAUAUACUAACGAAGAGAUUGAGAAUAUCACCAAGGAAAAGUUGGAAACAAUAUUUGCCACUUCACCAACUUCUUUAGAUGUGCUUCGUGCUGCUAAGUGUUACAAGUUGCAUCAGGUCAGUAUAUGCUUUUUUGUGUGGGUGUUUCAUCUACUUACUGGGCCUUCACCUGUUUCAAAUUGAUUUGCUUCAAAUCCUUUGUCCAUUUCAUUCCUUAGAAAGAUGUUGGCAAUUAAUAAGUUCUCUUCCAUAGGCCUUUAAUUAUUUUCACACAUUCUUGCUUGUACUUAUUUCUUUAAAAGAAUAUUGUAGGUGUUUGCCUUAAGUCAUCUUGCUUAUAUUGAUAUAUGAUCAAAGAGUCAUUUCUUAUUACAUAAUAUCAGUUUCUUUUGCUCCAUUUGAACUUUCACAAAAUAGUGCUCUGCUUUUACUUUUCAGAGAGCUGCCCAUGUAUUUUCUGAAGCCAAACGUGUCCAUGCUUUUAAAGACACCGUAUCAUCAGAUUUAAGGUUUGUCGUGGAAGAUGCGCUUUUCAUCGUUUUUUCGCCUGCUUUUUUUUUUUUGAAAUACUUAAAAACAUAACAAGUUGGUCAUUGCAGUGAUGAAGACAUGCUGAAGAAGUUAGGUGACCUUAUGAACGAGAGUCACCAUAGCUGCAGUGUCCUUUAUGAGUGCAGUUGUCUAGAAUUAGAAGAACUUGUGAAGAUUUGUCGAGAUAAUGGUGCUCUUGGAGCUAGGCUUACCGGAGCUGGAUGGGGUGGAUGCGCAGUGGCUUUGGUGAAAGAGAGUCUUGUUCCACAAUUUAUACUCAAUUUGAAGGUUAAUUUUCAUUGUCAUCUAGCAAGUCAUGAAUAUUUUAAUCCUUAUGCUCUAACCAAAAUGGUGGUUUAUUAUGGUUUCAGGAGCAAUUUUAUCAAUCUAGGAUUGACAAAGGAACCAUCAGUAAGAAUGACCUUGGCUUGUACAUUUUUGCAUCGAAGCCCUCAAGUGGGGCUGCCAUUUUCAAAUUUUAGGUCUUGUUACAUUAGUUACCUCCAACAUUUUCAAUCCAAAAAUAAAGGUGAAUUAGAAAUGAGAUUGUUCGUCUUCUUCUCUCAACCGUAGGACAUUAUUAUAUUGUAACCAUCAGUAAAAAUGACCUUGGCUUGUACAUUUUUGCAUCGAAGCCCUCAAGUGGGGCUGCCAUUUUCAAAUUUUAGGUCUUGUUACAUUAGUUACCUCCAACAUUUUCAAUCCAAAAAUAAAGGUGAAUUAGAAAUGAGAUUGUUCGUCUUCUUCUCUCAACCGUAGGACAUUAUUAUAUUGUUAAACUCAAUGUUAGGUAACAGUGAAAAUAAUUAUGUUAUGUAACACCUAGUUUGGCGUGUUUGCAUCUUUAUUUAUUUUUCUUCCUAUUAUAGUUUUUAUUUAUUAUUUAAUAAUCCUAAUUAGUUCUUUGUUCUAUUUUUUAUUAGCUGUAACCUCUGUCUUACUUUUUCUUUCUAAUUUUGCCAAGUAUUUUGCUGGUUUUGUGGUUUCACUGUACCCUCUGUCUUACUUUUUCUUUCUAAAUUUGCCGAGUAUUUUGCUGGUUUUGUGGUUCUACCCUUUUCCAUCUCCUGCCGUUUCUUAGAACCGUAGCAUUCUUCAAUUUCAUAUCGUUUGUUCUACCCUUUUCUAUCUCCUGCCCUUUCUUAGAACCGUAGCAUUCUUCAAUUUCAUAUGCUAUGCAUUAAUUUCUUAUUUCGCGAUUCUUUUUCUGUCUUCUUAUUGUGUUAUUUCGCGAUUCUUUUUCUGUCUUCUUAUUGUGUUAUAUGAUUUGUUUUCCUCAUUGUUUGUAACGAUUAUCUGUCAUGAUGACUUUUAUUUUUCUUAUUUUUUAUGAGUAAUUAUUAAUAAAUUUAGUAAUUAUUGAGGCAUUUAAUGAAGUUAUUAGCUAUAGGGGUGGGCAUGGUAUUGUAUAUACCGAAUUAUCAUAUUGAACCGAAAUUUUUGAUACUGUGGUUUUUGGUAUUAUGGUAUUUGGUAUGGUAUAUGAUAUAGAUUUUAAAUUUUUUUGGUAUAUGGUAUGGUAUUCGGUAUUUACAAAUGACAUCGAAAUACCGAAUAUCAUAUCGAAGUAUAUAUAUUUACAUAAGUAACUUUUUGGUAUAUUUAAAUUUUUUUGGUAUAUGGUAUGAUAUAUAUAUAUAUAUAUAUAUAUAUAUUCCUGAGUAAUCGUCUUCAUAUGGAUUCUGAGCGUCCUGGAACUGUGCAAUACUAUCUUCUUCGUCUGAUCUUGCUGAAUUAUUAUCUGUAUUAUUUAUCUCUGGGACAGUUCUGUCUAAAUUAGUGGGUUGUUCGUCUGGCUGUCCAUUCAUAUGUUUAUCUUGUGUCUGGUUGCUGAAGAAUCUGUCUAAAGUCUGUUUAAUUAUAGUCUCUAUUGUUUCAUUUUUUCUUUUAGAUAUUAAAGUAUAUAUAUAUAUAUAUAUAUAUAUAUAAUACUAUGUAUUAGUAUAAAAAUAUUUAGACAUUGAACUUUCGCUAUUCUAUCUUGAUUGAAAUGUCUUUUUGGUGUAUUUGACUUAUAAAAGAAAUUGUUUGUACUUCUUUUUUAAUAUUUCUACAUGUGUAAUGUGUAUUUAUGAUAUAAUUAAGGCAUGCUUUUGAAAAGUCGAAGUAAUAAUACUCUAGUAUACGAGUAUAUAUUGUUAAAGUUAAACAAACUAUGGUUACUGAUUGUCAUACUGCAAAAUACCGAGAUCAAACGUCAAAAUAUCGAAUCAUACCGAAUUAAUAUGGUAUGAUAAUGGUAUAAUCUUUUUAAAAAUUGAAUACCGAAAUUAUUGUAUCGAAAUUUCAAAUACUGUAUCAUACAAUACCAUGCCCACCCCUAAAUAAUUAUCAAGUUUUGAAUAUUUUCUUCAAAUAUCACUUAUGUUUCGCUCAACUCUUUUUUUUUUUUUUUUUUAAAAAAGCUAAAUGCCUCAAAAACCUUCUUCUCUCUUAAUUGACAUGUCAUGUUAUUAAAAUUCUUUUUUAAAAAAUACCAAAAUUAUUAACUCAUCAGACUCAUAUAAUCAAAGCAUAGUUAUAUAUAUAUAUAUAUAUAUAUAUAUAUUAUUUUUCUGAAUGAUUGCUCAUAUUUUUUAAUUGCCUAUAACAAUUACUUUUAUUUUUUUGUAGAGAUAAUAAUAUGACUCAAUUAUCACUUUUAUUCGAAAGAAAAGAAUAUAUAUCUCAUACGUUUGUGGCAACAAAAUUUUAUUAAAUUAAAAUUCGUACAAAUUCGAAUUAUAUUAAAUUCAAAAUAAAUUAGUCUCAAAUAAAUAUUGCGGAUUAAUAUAAUUGAAUUAAUUAUUUAAGUUUAAACAUGUAUGGAUUUAAUUACGUGAAAAUUAUUCCCUAUACAUUUAUUAGAUUGAAAAUUACAAGCUAUAACAAUACUUUUUGAUAAUUGUUUUUUUUAGCUAUUUUAAUUGCAAGUUGUAGCAACUUUUUAAAAAACUAAUUUAUUUUUUUAAAAAAUCGAUUAAAUAAUUUCAAGUAAAAGUAACUCCUUUUUUUAGGGUUUAGUAUCCAAUUCCUCCCUAAUAACUAUAUGAAUAAUUAUGGAAGGAGUAAAAUCUGUUCAGUAUUAUAUCUUUAUAUAUUAUCAUUCUUAACUAUUUAAAAAAACUCCAAAUUUAUUAUUCUCUCUUAUAAAUUACAUGAUUCUUUCUUCCUCUUUUCACUCCAUUUUACUCUAUACGUUUUUCACAUAUAUUUUCUCAAAAUCAAUCAAAAUCCUUCAUAGAUAAUCACAUAUUUCAUUUUUUUACCACAAUAUUUUUAAAUUCUUCCAUUACUGAAGAAUUAGAUGUACUACAAUUUUUUGAUUAAUCUUUAUCCUUUUUUUUUUCAGUAUGAAAGAAUGACAAUGUUUAUUGAAUCUUAAUUUAGUAGAAAAGUAGAUGAGAUUAAAUCUUGAUUCAAAGAGAUAAACAUGCAGUAUAUGAAAUAGAUAUAUAAAUCGGUAUCACCAAUUGAGUAUCACAAUCCAUAAAAUAUCAAUUUAUAUAUCUAUAUCAUACACAUUUCAUACUAACAUGACAUGUAAGAAAUCACUUUUACAAACUAAUUCCAUUCAAUUUAUAAUCUUAGGAGUAUAUCUUCUAAUUGAAUAUCACAAUCACAUUAUGCUCAUUCCAUAUAAAUAUCAUGUAAGAAACUAUUUUAUAAACCUUGAAUUUAAUAUUGAUAUUAUACAUAUUUCAUACACGAAAUAGUUCAAAAAUACAAGUUUGUAUAUUUAUUCCAUACUCUAAAAUAAAUAAUAACGUAUAAUAUUUGGCGAAAGUCGAUUUCUAUAUCAACAUCUGCGAUCAUUACUCAAUCCAUAUAAAUAUAACACGUUAGAGAACGGAAUUUUGAAAUUUCAAACUGAUUUUAUACACGAAAUAGUCUAAUAAGUAUAUACAAAAUAAUUUUCACUAUAUCAUUCUUAUGGAAGAUUUUGAUCUAUAUUCAAAUCCUUAUUUAUGUUGUUACCAAUACAAAUAACAGAUUGUGCAGUAUUUUCUCUAAUAUCCAUUGACAUAUAUGCUGUUGUUACAUACAAUGGAUAUUUAACAAGGAAAUUGACAAUACUCCUUAUAUUAGAUUUUUAUUUAAAGACAAAGAGAAAAUUAGAAGAAAGAGAAUUUCUGAAAUUAGAAGAAAGAGAAUUUUUGAUGAAGGAGAAGAAAUUGUUGGUUGAAUAAUGAUUUUAAAAAUAUGAAAUCGUUUAGAUGUUAAUGAAGUAGGAGUAAAACCGUUUCAGAGAGAAUUACGGGGAUGAUUGAUAUCCUGAAAAUAACUGUCAUUCUUUUUUAUGGGUAUGAAAUUCUUUUUUUCCAUAUAUAAAAAUGUAUUUUUUUAUAUUAUUAGAAAACAUAUUUUUUUGUUUUUUUUUAUACCUUUUUUGCUGCAACUUGCAAAGAUGAAAAUUAUGCUAUAAGUUGCAAUUAACCAUCUAAGGAAGGUUAUUUAAAUUUUUUUCCCUUUAAUUAAAGUCCAAUUUUUAAUGGGCUAGCCCUUUGAUUUGGGCUACAAAUGAUGAACCCACUUUGUUAAGUUCAAGCUAUUGUCAUAUUUUAGAAGCCUAAAUGAGUGCCAUGUAUCGAAGGACGUGGUAUGCCAAGUCAAGUUAAAGAGCCAAUAGGACCAUGCCAUAUGCCAAAAUGAUGUAGCAGACCUAGUGGAAUCAAAAGCCCAUAAAAGGCGCCAUGUCGCUUAUAUCUAAUUGGUCAAAAGAAGUUCAUAUUCACGAUGACUCUUUACUUCCUACAAGUAAAUAGGGGUAUCAUAAUUCAGAAAAGGGACAACAAUUCUAGCAAGAAGCAAGAGAGAAUCGUGAAUCAAACGCCGCAGAUUUCUCUACAAAUUCAAACAUUCAAGAUCAGUUCAUCAAGAUUCAAGAUCAUGAUCGCAAGAUUCAAGAACAAGCUCCAAAACCCUUAGAUUUAAGCACAAGUCAAGAUCAAAUCCAUUAAGUUCACAAAUCAAGUUCAAAAUUAAGAUAAAGCUCAAAGCCCUUGAAUUUAUAUCUGAAAAGGUAAGUCAGAGGAUUCAUAGAGAUUGCAACACUCACUAAUUGAAAUCAAUAAAAUGACUAUUGUAAUAUUUUUCUUGUCUCGAUUGUUUAUUAUUCGAUCUCAAAAUUUUAUUAUCCAACAAAUUUUGGUACGCCCAGUAGGACGAUCUAUACCUCUCAUUUCAACGUUUCUAACAUCAAAGUUUAAGAAAACAAAAUGACUUCAAGGAAGGUCAAUUCUCAAUCAACUACUUCCAAAGUUGCUGAUUCCAAAUUCUCUGCUGAAGUAGAAAGCAACCUCGGUGUUAUUUUUGGAAGCCUUGGAGCUAUCACAGGGAGCAAGACCAGUAUUCUAGGACAAUAAACACAUCAAGUGUCGUCCGUGCCAACUCCAAUCUUUGGAUCUUCAACCCCGCAAGGAGAAAGGUCAUGCACAAGUGCUUCAGAAUUGACACCUCCAAUUCGUAUCUCCAUAAAAAAGGUGGUCAGUAACUAUAUCACUAUAGAAGAGGAGUCUACUGCGCCCAAUAAAAUGCCUUCUGUCUUUGAUCAACUGGGAGAACCAACUAUAAGAAAUUUUAUUUUUGAGAGCUUGGGUCCACUAUAUACCAAGAAAAUCAACAAUCACUGGAGAAGUUGUCUAAACACAGAAAAACAAUCUUCACCUAAGAUCCAGAAAGAUUUCAAAAGUUUGAUUUCUUUUAGAAUGAGGCGACGGAUGGAACUUAUGGUUUCAUGAAAGGAGGUGUUAAAAGUAAAGACGCAUGCUAUGGUUUAUACCAAGAAGCGUGAGGAAGAUGAAUAAAAUGUUGGCCCCUCAUAUCAUGUUACAAUCCAAAAUGAGAACAAUGUCUCAACUCAAAUGAAGGUUGAUAAAGAGAUGGAAGAUACUUUUUUGUAUUACCACAUGUCCAUCAACAACGAUGAUUCUCAAGAGAAGAAAGAUCCUGGAGAUGCUCCAUCACAACUUGAAGAAGGAGUGAAGGCCAUAAUAGAUCUCUUGAAGAAAGUUAAUCUUUGAACCAAUGAAGACCCAAGACCAACUUACUUGAGCGAGUUUUUAUAAAUAGAGGAGAAAAUGACUUAUAUAGACAUACAAAGAACAUAGGGAUGUCUUUGCUUGGAGUUGUAAGAAAAUUUCUAUCUUAGAUCCAAAAGUAGCAGUCUAUCAGUUAGAAGUCAAAAAUGGUGCUCGUCCUAUUUACUUCGAAGAUAUCAACUUAGGAUUGAUCCAUUAGAAUGUGCCUUUGGAGUUACUUCUGGAAAGUUCCUUGGCUUCAUUUUACGACACCGAGGAAUUAAAAUUGAUCAGGACAAGGUUAAUGCAAUUUUGAACAUGUUCGAGCCUCAAAACGUUCAUGAGUUAAAAAGCCUUAAAGGAACGCUAGAAUAUUUAAGAAGGUUUAUCUCGAACCUGGCCAAAAAAUGUCAACCAUUUAUCCAUCUAAUAAAGAUGGAUGCUCCAUUCAAAUGGGACCAAGCUUGUAACAAGGCCUUUGAGAGAAUCAAAUCAUACUUGAGAAAACCUCCAGUUCUUGUGGCACCCAUACCUGGGAAACCAUUGAUACUCUAUAUUGCAAUACAAGAGAGGUCAGUUGGAGCACUACUGGCUUAAGAAAAUAGUGAAGGUAAAAAAAACUUCUCAAUUAAAAUGAUAAAACACUACUUUCAAGCUCAUGUCAUUUGUCUUGUGUCUAGGGAAAAUCCCAUUAAGUUUGUAAUGUCGAAAUCAGUCUUAGUGACCGACUAGCAAGGUGGUACCUUUAAUUUUAAUAGUUUGAGAUUGUGUACAUCCCUCAAAAGGCCAUAAAAUACAAGCAUUAGUGAACUUCUUGGUAGACCACCCAAUUCUCGAUGAUUGAGAAUUGACUGAUGAGCUUUUUGAUGAAGAUACAAUAGUGGUUGAAGUUAGAUCUCCAUGAAAGAUGUACUAUGAUGGUGCCACACAUCUAGAUGAAGCUGAUGCUGGCAUAAUAUUUGUUACUCCACAAGGAGAGGUCAUCCCAUACUCUUUUACCUUGAUAAAUCAUUGCUCCAAUAAUGUUGCUAAAUAUCAAGUUCUAAAACUCAGACUUGAGAUGGCUGUACACAUAAAACAAAUAUAAUUACAAGUAUUUGGUGACUCCCAAUUGGUGAUCAAGAAGCUUUUGGGAAGCUAUGAAGUCAGAAAGCCUGAGCUUACACCAUAUUAUGAUUAUGCGUAGAAGUUAAUAGGAUGGAUUAGAGAAGUAACCCUCUAGUAUGUGCUAAGGAAAAAAAAGCAAGUUGAUGUCCUAGCUGCUUUGGCCUCAACCCUAACUUUUUCGAAUCAGGCACGAGUUACUAUCUACUAAGAAUGAGUAGUACCUCCAUCGAAUGAAGAUGGGAUAUGGAAAAUAAGGUUGAACACCUCUUCGUCAUGUAUAAAGCUAUAAAGGAAAAUUGGUGAAAACCUAUCAUUAACUACUUGUGUUAUGUGAUACUUCUAGAGGAUCUAAGAAGAAGGACUAACAUUCGUCGCUGUGCACCUCACUUUCUUUACUACAAAGAUAUGUUAUACAGAAGAUCAUUUUUGUGGUGUUUGAGAGAGAAAAAAGUAGUCCAUAAGAAAAACACUCGGGAGUUUGUUGAUAUCAACAGUCGAGAUCAAAGCUUCAUUUUCAUAUUACAAGAAUGGGGUAUUAUUGGCCAAUGAUGGUGAAAUACUGCUUGGACUUUGCUAGAAUAUGCAAAACUUGCCAAUUUCAUAGAAAUUUCAUACAACAAUAUGCUAAAGUAUUUCACCCAACUAUAACAUCCUGGACAUUCAACGCUUGGGAAAUGGAUGUUGUUCGACAUUGCCAAAAUCUUUUGGUGGAAACUUGUACAUCUUGUCCGUGACAGAUUAUUUCUUAAAGUGGGUCGAAGCUGUUGCUCUCAAGGAAGUAAAGUAAGAAAAUAUUGCAAACUUUAUCUAAGUAAAUAUCAUCAAUCACUUUGGAAUCCAUCAGUGCUUCAUAACCGAUAACAGCAAACCAUUUAACAGUAAGAUAAUAAACAAGAUUUGUGAUUUCUUUGGUUUUAAGAAGCGUAAAUCUUUUGUGGACCAUGUUGCCGCUAAUGGUCUAGCCAAAGCAGUCAAUAAAAUAUCAUGCAAACUGUUAAAUAAAGUCAUCUCUAAAUCCAAAUGAGAUUGACAUGAAUUAAUGGAAGAAGCUUUGUGGGAAUAUAGAACAACGUACUACACACCAACGUGAGCAAUCCUAUAUUUAUUUGCUUUUGAAGUUGAAGUAGUGCUGCCACUUGAGCGUCAAAUACCUUCUUUGAGAUUAGCUAUUCAAUAAAGGCUCACUGAUAUAAAAAAUUCUAAGUUGUGUCUUGAGGAGUUAGAAAAUCUUGAUGAGAAGAGGCUGGUGGCUCAGCAAAAUCUUGAAUCCUAUCAAGCUCGUCUAUCUCUUUCUUUCAACAAAAGAGUCUGCUUUAGGUGCUUUUAAGUUGGAGAUUAAGUUCUUACAAUAAGAAGACCCAUUAUUACUUCUUGCAAGUCUGGAGGAAAAUUCAUACCAAAGUGGGAUGAACCAUAUGUCGUACAAGAGGCAUAUUCAAAUGGUGAUUACAAGCUUGUCGAUGCAGAUUGCAUGAAAAUUGGCCAUAUUAAUGCCAAGUUCUUGAAGAAGUACUAUCCUUAAAGAAAUCUGACACUCCUUGAGGCACGAGUAUAAACUGUAUGUUCACUCUUGGCCUGCAAGAGUAUAAAUUGUGUACGAAUUAAUAAAAAAAAGUUUGCUAGGUUGAAAACCUCGAAAGAUGCGGCCUAGGCAAAAGUUAGGACUCUAAAAAAUAACACUCACCCAAAACUACGUUGUGACUUGAUACUCUUCACUGAGGUACGUAUGCGCUUGGUAUUUCAUUCUGAGUUCAGUUGCACAAGAUUCAAAAAAACAUAUAUGUUCUUGCUCAUAUAAAAAGUCAAUCUUCAUGAGAUUUUUUUUUCAUCAAUCUUCAGACUUGCACCAAGUGUUGGUGGAUCAAUGGGGCAAAUCCCUAUGAAAUAUGAGCUCCUUUGCCAUAAUUUUAAGUCUUUAAAUUCACUAAGUCUUCAUAUUGAAGCUUUCAAAUUCAUCAUAUUGAAGCCUAUAAGUUUAUGAAGUCUGAUAGUUGAAGUCUUCAGGUGAUCUAUAUUUAUAAGUUGAUGUCUUUGAAUUACUAAGUCUUCAUGUUGAAGUUUUCAAAUUAACCAUAAUAAAUCUUGUAAAUUCAUGAAGUCUUCAAGUUGAAGUCUUCAUAUGCUCUAUGUCUAUAAGUUGAGUCUCCAAAUUCACUAUGUCUUCAAGUUGAAGCCCUCAAAUCUACUGUAUUGAAGCCUUCAAAGUCUUAAAGUUGGAUUCGUCAGAUGCUCUGUGUCUAUAAGUUGAAGUCUUUAAAUCCUUCAAUCCUUCUUGAGUUUACCUUCUUUGGGCGAGGAUGAUUAUCCAUCCCUAUGUGCCGUAAAAGUACCCGUAGAAUUACCUUUCAUAGGACGGGGACGAGUAGUCAUCCCUAUGCAUAGUAAGAUUACCCAUAGAAUUAUCUUUCUUACGGAAGGGACGAGUAUCAUCCCUAUGCGCUGUAAGAUUACCCGUAGAAUUACCUUUCAGGGCGGAGACGAGUAUCCAUCUCUGUGCGUCAUAAGAUUACUCAUAGAAUUAUCUUUCAUAGGGUGGGACGAGUAUCCAUCCCUUUUCAUUAUAAGAUUAUCCUUUGCGUAAAAGACAUUAUCUUGAGCAAGAACUUGUCAUUCACCUACAAAAAUAAAAAGGGAAAGACAACACAAAAAAAACACUAAUAAAAGAGAGUUUGUUAUUUGUCAAGACGUUUCGAGCUCGAAAGUCAUAUAUCACCAACUUGGAUGGGCUUGAGACAAGAUAUUUUAGUGAUGAUAAAGCCAUUAAAGAAUGAUUUAUAGCAAUCAAAACACCUUUUGAUGGUGAUGGUGAUGGUGAUGUUUCCACAUAAAGAUAUAAUUAUUUGGUGAGGCGAAACAAAUAUGAAAUUCUUUUGCUGGACAGAAUCUAGAUCAAUUUUAAAAAUUUAUAUAGAACGAUCCAAGAGGUUUUAAAUUCUAAAUCUUGUAUAUGUCAUGUACGCAUGUUUCGAGUAUCUAUAGAAUCAAACAGAUCAUAAUUUUGAUACUCCAUAUUGAGAUAUAGAUUUUUUGGUGUCAUUACGCAAAUCUGAAAUUGAUGGUGCACCAAAAUCCAAUGUUGACUUCGGGAUAACACCUGAAAAGAUCUCAAAGGUAUUAAAUUAUGAAUUUUGAAUAUGUUUUAGAUAUUUGUGUCUAGCUUCACAAAAUUUAAGCAACUUAUGAUUUGGUCCUUCCUACUUCAAGAUAUGAAAGUUUUGGCCAAGAUGCGCAGAUCUAAAAUUUUCAUCAUGAUAAAAUGUAGGGCUAACUUCAAAAAAUUGUUGAGAAUUAUAUUGAAGGAUUUUAAAUCUGAAUUUUAGAUAUGUCAUAGAUGUUGAAGUCUAUUUUCUAGAGUAUCAAAUGUUUCAUGAUUUCUAUAUUUUUACAAUGAGAUAUGAAUUUUCUACCACUAACAUGCUGGGCUGAAAAAAUGUGACGAAAAUAAAAGAAAAGUAGAAGAAAAAGAAAUUAUUUCAACAUCUUCAUAGAUUGAAAAUUCCAAAAUUGAUAUUGGAAAAGUGAAAAACAUACAUCCUUUUUAUAGAGUUGUAGGGGUGAUUGUUUCCUUCAAUAUAAAUUUAAUUUGAAAGUGUUUUCAUCUCCAAUAUAAAUUCAAAUUGGAGGUUGUUUCCUUCUUCAAUAUAAAUUCAAAUUUGGGAUUGUUUCCUUAUCCAAUAUAAAUUCAAUUUGGAAGGAUUUUCAUCUCCAAUAUAAAUUCAAAUUGGAAAAUUUUUAUUCCUGAUUAAGCAUGCCAGUGAAGAGUUUUCCAAAAUUUAUUUUGAAUUUGAUAAAGUCAAGAUAUCCUAGUGGAAGUGGACAUCAUUAAGAAAUUCAUUAUUGGAGUUGGCUAUCAUGUCUCACCAAAAGGUGCGGAUAACUUGAGUAAUUUGUAGGGGGUGCGGAUAACUUGGGUAAUUUGUAGAAGCAUUUGCUAAGUUAAGGUAAACUUUCUACACGAAAAGCAAGCCUUCUUGUACACAAUAAAAUUUUCUCUCAUAUAAUCAAUAAAGAUAUUCAGUUUUACACUAAGCUAUGGCUGAGCAAAGCACAGAUUUAUCAAAUCUACCAGAACAUAUAUUUUCAUUUAUAAUUAUGAAUAGCUAAAUUCAUAAAUUCCUGACAAUCAUAAGUAAAUAAAAUAAGCUCAUGUUAGUUACUUUAUAGUAGAAUUAUUCCAAGAAUAGUAUGUUAAGAAGUUUAUUAGCAAAGUGGAAAAGGAGAAAAAUUUCUAGAACUAUACCAUCCUAAAGGUGAAAUCAGUGAGGCAAAGAAGCCGUGAUAGGGGAGUAACCAGAGUAGUGGCGUUGUUUAGGGAAAAAGUAUCCAGAUUACCAUGCAAUAGUGACCGAAGAACAUGUUAUUUAAGAAUAAUCUAGUAUAUAGUGAUCUAAGAUGAUCAUAUUUUGUUAUGUAUAUGAUUGGAGGGAAUAUUUUGAAAAAUAGCAUCAUAUGAAAAAUGAAUAAUUAUUUCACUGAUGAAAUGAUAGAUGAAUUUAAGAUACUUGUUUUAUAUGUACUUAAGGAUAUCGAGAUAGUAGAUAUAAAGAAAAUUAUAUGGGAAAAGGUAUUUAAUUUUGAAGAUGAGUUACUAAGUACUGAAUGGAUAGAACAAGAGUUAGAAAAUAUAGAUUUUGAUGGUAGAUAUUAUUAUUCAGAUUGGUAUUACUCAGACUAAAAUGAUAAAUUACGAAUAUUUAGAAUAUUGGAGGAAAGAUAUGAAGCAAAUAAGAUUAAUAGAAAUACUUAUGAAAAAGAAUCUACUCGACCACAUAAAAACUAGUAACAUGAAGCAUAUAACAUACCUUAAAAAUAAUAUAGAAGAAUUAAUAAGGUUAAAACAAAUAACUAAGGAAUGCUAUGACAUAGCAUUUCAACAAACAUGAUAGAACUAGUAAGUUAUCCACACCCCCUACAAUAUGGAAGGAAUAAAAUUAUUAGAAAUAUUACCACAUUACCUAAGUUAUCCGCACCCCCCUACAAUUGGUAUCAGUGCAAUGGAAUGUAUGUAUUUAUUUAAGGAAUGCAUAUUAUGAUAGAACUAAAUUUAGAAAUUCACCAAAAUAUUAUAAAUACUAAUGAAUAAUAUAGAUCAAUCCCAAAAAUACAAAGAACUAAAACAAAUAUUAUCCGAGAAACGAAUAGAAUUAAAAAUAAGAAAAGGAAGACUACAAUGUAACAUAAUUGUUGGAGUAUGUCAAAAAUCAAUAAAAGCACAAAAAGAAGAAAUAUCAUAUUUAGAAUAUCUAAUAAAUAACCUAGAAUACAUAUAUCAACAUGAUUUAUAUACCAUUAAAUAGAUAAAGUGAAUAAAGAAGAAUUCAUAAUAGAUGAAAAAAUAGAUGAAAAUCUUGAAGGAUUAAAAGUAAGAAUAGUAUUUUCUAAUUUAGGAAGAAGAUAUAAAAAAAUAGGUGAACAUUUAUAUUUAAUGUUAGAAAAAGAAGAAUUAAAAUUAGAAGAUAAAUUAACAGCUAUGGUAAGAAUAACAAAAGAAAAUGAAGAAAUCGACAGAAAAAAGGAAAUAAAAAAAAUAAAACAACAAACUACAAAUGAAAUAUGGAAAAUAGAAGAAAUUAAAAACAAUAGGACUGCUGAGUUAGAAAAAGAAUUACAAAUACUAAGAGACUUAUAUGGAAAAAUAAAAAAAGAAAAGGAAAAAGAUAAAGAACAAAGAUUAUUAGAUGAAAUAAACCAAUUCAAAGAAAAAUUAGAAAUAAAAAAUGAAGACUUGGAAACCAAAGAAUUAGAAGUAAACACAAUAGACACUAAAGAAACAAACGAUUAUGAUUCAGAANNNNNNNNNNNNNNNNNNNNNNNNNNNNNNNNNNNNNNNNNNNNNNNNNNNNNNNNNNNNNNNNNNNNNNNNNNNNNNNNNNNNNNNNNNNNNNNNNNNNNNNNNNNNNNNNNNNNNNNNNNNNNNNNNNNNNNNNNNNNNNNNNNNNNNNNNNNNNNNNNNNNNNNNNNNNNNNNNNNNNNNNNAGAAUAUAUAGAAAGAACACUAAUAGGAACAACAAAAUUAUGGUUUUUAAAUUUAAUUGAAGAUAGUAAAAAAGUAUUAAGGGCUGAUAAAAAAACAGAAGGAACAACAGUAAUUAAACUAACACCUAUAGACAUAUUGAAAAAAUAUGAAAUAACUAUAAGAGAUGAAUUUAGUAGUAUGACAACAUAAGAAGAAGAACAAAACAAAGAAAAAGAUACAAAUAAGAAUUUAAUGUUAAAACCAGCAAUAUGUUAUAUGUGCUAUAUAGAUGAAUAUACGUGUGCAGUUAAAAAAUACUACUAUAAGGGAACAUAAAACAUAGAAAAAAGUAAAGAAGUAAGAAGAUUAUAUUUAAAUUACCUGAACCAUUUAGUUCAAAAAUAAUAAAGAGGUGGGAUGAAGCAAAAAUAGUCGAUACCCUAGGAGCAAGAAUAAAAUUUCUACAACAAUGGUAUAGAAAUAUAUGUGAAAAAUACAGAAAAGAAACAAAAGUGGAAAAAACAUUAAGAAGAAAUUUAGCAUGUUGCACGGAUAGAAUAGCAACCCAGUUUGGAUGUGAAGAAAAAUAAUAUAAGAAAAGAAAAAGACAUAAGAAAUAUAAGAAGUACAGAAAGUCACAAUAUAAGUAUAAGAAACCAAGAAAAAGAUAUUAUAUAAAAAAUUAUAAAUAUAAAAGACCAUAUAGGAAAAAGAAAUCUAUAAAAGAAUGUACUUGUUAUAAUUGUAGAAAACUAGGACAUUUAGCUAGAGAUUGUAAAAUGCUCAAAGACACAAAAAAGAACAUAUAUCAGAAAUAAAGAUAGAAAAUGCAGAAUAUAUGCAAAUAGAUUAUACAGAUUACGAAUUAGAAAGUGAGGAUAGUAUAUAUGAAAUUUUGGAAAAUAAAACAGAUAAUGAAAUAGAUAGUGAAUCAGAUGAAUCAAAUGACUGAAGAAGAUAUAAAAAUAAUAACGAAGGAAAAAUAUUUAAAUGAAGAAGGAACAAAUCAGAAAAUAAUAUUUGAUGAUAAUAUAUUUGACGAGAUAAAAGGAAAUGAAUCAGAUUUUAGUGUAGAAAAGAUAUUUAAAAUACCAACAAUAAAAAAAAUAUUUAGUAGACAAAAAAAAGAAUACUACGUAGUAAGUUAAAAAGAACAUGUAACAGACUGUAGCUAUACAAAAGGUAAAACUAGUAUAUCAUUAGUAAUAAAAAGAAUAAUUAAUAAAGAAAUAAACGAUAUAAAAAGUAAAGACCCAAUAAAAUACGUACAUCUUGGAGGAAAGGAAAUAUUAAUAAAAGCAUGUUUUAGAGAAGGAAUAGAUACACCAAUAGAAUUAUAUUUAGCAGAUGAUAGAAUUAUAAAACUUAUAGAAAAAAGUAUAAUAACUGCUAUAAGAGGAAAUCUAAUAUACCAAAAAUUUAAAUUUAUAAUAGUGCAAAUUAUUCAGUAGCAACAACAGAUAAAAAUAUAGAUAAGUCAUUAGUGAUAAGCAGAAGAAAAAGAAUAACUUUUGAAAAACCAGAAUCAUCAGGAUCAUCGAAAAGAACAAAUUAUGAAAUAACUUCAAUAGUUAAUUUAACUCAAUAUUAUUUAACGGGAAUAAUAAAUGAAAAAGAAUAUUUAAUACUCCUAAAUACAGGAAAAGAAGAAAACCAUAUAGCAAAAUACCUAGUGAAAAAUGAAGAAAUAAAAUCUAAUAGUAAUAUAUGCCUAGAUCUACCAAAAAGUUUAAUAACUAUUAAAGAUACAACUGAAAAAGAAAUAACAAUAGGAGUUACAAAAAUAAAAAUAGAAUUUGAAAUAAAAGAAGAUAUGCAAAAAACAAACAUAAUAUUAGGGAUAAAAUGGUUAGAACAAGUGAAACCCUACAAUAUAGAACAUACACAAUUAACCAUAAUAUAAAUAAGGAAAAAUUAUUAAUAAAGAGAGCUUUAACAUGAACAUAUAUGUACUUAUGAAAAUAAUAGUAGAAGGAUACUAUAAUAGCUAUUAUACACCUAUGAUAGAUACAGGAGCAGAAGCCAACUUAUGUAGAUAUAACUGUUUGCCAGAAGACAAAUGGGAUAAGCUAAAAACACCAAUAGUAGUCAAAGGAUUCAAUAAUGAAGGAAGCUUAAUUGCCUAUAAAGCUAGAAAUAUAAAAAUAAAAGUAUGGGGUAAGAUAUUAACAAUAGAAGAAAUCUAUAAUUAUGAACUAACAUCAAAAGAUAUGCUUUUAGGAAUNNNNNNNNNNNNNNNNNNNNNNNNNNNNNNNNNNNNNNNNNNNNNNNNNNNNNNNNNNNNNNNNNNNNNNNNNNNNNNNNNNNNNNNNNNNNNNNNNNNNNNNNNNNNNNNNNNNNNNNNNNNNNNNNNNNNNNNNNNNNNNNNNNNNNNNNNNNNNNNNNNNNNNNNNNNNNNNNNNNNNNNNNNNNNNNNNNNNNNNNNNNNNNNNNNNNNNNNNNNNNNNNNNNNNNNNNNNNNNNNNNNNNNNNNNNNNNNNNNNNNNNNNNNNNNNNNNNNNNNNNNNNNNAAGAUCCGUUAAAAGGAUGGGAAAAACAUAAGACUACUAUAAAAAUUGAGCUAAUAGAUAAAAAUAGUAUAAUAACCCCAAAACCAUUAAUAUAUAACUUUGAUGAUUUAAAAGAAUUAAAAAUGCACAAAGAUGAAUUAUUAGAAAAAUAAUACAUACAAAAAAGUAAUAGUAAACACACUAGCCCAACAUUCAUAGUAAAUAAACACAGUGAACAAAAAAGAGGAAAGAGUAGAAUGGUUAUUGAUUAUAGAAAAAUCUAAAUGCAAAAACUAUGACAUAUAAUUAUCCAAUACCAAAUAAGAUAUUAAAAAUAAGACAAAUACAAGGAUAUAAUUACUUUAGCAAAUUUGACUGUAAAUCAGGAUUUUACCACCUAAAGUUAGACGAAGAUUCUAAGAAACUAACUGUGUUUACAGUGCCAUANNNNNNNNNNNNNNNNNNNNNNNNNNNNNNNNNNNNNNNNNNNNNNNNNNNNNNNNNNNNNNNNNNNNNNNNNNNNNNNNNNNNNNNNNNNNNNNNNNNNNNNNNNNNNNNNNNNNNNNNNNNNNNNNNNNNNNNNNNNNNNNNNNNNNNNNNNNNNNNNNNNNNNNNNNNNNNNNNNNNNNNNNNNNNNNNNNNNNNNNNNNNNNNNNNNNNNNNNNNNNNNNNNNNNNNNNNNNNNNNNNNNNNNNNNNNNNNNNNNNNNNNNNNNNNNNNNNNNNNNNNNNNNNNNNNNNNNNNNNNNNNNNNNNNNNNNNNNNNNNNNNNNNNNNNNNNNNNNNNNNNNNNNNNNNNNNNNNNNNNNNNNNNNNAGAAUUACCAAAAUUAUAAUUUCCAGACGAAAAUAAAAAAUUUACAUAUAUAGUAGAAGCAGAUGCAAGUGAAUAUAGUUAUGGAGGAGUACUUAAAUAUAGAUAUGAAGAAGAAAAAUUAGAACAACAUUGUAGAUACUACUCAGGAACGUUUAAUGAAACAGAAAUAAAAUGGAAAAUAAAUAGAAAAGAAUUAUGCUCAUUAUAUAAAUAUUUAUUAGAAUUUGAGCCAUAUAUUGUAUAUAACAAGUUUAUUAUAUGAAUAGGUAAUACACAGGUACGAUGGUGGUUAAUAAGAAAAUACAAAAUUCAGUUACAACGAAGGAAAUUCGGAGAUUAGUAUUGAAUAUAUUAAAUUUUACAUUUACAAUUGAGGUAAUUAAGACUAACAAGAAUGUUAUUGCAGAUUACAUAUCAAGACAAAGCUACCCAAACUGAUAUUAUAGAAGACGAUACUCUAGAAAAAAUACUCAAAACCCUAACUACGUUUUCAAUGAAAGUGGAUAAUAUGGGAAAUGAUAUAGAAAAGCUAAAGACUAAUGAAGUUAAACUGAAGUCUGAAGUUAUGACUUAGAUAACUCAGCAAUGUGCAGAGAAAUGUCGAUUGGAAGAUAAUAAAAUUUCAGAGAUAAAAGGAGAUGUUAGGACACUCCAAAAAACCCAUAAUGUUUAUCAAUCUACUUCUGCAGGUAUAAGCAAAGGAGUUAGAAGAAAGCCAAAUAUGAACAUUAAUAAAAAAUUUGACAAGCCAUUUAUACCAAAAACACCAAAAGACCAUUUAUUUAUACCUCUACAAACUAUUACAUAUUUAUAUAACCUAAACCAAGACAAAAAAGCUUAUAACCACAUAACCAGAUAAUAUAUUGAAAACAUCCACAAGAUACAAACCUACUUAGACCUUAAACCCAGAGCUACAAGCAUUCAAGAACCAAAUUCAGAUUAUAUAACCCAAAAACUACAAGGAUACAAUAAGUUAAUUGCAUUACCAAGAACUAACCCAAAUCUAGUUAAAACCUGUUUCGGUUAUGGACUACUCAAUACUGUAUAUACCUAAGAUGGAAGUGAAUUAUUACUAUACCGGAAAUAUAUAAAGCAAUUACCACUUAUAAAAGAUAACCAAGGGCAACCUAUUUUUUGUAAAGUUCUAUACGACACCAACAGAGAUAUUGUAUGAUGAAAUUAAACCAGUUAUACAAAUUAUGAAGGUAGGAAUGACACGAGAUAUGAUCAUACCCGAAGAUAUUAAACAACAAGUUAAAAUACCCAAAAUAGAUAUACCAGAUUUUUUAUGCGAAUAAAAGAAUUAUUGGAAUACCCACAAUUAUCCAAGAAUUAGCAAAUAACUACCUAAAAGAGAAUUCAAUAUGGAGUUAUUAUUCAAGAGACCAGCUAAUGAUUUAUUCAAAUUCAAGAGAGUUAAGACAAACAGAAAUAGAGGAAGUGCAAAGAUGGAUUAUAACACUACUUAAUCCAGAGAAACGACCAACUACCAGAGCAAUUAAGGAAAAGUUUAGUUCAGAUGAAUUAUUGAUCAGAUACUGUAAAUUAAUUGGCAUAAAUAUCUAGACCAUCUAUGUUCGAGAUGUAACGGAGAAGAUAACAUUAUUCCAGAAGUUCAACUAGAAUAAAAGAAGAUAAGGACGCUAGCUAAAAGAUAUACAACAAAAGAUAUAAAGCAACACAGACCGAUGGAGAAAUAAAGACAAAGAGAUAAAGCAUUAAAGUUAUGAAAAUGACAUAUGAAUUAGUAAGAUAAUUUUGUGACAUGUGAAUUAUUAGAGUAUGUUUUUUUUAGAAUAGCUUUAGGACUUUUUUUUGUAAAGACACUUUAAGUCUUUUCUACUUUUGUAAAGAUAACAAGUGUAAAGUAGGAAUAGUCUAGAAUAGUAUACGCGUUUUCUCUUUUUAGGUUAUAAAUAGCAGAAAUAUUUGCUAAGUUAAGGCUAGGGUUUCUUCCUACAGUGCAACUUAAAUCGGCAUGAGUAGAAUGAGAACAAUGAAACUAGUACUGCUCGAAUGACAUCCUUGGGAAUUGGAAUUCAAAGGAGUUGUUCAAUUAUCUCUAAGGUUGAACAUUUCAAAUUAAAGUUAUAGUGUGCGGCUAUUCCAAUGAUUUAAUUGUUUUUAUGGAAAACGGUCAAAAAUAUCUUAUUAUUUAAAAUGGAACAUAAAUAUUUUUUAUUUACUUUUUUGGCUAAAAAAUAUCUCCUCUCAUCUAAGUAUUAAUGAUCUUGGACAUCUUUACAUACCUAAACACUAUCUUUUAUCCUUACUUUAGCUAAGUUUGGAGAACAAAUUAUCUUACGUAAGUGUGUUUAGUUGUAAGUUUGAUGUAAAUGGGCUAACCUAAUAAUUAGUUCUAUUCAGGAGUGAAUUAGGCAUAUGGAGACGCAAAAUGGCAAAGGGUUACAAGAGGCGAGGCUAAUUGGGUAAGACGCGAGCAAGCACACACCUCCAGGCAGGCGUUAUGCCACACUCCUUGGGGCUAUGUGAUAGGCUUUGCGCCGCACCCCUUAGAGUCGAGAAAAUUGAAAGAAGUGUGUUAUUUAAGUCUUGAAUGAAAGAUUAGUGACAUGGACCAACUUAAAGGUUCAAACAUAAUUAGAAAACUUGAUUAAGUUAAUUAUGGACUUGAUUAAUAUUUUCAAAAAUACAAAUCAACCCACACCCCUCUCCUUUCCAAAUUAACCAUCUCUCUCUUCUUUCUCUCUCUCUCUCGACAGUCUUUUCAACCCUCUCCCAACUAAUAGUUCUACAAAAUUUCUCCCUUCAAUUCUCGGUGACUUCAAGCUCCGGCGAUAAAUAGUUGGGGGAGUUCCUUUUUGACUUUCAACUGUCAAAUGACGUGACAAACAGUGUUCUCUGGUGAUAACUUUGAGUUCUUCGUCGUCCUAUUUCUUCUUUCACAGGUAAAGAAUUAUGUCUUUUUAGUUAUAAAGAAACAGAAGAACUUGAGUUAUCUUCUUUCUAGUAUUGGUUAACAAUUUCAAUAUUUCUUGCUUAAAUUUGAAAUGUGGACUAAAUAAAACUCUAAUUUCUGGCAUUUCAUCUCUAUUCUUUCCACUAUGAAAUAUAAUUUUUUGUUGUUACUGUAUUUCUUGUUGUCGGACUGUUGAUUUAAUUUUUAUUGAUGAUUUUGGGUCUCCGUUGAUGUUCUUUGUGCUUGUGUGUUGUGUUGGUGUUGCUGGGUUGAAUUGUUGUUUUUAUUAGUAAAAAUAGUGUUGCAACAGAUGAACCAUCUAACGCAAUAAAUAAACUAUCUGACGCAAUAUAUGAACCAUCUGAUACAAUAGAUAGAACAUCUGAUGCAACAUAUGAAACAUCUGAUACAAUAGAUGAAACAUAUGAUGAAACAAAUGGAAAUUUGAUGCAACACAUAAAUAAUCUAACAGAUCAUUCAUCUGUUGCGAUAGAUGACUCUUCUAUUUGGAAGAAAUCUAAACAAUAUUGACCCAAUAUAGAACUCAUUUGUCAACAUAUGAGUGAUCUGGUGCAACAGAUGAGUGAUUUAUUUUUAUUAUUUCCAAUGAUUUACUCAUCCCUUGUAACAGGUUAGUUAAAGGUUGCAACAAAUGUUUGGUCUAUUUUUAUUGUUUCUAACGGAUUACUCAUCCACUGCAACAGGUUGUUUACAGGCUGCAAUAGAUAACCUACCUGGUGAAACAGAUAAGUGAUCUAUUUUUAUUAUUUCCAAUGGAUUACUCAUCCGCUGCAAUAGGUUAUUUAUAAGCUACAACAAAUAACCUACCUGGUGCAAUAAAUGAAUGAUUUAUUUUUAUUAUUUCCAGCAGAUUACUCAUCCGUUACAAUAGAUUGGUUAUAGGCUACAACAAAUAACCUACUUGGUGCAAAAAAUUAGAGAUCUAUUUUUAUUAUUUCUAAUAGAUUACUCAUCCGCUGCAACAGAUUGGUUAUAUACUGCAACAGAUAACUUACCUGGUGCAAUAGAUAACCUACCUAGUGCAACAGAAGAGUGAUCUAUUUUUAUUAUUUUCAAUGGAUUACUCAUCCGCUGCAACAAGUUGGUUAUAUGCUGCAACAGAUAACCUACCUGGUUCAACAGAUUAGUGAUCUAUUUUUAUUGUUUCCAAUGGAUUACUCAUCUGCUACAACAAGUUGGUUAUAUACUGCAAUAGAUAACCUACCCGGUGCAAUAAAUGUGUGGCCUAUUUUUAUUAUUUCCAACAGAUUGAUCAUUUGCUGCAACAGGUUGGUCAUACGCUGCAAUAGAUAUCCUAUUUGGUGCAAUAGAUGUGUGGUCUGUUAGAACUGUUAUUUUAUUAUUCUAUAUAUUUGAUUUACUAUUAUCCAUUAGUCAAUUAUAAUCUAUUUUAUGUUCCUGUUAAUUUUAGAUAAUAUGGCUCCCAAAAAAAAUCAAAUCAAGUCCAAGUAAAGAAACAAGUGAAGCAGCUAGGCUACACCCACCACUCUAUGAGCUUGAUUUACAAGCGUUAUCUCAAUCAGGAUCAGAAAAUGAUGAACAUGGGAGGAUGAAUAUUUUAAAAGAGAAGACCCAAAUGCUAAUCGCUCUUCCACCGGAGAGUUGGUCAAAAUCUUCAACAUUGAUCAUUAUCCUGUGAGAAUGCAGUACGAUGGUGCCACAUAUUCAAUGGGUGAUUUCGUGGUUAAUUCAUCCAUGGGAAAAUAUUUUGAUGCCUUGAAAAGAUACUUCAAAUCUUUGGGCAGUAUCUUGAUUUGCCGGAGGACAACAAUGCUUGUUGCCAAAUGAAAAUGGUAUAUAAUCUUUUCAAGCGUAGGCUUAUAUAUGAAAACAAAGAUAAUAUGGAUGAGGUGUGGAUAAAUUACUGUGGCAUGCCUUUUUGUUUUAGUUGGAAGUAGUUUGCCAUAGUUACUGGAUUAAAAUGUUAUCCUUCUUCUCCUUCUCAAGUUACACCUAUUGUAACCCAAAAAAAGCACCCCGCACACCCAAAAAAGUAAAGGCAAGUCGAGUGAUCGUAAUGACCUGGUGUCCCUUGUUGGUCCAAGCUUCAAAAAGAUAAAUUUGAUAGAAGUGUUGAAAGGUAAAAGACUUUUAAAGAAGCACAAACAAUUAUUAUGCUUGGUUUGGUUUGUACAGAGUGUUCUUUGCGCAAGAGACUUUAACAACAACAUACCACUUGGUUUGAUAAAUCUCUCCGAAGAUCUUGAGGCAUUUACCAACUAUCAUUGAGGUUAUGAAAGCUACAAAAUGAUUGUCAAAUAUUUGUUGACUUCGUUAAUGCCAAGGACAGUCAACUUAUAUGGCUUUUCAUAGACUUUCAUGGUAAAUAUUUCUUUUAUCAUGACAUGAUUCAUUUCUUUUAUUCAAUAAUGCUUUUGAUUUAUGGGCGUUAUUUUAUAUGCUUGGGCAUUUGAAGCCAUUCCUUAUUUAAGACAACACGCGAACUACCAUGAAGAAGUUUUUUGUGUAAGAAUUCUGAGAUGGUUGUCGGUCAAAACUAAUAAAAAUGCAAAAUUUUUUGAUCUCUUCAACCCCCUGAAGGAAGAAUUAAGUCUAAUUCUAAUUAAGGUUUUGUUUUAAUUAAUAAUUUUUUAAAAUAAUUUCGUUAUCAUUCUAAUAUAUGUAUCGAUUUAAUUUAGAUUAUCCAUCCAUGGCUUGUUCUGACCAAUAGAGAGUUGAACAUGCCGGUUUUUCUUACUUUAGGGUCUGUACAAACUUUAUCGGAUCUUAACGUCAUUGAUAGAAUAAAGGAGUAAUUGUUUGGAGCAACAACCAUAACAAGAAAAGUAAUUUAGAAGGUGGACUGGUUGUUGAUGAUGAUGGUAGUGGUGCUCCUCUUACAGUUUUUGAAACAAUAAAUUAUUAUGAUUAUGAUCAUAUCGGUUUUAAAGAAAUUUUCAAGGGAUCAUCAAGCAUUGCAAAAAGAAAAUUUGCAACUCCUCUGUUUUUUUCUUGCACCUUGGAUCAAUGUACAAGGACAAUGGGAAAGCGGCAUGAGCUGAAGAAGGUAAAUGUAUAUCAUCUGUUCAAACAAACGGACACGUCUAUUUCAAUAUUUCUACAUCUGCUAAAAAUUAUCAAACAGAUAUAUACAUCGGCUGUAACUGUUGUAUAACCUGUUGCAUUCGAUGCAUUAUCUGUUGCAAUAUAUGUCCAUCUAUUUUAAAAAUAAAUAGGUCUUAGUACUGUUUUAAUUUAUACCAAUAAAUGAGUCAUAUGUUGCAACAAAUAGGUCAUCUGUUCUAAAUUAUCAUAUAACUCUGUUUUACCUGUUCAAGUUUGUCCCAACAGCUGAUCCAUCUGAUGCAAUAGAUAGAUAAUCUGUUGAAUAUCUGUGAUUAACAUUGAUAAUUCUGACUUUCUAGAAGGAUGUCAUAGUAGAAGCUACUGCUAAACGACAUAAUAGCACAGUUGAUAAUACAUCAACUGCUUCCAAAGAAGAAGAAAAAGUGGAGCCUGUUAGGGCAGGAGAAUGGAAGAAUUACUCAUUUGAAGGGUUCAACAUCUUGGACGAGUCUCCAAAAAAAUAACAAAGUUGAUCAACGACUAUUUGAUAUGGAUUGCCGAUGGGAUGUUAAAGCAUCAUGACGAUAGGUACAUAAAUCAACUUGUAAAGAUAUUGAUCUAUACAAUUUUAUUUGUAAAUAUAUGACACUAACACAUAUAAAUCAUAUCGAAAACAAAAUGAUGAACACUAUAAAGUGAACAAAUCAAGUCUUGGUUUUGAUAUGUUCGACUUUGUUAUUGCACAUCCCAGAAUGAAGGAUUGAUUCUAUUUGAUGUCACAGCCCUAUACUUGCUGGAAUGAUAAGGUUUAAAUGCCAUAUAUAUUACUAUUAAUUAAUACUUUAUUUAAUUACAUCUGCGUAUUAAUUUUAUUAUCACGUAAUCUGAAAUGUUUGAUAAUAUGUGCAACAUAUCGAUGUAAUUUUUUACUACCUCCAAAAGAAGGCCAAGUUGCAAACACAAGAGCAAUACAAAUACACAACAGACAAUUAUUUGUACAAAGUUUACAUCAAUAAGGCCUACGAUAGGUUUUGUCAACAACAGCCGGAAGUUUUCCGAACUGAGGCAUAAUUAAUCAACAUCAUCAAAGGUUUUAGCAUUCCAACUAGCUUACCUUAGUAUUUGGUCGACGAAGUAUAUAUCCCAAUCAAUUGCGGUGACGAGUUCCAUUUGGUGUUGGCUUUCGUCGUUCUAAAAGAGAGGCGCAUAAGGGUUUAUGACUCGAUGUCGGGAAGGAGACGUUCCUCACCAUCAUCGGAGAUACAAAAGCUGGCCAAAAUAUUGCCUACUUACCUUGAUAUGAGUGGCUUUUUGGACCAAAGGUUCAUACUGAUUGGUCGAUGAUUGAAGCAUAUCGGGAUAAAAUGGGUAAUCUAUUUGACGUAGAAUAUGCUGAAAGAAUUGCUCAACAACUCUUUGAUAGCCUGUAAGUAUCAUGAUUUAGUUUUAUUUCAUAAAUUUCGUAACGCUUACAUGAACUGCAAGAUAUGGAUUAUCUAACUUUUUAAAAUGCAGGGAUUGCGGUAUUUUUGUUGCCACUUAUGCUGAGUAUUUGAGCGAUGGAUUACAAGUAUCAAAUGAUGGACUUGAUGCCAGAUUACUCUGCAAAAGAUAUUCUGCUCUUUUAUGAAAAUACGGAGAAGCAAAAGCUAAGAAAUCGUACGCAAACGACAUUAAAGUUUCAUGACGACCAAAGCCGAAUUCCAUAGCAUUGAAUAAAGAGCAACUUGCACAUAUUAAGUAGAUCUUUAUAGCUUGAGUCUGUCAAAGUAAUAACCUCUCCUUGGUAGUUGUUGGCACCAAAGGUUAAAUUGUUGAUUUAUUUGUAGAGUAAAUCAUUUGUACCCAUAAUGAUUUUUUUUACAUUUCAUUUAUUUGUUGAGUUAUUUCAUGUAAUUUUUGAAGGCUUCGAUAUAUUUAAUAUUGUCUGUGAAUAUAAUUUAAUCCUUAGUUUUGAAUAUAUUAAUUGAAAUGGAAUACUAGAUUCAAAUAUCACAACAGAUAAUACAUACGUUUCAACAGACGACAUAUCUAUUGGAAAUUAUCAAACAGAUUUAGACAUAUGUUGCAACAUGUAGGUCAUCUAUUGAAAAUUAUCAAACAAGUCUUCCUAAUUUUUUGAUUUGUUUCAAUAGAUUACCUAUCAGUUACAACAGAUAGACUAUACUGAGAGGCAUCUGCAUAAUGCAAUAGAUGACCAACCUAUUGCAACAGAUAAUCAAUCUGUCACAAUAGAUAUACUAUCUGUUACAAUAGAUAGAUAAUCUAUUGCAUUAUAAAAAAAUCAACUUUCAUCAAACAUAAAAAAUUAUUAUGGUGUUUUUCUUUGUACAUCUUCUUCUUUAUACAUAGGCUACAAGCAUUUAGUUAGUAUCCCAUAAUACCAAACCUCUUGCAUAUUUUCUACAAUGGUGUCACAAAGAUCGGACAUUUCUAUGCCGAUCAACAAACAUUCGAUGUAUGUAAGAGAGUAUGGCCUGCACACGACACCAGUUUUAUUUUUUUGAAGCUGUAUGCCCUUGUUUCGACCUUUCUAAUCCCAUGCUUUAUUCAUCAAGACUUUUGCUGGAAAAUGAUCCAUUAGUUUACUCUUCCUCAAUAAGCUAGGGAGCAACUCCAACAGUGGCUGCACGUGGAUAAAAAAAUUGGUGUCAUUGAAGACAUGUAAGUUGCAGUCAUAAACCUUAAUCUUUCCCUCCCUGAGAGGUAUCGCAAAAAUGAGAAAAUAUUUGACUUCCAUGUUCAUGACUGCAAGAAUUCUCAUUGCCUUAGUCUAGCUCUUGCUGUGUGGAUAUUGCCUCUUCCCUCAAACAUAGUUAAUUUAUCCUCCUCCCAUUCGUAUGUAGAAACUAACAUAUCAAAUCCCAUUCCAUUGGGAUUUGAUGCUAGCUUACGGAGCUUAUUGUACCUAUUCUUGAAAUUAUUGUAGAAGUUGAGGUCCAUUAUCCUACCGGCAGAAUCAUAGGCAUUCGGGUACGCUAAUUUCCUACCCCUCACAAGGAAGAAAAUUUCAUCAACAUACUGUGAUAUAAGAUGAUAAUUUUUAAAUAGGUUAGUAAUUGUAAAGAAGAAAAACAUACUGGAAAGAUACAACGGAUGGUCCAUUUGUUGCAGAGGGUUCUCUGAAUAAGUUCAUAGAUUGCCCAGCUAACGUAACUUAUGAAACAAAUGUUUUAUCUCUUGCAAUAGAACAACCACCAAUUGCACCAGAAUACUCAACUAUUGCAACAGACGACACAUCUAUUACGCAGAUUCUUCUUUAUGGAGUAGAUUAGAAGGUUAGGUUAGGAAAAGUAAACUUACCCUAUCCAUGUACCACUUAUGUAUAACUGUCAUACUCCUAAAGUCUUAGUAGUCAAAUGUAUGCAUGGUGUAUUCUUCUGCAGGUUCCUUCUUCUUGGGAUACUUGGCAUUUCAUAGUUUUAAUUCCUCCGCAGCUUCAGAGAUAGCCUAUAGUUUUUUAAGAAGUUUAUUCUAUCUGUCCUUUCACACAUUACAUUUGCAAUGAGAACAUGAGGGUAAAGAGAGCUGAGAGGGACCACUAUAAGGGUAGGAGGGACGGUAUAUGGGCAAGAGGGACCUGUGUAAGGGGUGAUUUCAAAUGUAUUUGUUUUUUCUUGAGCAUCAACAUACUCAUCAUCACGACUGAAAGAAAAUCAACAUCAGGAUAGUUGCCACCAACAUCAACAACUCCACUAGAAACACCCCAGAAGAAGCACCCCAAUCUGUUGUAGUAGGUUGGUCAUGAAGAACUUCAACAUUAGGCUGACCUUGCCUAAUGAUGUUCCGACUUUUGACAAAAUAUUUUUUGUCAUUUUCUUGGGAAAGUUGCAUGUUUUCAAGUAACCAAGGGUGAAUUUAAUGCUAGUUUUUAGUGUUUUAGGGUAAGGGUCCAGCUCAGGGAAAAAACUCAAAAAAUUAGAAGAAACAUAUUUUUAAUGGUUAAAAUGGUGGACCGUCAGUUUUGCUAUGGACCACCAACUCAACUGUCAGGUCCAAACAGUGUCCAUGACUUCAGAGGCCCCUGCGAUAGUCCAUGCGGUGGAUCAUCAGUCUUGCAACGGACCACCAUGUUGGCCAUCAAUACUAAACAGAACCAGGCACCCUGAAAUGAUCAGGAAGGCCAACAUGGUGGACCAUCAACCUUGCAACGGACCACCACUUCAACCGUUAGGACUAUCCAAAACUUGAAUCUUAAGGAUCAUCAACGAUGGUUAAAAUAAUGGACCGUCAGUCUUGCGACGGACCACCACUUUGACCGUCACUCUUAUCCAAAAAGUGACCUAUUAAGAUUAGCAGUGACAGACUAAAUGGUGGACCAUCAACCUUGCGACGGACCACCACUUUGGCCAUCACUUUGGAUGCGGGUUUUAUAUUUUGAAUUUUAAAUCCUUUUUACCUGGGAACAUAUAAAUACCUAGUUUUAGGUUUUAUUAGGGAUCUUUCAUCCAUUUUUUAUCUUUUAGUAGGGUUUUUCCAUACUUGAAACAUAUUGUACAUAGUUUUUCUCUGAGAUUCAUUUGAGAAUUGUGGAUCUAGAUUCCACUAUCAUUUUCUCCAUUGAAGAUUGAAGAACAAGAAUUGUGACUUUUGUAAGUAAAUUCUGAAUUAAUUUAAGAAUAACACAAUAAUUUCUUCUCUUUCUUUGAUGCAGAUGUAUGACUAAGCUCCCAUAACUAGGGUUAUAGGAUCCUUGAUGCGAAUAGCAGAUUGGGGGUUGUGAAUCUAGGAUAUUUCCAUGAUUAAUUGAAAUUGCAUAAACCCUUCUUCACUUUAAUGACUUUUCUUGGUUGCAAACUUGAAAAGUGAACCCAGGAACAUUAGUUGUUCGAAAAAAAAGUGUUUGUUGGGAAAAGAAGGGUUUACAUAAAUCUAAAGGCUUUAACCUUUAGAUAGAGGGUAGAUGCCUUAACCGGAUCAACCUAUAUGAGAAUAUAGCUGAAUAAAUAAUAUGUUCCUUAAGUUUGAAAGAAUUAAGGGAUAAACUACUCAUUUAGGUUGAGAAACUAAUGGGUAAACGAUAGAAUUCAAUUACUCUUGCAAUUAGAAUUGUUCAUUAGGAAUUCAAAAUAGGUAAGAACCCUAGCUGCUUAUGCAUCUUGGCAACUAUAAAUCUAGUUAAACUACUGUUACUAAAUUACUAUUUGCAACACAACCAACAUUUAGAUCACUUUCUAUGACAAACAUUUGAAUACAAUUGAUGAAUAAAAAAACCACACUUUAUUGUGGAACCUUUAUCAACAGUCUAAUAACAACCACAAUACUUAGUGAGCAUAGUAUUUCCUGCGGGAUUCGACACCCAACCCAGUAAGGUUCUAUAUUUGACAGCGACCGCUACACUUUCUAACGAGAGUUGUAAUUUAGGCGUAUCAAAUUUUAGCACCGUUGUUGGGGAAUAUAGUUUUCAAUUAAGCUUGUGUUUGUUAAUUGACCUUUGGUCAAGUUUUCCAAAUUGUACUUUUAUUUGUUGUUUUUAUUCUAUGCAGGAUAGUUGUUGUAUAUGCAUAGUACACGGAGAUCGGGUACACCAUUAUUACCCAUACAUCUAGAACCACAGUUAAUUGGAAGAAUGACAGAUCCUCAAGAUACUGAAAGACUAGACGCUUUGGCUAGAGCUCAAUUAAAUCAAUAGAAUGACGUCCAGCAGGUGCGUCAUCCUAAUCUUGAUGAUGAUGAUUUGGGGGAUGAUGAUUUGUUAGAUCCUGUUAACCUAAGGCAUGCAGAGAAUAUGGCUACACUAGUGAAUCAGAAUAUAAAUAGGAAUCGCCCCUUUAGGGCAAGGCAAGAGUGUCAACCAGUGCUGUUUGAUCUGAAUGGCAAUGAAGAUGGAAUGGAUGAAGUAGGUGCAACUAGAGAUAUCAUUCCUCCACCUCUAGAACCUAGAGCUAAAUUUAAUAUUACCAGUCCAAUAAUUCAACUCCUUUAUAUUAAGGGGUUGUUCGGUGGUCUUUCCAGAGAUGAUCCAAACAUGAAUUUGGUGAACUUUAUCACCAUUUACAAGUCUUUUGAUAACCCAAGAGUGGGUCAGAAUGCUAUCUACCUACGUCUAUUUCCAUUGUCUCUAUCUGGAGAGGUGACACUAUGGAUAGAUGAACUGACUCCUGACUCUAUAUCUGAGUGGAGGAAGUUGAAAGAGACUUUCCUAGAAAGGUUCUUUUCACCCUCCAAGAGGGUACAGUUGAGGGAUGAAAUCAGUAACUUUUGAUAGCUUCCUAUUAAAGCUCUUCAUAAGACCUGGGAGAGGUUUAAAAAAAAGCUGAUGCAAUGCCCGAACCAUAACAUGUCAACUAUUCAUUUGAUAAAGAAUCUUUAUCGGGUUUUGAAAUCUAUUACGAAGCCAGUCGUGGAUAAUUCUACAGAAGGGUCGUUUGUUGAUCUUACUUUUACAGAGGCUUAGAAGAUGCUUGAUAGGAUGACCAAGUAGAGUAAAGCUUGCAUACUAGGGAUUCUAUGGUAGCAAGCCCUAUUAUGUUUGGUAGUAUGACUGCAGAGCAACACAAGAAGGAGAAAGAACGUGACCAGGACAUGGCAUAUUUAUAAACGCAGAUGGAUUUACUGACUAAGCAUUUAUUAUCUGAAAAAAUGGAGAAGGUAAAAGUUGUUACAUCCCAGGGAAGAGCUGACUCUAAUUCAGAAGUUGAGGAGAACUAUCUAAAUAAUCAGGGGUUUUUUGAGGCAAUAGCUAAGGAAAUUAAGGUCAGAACUAUUACAAUAAGGCUGGUUACAAGAAUAGAGAUCAAGGGAACUGGAAGAGUAAGAAUGAUAGGAGUGGACUAUAUAUACCUCAUAAAAGUAGAGAUAAUGCUGCAACUAGCUCUGUUAAGAUGUCCUUGGAGGAUAUAAAAGGAGAAAUUAUUAAAGGAAGUUGAGGCUACCAACUCUGGGGUGACUACUAUGAAGAGUGAUUUGUCUUUCAUGAGUCAGUUGGUAAACUUACUCUACUAUUAAAUAAUUGGAGCAGCAAAUAAGUUAACUCUCAGUAGUAUUUAAUCAGAAGAAGAGCAAAACUUUUCCAAGUGAUACAGUUCAAAACCCUCAAAAUGAUGGCUCUUACAUGGCAAUUACCACACGAAGUGGCAAGGUAUUACCAAUUCUAUCUGUGGGUAAGGCUAUGGUUGUAGAUGUGAUUGAAAAGGAUAUUGAGCAUGAAUAAAGUUAUUCAGUCAAGUCAGAGAAACUGGAUGAGGUUGUUGAUAAUAUACCAUCCAACCAUUUGCAGGUUGAUGAUUUAAAGAAGAGCAAGGGAAGAGAGACUGAAGUGGUGGUUACUAUGCUUCCAAAACCACCUCUCCCAUUUCCCUAUCAGUUAAAAAAGAAGACCGACGACACAAAGUUACGUAAGUUUAUGGAAAUGCUUAAGCAGUUGACAAUUAAUUUUCCAUUGGUGGAGGCAUUGGAGCAAAUGCCCGGGUAUACAAAAUUUAUGAACGAUCUUGUUAGGAAGAAUCGAAUAGUUAGUUUUGAGUUAAUAGACGAUCUCUAUCAUUAUGGUACUAUUUCCACAAGGUCGUUGGUGGAGAAGAAGGUAUACCUGAGAACAUUUACCAUCCCGUGCACUAUUAGGCCUCUUGAUUUCGUAAAACCUCUAUGUGAUUUGGGAGCCAGUAUAAACUUGAUGCCGCUUUCUGUGUAUAAGAAAUUGGGUUUGGGGGAUCCGUCUCCCACAAACAUAAAAUUAGUUAUGGCGGAUAGAUCUGUGAAGCAGCCCAUGGGGAUUCUAUAUGAUGUAUUAUUUAAGGUGGCCAGCUUUAUAUUUCUGGCUGAUUUUGUCAUUCUCAAUUGUGAGGUGGAUUUCGAGUUGCCCAUAUUCUUGGGUAGACCUUUCCUCGCAACUAGGAGUGUACUUAUUGAUUUGAGGGCAAAUGAGCUACUAUUUAAGUUGAAUGAUGAAGUAGUUCAAUUCGAUGUAUGCCAGUCCAUGAAAUAGCAUAAAUAUAUGAGCAUAUUUUAUAUUGUGGAUAUUUAUUAUGAAGAAGAGUAGGAAGUAGCUAUGGAGGAAAAAUUUGAUGUGGAGAAUUUAGCUGAUUUAUUAAUGUAUUUUGAUCAAAACGGUAUUGAAGAUUAUGAAGAGACUGUGUGUGCCUUGAUAGGCAUGGUGUUUUAUUCUUAUGCACCCAAGAAGCUGGAUUUCGACUUGAAAAUCGUCCAAGCCCACUACCCAAGUCGUCUAUUAAAGAGCCACCUACUUUGGAGCUGAAAGAGCUGCCCUGACAUUUCAGGUAUAUGUUACUGGGUAGCAAGAAUACUCUACCUAUUAUUAUUAUGGCUGACUUAGGUGAGCAACAGGUGAAAGCCCUUAUCUCUGUUCUUAGGAGAUACAAGAGGGCUAUUAGUUGGACGAUAACUGACAUUAUUGGUAUUCCUCUUAGUUUAUACACACAUAAAAUCUAGAUAGAGGAGGAUUGUGUCCCAACUAUUGAGCAUGAACAUCGUCUAAACCUACCCAUGUAAGAGGUGGUGAAGAAAGAAAUCAUUAAGUGGCUAGAUGCAAGAGUGGUGUACCCCAUCUCAGAUAGUAAGUGGGUAAAUCCUAUUCAGUGUGUGCCCAAAAAAAAAGGCAUGACAGUGGUGGAUAACGAGAAGAAUGAGUUGAUUUUACUCAAGCCUAUUACUGGAUGGAGGGUGUGUAUGGAUUACAGAAAACUCAACUCGUGGACAUUGAAGGACCAUUUACCAAUGCCUUUCAUGGAUCAAAUGCUUGAUCGGUUGGCGGGAAGAGGUUGGUAUUAUUUCUUGAAUGGUUAUUCUGGUUAUAAUUAGAUUUCUAUAGCCCUAGAGGAUCAAGAUAAAAUGACAUUCACCAGCCCAUAUGGUACUUUUGCAUUUAAGUGAAUGCUAUUUGGAUUGAGCAAUGCACUCGCUUUCAAUGGUGCAUGAUGUCUAUUUUCUCAGAUAUGGUUUAAGACACCUUGGAGGUUUUUAUGGAUAAUUUUUCUAUGGUAAGAGAUUCGUUUGAGCCGUGUUUGGUAAAUCUGAGUAGGACCUUGCAGCGGUGUGAGAAGUUCAAUCUUGUGCUUAUUUGGGAGAAAUACCACUUCAUGGUGAAGAAGAGCAUUGUUCUCGGACACAAAAUUUCAGCAAAGGGGAUUGAAGUUGAUCGAGCUAAAGUUGAGGUUAUGGAGAAGCUUCCACCUCCUAUUAUAGUAAAUGGGGUGUGUAGUUUCCUUGGCUAUGUUAGCUUCUAUCGGAGGUUUAUAAAGGACUUCUCAAAGAUUGAAAACCCCCUUUGCAAACUUUUGGAGAAGGAAGUCAAAUUCUCCUUUGAUGAUGAUUGCUUGAAGGCAUUUGAAUGCCUUAAAGAGAAGAUGGUUGAUGCUCCUAUUAUUGUUGCACCACAUUGGUCAAAACUAUUUGAGAUCAUGUGUGAUAUAAGCGGUGUUGCCCUUGGAGCUGUGUUGGGAUAAAAGAAGGACAAAUUAUUUUAUCUAAUCUAUUAUACCAGCAAAGCGCUGAAUGGAUCUCAAAAGAACUACACCGUCAUAGAGAAGGAGCUUCUUGCAGUAGUCUAUGCUUCUGAGAAGUUUCGGUCUUAUUUACUAGAAACCAAGGUGGUGGUCCACAUUUACCACACAGCCUUAAGGUAUUUGAUGGCAAAAAAUGAUGCAAAACCAAGAUUGAUUAGAUGGGUGCUACUACUUUAAGAAUUUGAAUUCAAAGUUAAGGAUAGGAAAGGUUGCAAAAACCAAGUGGCAGAUCAUCUGUCUCGGCUGGAAGGUGAUCAAGUAGCUAGAGAUGAAUUUGAGAUCAAUGAUGCAUUUUCGGAUGAGGAAAUAUUGGCUGCUAUUAUGGAGAAAAUACCUUGGUAUGCUCAUUUUGGAAAUUAUGUCGUGAGCAAGGUAAUACCAGAGAAUAUUUCCUUUUAUCAAAGGAAAAAGUUUCUCCAUGAUGUGACCCAUUACUUCAGGGAUGAGCCAUAUUUUUUUCGGCGAUAUGCGGAUGGUAUUAUUAGACGGUGCAUCCUAGAAGUAUAUAUGUUCAGUAUACUGGAAGCGAGUUAUGCUUCCCCAGUUGGAGGUCACCCUACAGGUGAUAGGACAACAAGAAAAGUCUUUUAGAGUGGCUACUAUUGGCCCUCUUUGUUAAAAGAUUCCUACGAGUUCGUGAAGAGGUGUGACCAAUGUCAAAGUCAAGGGUCCAUCUCAAAGCACCAUGAGAUGCCAAUAUCUAAAAUACUGGAGGUAGAAUUAUUUGAUGUCUGGGGUAUUGAUGUCUGGGAUGAAGUAUAUAUUAGUAGCCGUUGACUGCAUGUCAAAAUGGGUUGAGGCAGUUGCUCUAGCAGAUAAUGAAAGGAAUAGAGUUGUUGCAUUCUUAAGGGAAAAUAUCUUUUCUCACUUUGUGGUACCACGUACCAUCAUCAGCGAUAGAGGAUCACACUUUUGCAACAAGAUGUUCAGAGAUUCCUUGCAAAAUAUGGAGUUAAGCAGCAUAAAGUGGCUACACCAUACCACCCGCAAACAGUGGGUAGGUAGAAAUCUCUAAUAGGGAAAUCAAAGCUAUACUUGCCAAAACUGUAAAUGCUAAAAGGAAGGAUUGGUCUAGGAAGCUGGACGAUGCCUUAUGGGCAUAUCGAACGGCUUUCAAGACACCUAUUAGCAUGUCGCCAUACCAAUUGGUGUAUGGAAAGGUAUGUCAUUUGCCGGUUGAGCUAAAGCAUAAAGCAUUGUGGUCAUUGAAACAGCUUAACUUAUUUGGAAUGAGGCAACAAAUAUGAGACUGGGGAAGCUGAAUGAGAUGGACGAGUUCCGUCUUGGAGAUUAUGAUCGGGCUGAUCUAUACAAGGAAAGAAUGAAGAAGUACCAUGAUCAUAGGAUUGAAAAGAGGGAUUUCUAGAAAGGUGACUUGGUGCUUCUGUUCAACUCCAAACUUAAUCUGUUUCUAGGUAAGCUCAAAUCCAAAUGGUCUGGCCCAUUUAAAGUGAGUCAAGUCUACUCAUCUGGAAUAGUGAAACUUAAAAAUGAAGAUGGAAGUGUCUUCAAGGUAAAUGGGCAGUGUGUGAAACUGUAUAUCGGUCCAAUGGACUCGAUAAGAAGUAUUGAUACUAUCUAUCUCGAUAAAGUCUGAGUAAUUGAGAUAAUUGAGUCAUACUGCAACAAUAAAUCAGGCGCUUGUAAGAGGCAACCCACAUUGUGUUGAUGUAAAGUAUUAGUUAAAUUAUUUUGUUGUGUUAGUGCAUUUUUGAUGUGUUUGUGAAGUGAGCAAGAUGUAAAAUGCAGCAAAAAAGAGGAGUAAUUCUUGGAAAAAGGGUGAAAAUCUGAGCUACUGGAACAAAAGUGAUGGACGAAUUGGUGGACCAUUAGUCACCUGACGGACCACCAUUUCAACCAUCACAAAGAAGCUGAAAAAUUCAUUCACUGGAGAAAGUUGACGGCCAAGUGGUGGACCAUCACUAAAUUGGUGGACCACCACACUGACCGAAAAAAUCAAGCUGAGUUGCCUUGGUUCUGAUAAGGUGUGAUGGCCAAAGUGGAGGACCGUCACAAAUUUGGUAGACCGCUACUUGGACCAUCGAAAUUAAGCUAAGUGACUAUGUUCUGGUAAGGUACGAUGGCUGAAAUGGUGGACCAUAAAAAAUUUAGUGGGAUAUCACUAGGACCGUCGAAACCAAUCUAAAUUGAUCAUGUUCUGGUAAGGAGUGACGGCCCAAAUGGUGGUCCUUCGUAUUUCUGACGGACCAUCCUAGUAUCCAUCGCUGUUACCUUAGCACUGAGUUGGGUCGGGUUGAAAUUGUUCUUUUUUUAAGUGACCCGUAUUUGGCCCAAUUGAGUUUAAAAAAGUAAAAGAGUGGUUACUUACGUUGUACGACCCUUUUUAACUUCUUCAACUGAACAAAUUCCUUUGGAUUCAAAGCUUCUAAAGGCAUUUGCUCUUCCUAGGACUCUCUAUUUACCCUCUUUUUCCGUAUUUAAGUGACCACCGCUUUUCUUCAUCUUUAUCUCUCAAACAUUCUUGAAAGUAAAUAUAGAGUUUUAAGUUAAGUUUAUUCUUAAUAUUUGCAAGCAAGUAAAAGAGUAACUUCUGCAACAUCAAGGUAUGAGCAUCUCCACGUCUUUUCUUUUUGAACUGAUACAACAUGAAAUGAAUAAUUGGUUGGUUGAUAAAAGUUCAUCUUGUUUUCUUCUUUUGCUUUAACUUAUUUUGAGUCCGAAAUGAUAAUAUACUCUAUGUGGGUGAAGUCUCAGUAACCCAUAUGCUCAAAAGUGUGGAUUUGUGUGCAUAAAUGUGAAGUUGGUGUCAAUUUUUGCUAAAAAAAAAUUGGGAUUGCAUGCUAAAUGAUUGACAAAAUGCCGAAUUAAAUCCUGAAUUUGAAGAAGGGGCUGUGAUGGUUGAAAUGGUGAGCCAUCAACUUUGCGACUGACCACCAAAUGGACCAUCGCAUGAACCCCAGAAAUGACACCCACUGGUUAAGAUGCGACAGCCAAAGUGGUGGACCAUCAACUUUGCGAUGGACCACCAUAUGAACCGUCACAACUCUUUGAACUUUUAGGUCUUCUGGAUAAGACUUGACGGCCCACCUGGUGGACCACCAAGUACCCGACGGACCACUAGUGUGAAUGUCAAGUCUAAGUUUUUAUUGGUUAGGCUGUUUUUUCAUUAUAAACUAAUUCCUUACUUCUGUUUCAGGCAAUAUAGCUCGUAAACUACCACUAAACAGAGGAGAAAGAUCCUAAAGGGGUAGAGGUGAACCUGCACUUACUUACAACACCAGGCAACGUGAAAGGGAAACUCCCACACUUUCCUACUAUUAAGAGAAGAGCGACUGUAGAACAAGCAGUACUAGCUCAAGUCCAGACGAGGCAGCGAUUGCUACAAAUCAACCCAAGCUUGUUGAGGGUGAAACUGAUGUUGGUAAUGUGGGAGAAAAAUGGGAGCAAUAGAUGUAGAUACUGAACCUCCAGAUGCUAACGUUAUCAAUCAUAAGGAUCCUCAAGUUUGAUAUGGGAAUAGAUGGUAGAUAGAGGGAGCAAGAGAGAAAUUCUAUGACGGAUUGACACCUACAGCAAGAGGGAUAAAAAGGCCAUUCAUGGAGGAACAUCAGAUUGUGAUAGGGACAUCAAUUGCAAGCUUUCCCAACAGAGAGUUCGUACCUAUCCGAAGAGUCACUAUCAAUAUUUAGCUUGAAUAAUUAAUAGGAUGCUGUUCAGGAAAGAGUGCAAGGUUCCCCCUGCUAUACCUGAUCUUGAAUAUAGGUUGAGAAAUAUAUCCACUUAGAGGCCUUGGGUGGCUUCAUUAUUGACUGAUAAUGGUAACCCCUCUUGGUUAACUAAUCAAAGGGAAUGUAUUGUAAAAUAUUCCAUUAGCUUAAAGGCUAUGUUUUGGAGGGCUAUUGUUCGCUUAAGGCUGAUGCCAAUAAAGGGUGACGGAAACUUGGAUAAACACAAAGCUGUAUUAGUGGAAAGUUUGGUUUCAGGGCUGCAAGUUGACUUCGGCCAGAUUAUUAUAGAUAAGAUAUUCAUGAGGGAAUAUAAAACAACAAACAUAUUGCUGUUUCCAUGCUUGAUCACUGAGUUAUACAGACAGGACGGUGUGCCCCUAAUUCAUAGAGUUGACAAUGAAAUACCGGCUACACAUAUCAGGACAUUGAAAAGUCAAAAGCCAUCUUAAAGUUUGAGAUAUAUGUCACCAAGCCUCUAGCUUACCAAACUUAGUCUGCACCAGCUCCCGAUGCUACAGAAAUUCUCGUAGGUAUGCCUUCGCCCAUCACCACUUAUAUUCCACCCGAGUAUGUGCCUCUAAGUACUUCUGCAAAGUUGGGAUCUGCCCAAUCUAUGGGUGGAGCAGACUUUUCUGAAUGCAGGUUGACGCAGGAGAAUUUUUUAAAAUCAGUUAAGCUGCAAAAGAGGUUUCAGAGGCAGUUAGAUAAAGAGGCAUCAAAAUUUAAGCCUUUUAUUCAUGAAAUUGUAGCUGAGGCAAUCCUUCCAUUCCAGACUAUUCAAACUAGGAUGGACAACAUGGAGCACCGCAUCAACAAAAGUCUAGAUACACUGUCCUUUCUUGAUCUUGUAUAGCUCAUGGCUAAAUUUGAGCAGGAAAAGGCCGAUAUACCAGAGUUAAAGGGAAGUCAACCACAUCAGACUAUUUUUAACCCAACCUUAGUGGAAAGUGACGAUGAUGAGAGUAUUGGGGAUCUGAUGGGAAGACCCAUGGAAGACAAAGGAAAGCAACACAUGGAUAAACGAGCUGGAAGAAAAGUUGAAAAAAGGAGAAAGAGAGCACAAAUGAUAUUAGAGCAACAGGAACAACAUGAUCUGAAGAGAACUCAAAAAAAUCAAAGAAAUAUGAAGAAAACAGAAAUAAGAAAAAGAAAGAUGAAAUAGAAGGAGUAUCUACUAGUGUUGCGCCAGCAAGGGGCAAAGUUCAGCAUCAGUCUGAGAGAUGAUUCUUCCAAUCUAGGAGGGUGAGAUUUUGAGUGACCCUACCACUAUAGGGUCCAACAUUGCACCAGGUGAGGACGUUGGGUCCUCACCAUACUUAAAAGACACCUCAGAUGAAUAAGAGGAAAAAUAAGUAUACCUAUUUUUUUGUACUUUAAUUUAAUGCUUUGAGGAUAAUGCAUAUGUUUUUAUGUGGGGGUGGUGUACUUGUAUCAUGGGGGGGUGGGUUGUGUUGCUGAUAUUCUGAACCCUACCAUGGGCUAUCUAGGAGAAUCGGCAUGUCUAGGAUCAUAUUAAGUUUGAAUCUUCAUUCUCUAGGUUUAACUUUAGAUUUGCAUUUUUCUUCUUUUUAAGUCUGGUUAUAUUGUCAAUGUUGAUCCAUGGAAUAAAAGUACUAUUUGUGUUAGUAUCUUGUUGUAAAUAUGGAUGAUGAAUGAUGUUGGCAUAAAGCUAGGACUAUUUCCAUAUGACUAUUUAUUCGUCCCUUAGGAUAUGUGCUCAACUGUUAGUGAAUUUGUAGUUGGCAUUAGCCUGUAAAUAUACUUGGCAUGUGAUGCAAAUCUUAAGAAUAGUAGAAUGAGUGUGACUUAGUUGCCACUGUGCGUGCAAGUAUUUGUAUUAGUCUUACAUAGUAUAGUACCUAGAACUUUCCUGGUUCAAUUGAUAUUGUUUUGUAGUUCAACUACAGAUGAUGCAAUUAUGCAUCUUGCUAAUUUUGUUGGGAUCUGCACUUCCUAUACUAUUUAGGGGGUAGAUCAAGAGGUGUUCAGACUAAGGUUGUUCCCUUUUUCAUUGAUUGAAGAAGAUCCUUUGUGGUUAGGAGAGCUUCCUAGAGGAUGGAUCAUCGUUUAGAAUAAGUUUUGCAGUUAAUUCUAAAACUGUUUCUUUCCUCCAGCUAGAAUAUUGCAGUCAAAAGAAGAGAUAUAUAACUUCAGGUAACUAUAUUCUGAGUCAAUGUAUGAGUCUUGGUUCCAAUUUAAGAAGAAGUUGAUCGUGGUACCCAAUCAUAGUAUUUCAGGGAUGAGUUUAUUGGAGAUAUUUUAUAGAGCCUGAACAUCAGUUCCCGAGAUAUGAAAGACACAAUCACUAGAAGAGCAUUUAUGAGAUUAUGCUGGAAAGCAGUUUCUGAGGUUCUAGACCAAAUCUCUCUCACCAACCAAAGUUGGCAUACGCGAAAGGCCGAGAAGAGUGCUGACAAUUAUGCCAUUAGAGCUUCUGCGACCAUAGAGCAGUUGAUGAUUUUAUUGCAUAAGAGGUUGCUCAGAUGAGGACUAAUAUUAGGUUACUGACUAUGCAGUUUGCAAUAGUGAAUUCUGAGAAGGUGAACACUUUAGGUUCACAGGGUGCAAACUCUAGAGCAUAUGCGUCUGACUUGGAAUAGGAGGCUAAGUAUCUUGAUCGAGAAUUCUCAAGGUUUUAGAGCCAAGGGGAAAGGAAACCAUGGUCAAAACUAUUAUGGAGAUAGAUACAGAGAUUGCAGUAGGGAGCGUGAUGGUGACUGGAGAAGGAAGGAGGACUAAAAGAAAAAGAGAGACAUGUAUGUUCUGUCGAUCAUUCGUGAUUCUGAAUAGAGAAUUGAAGGAAUGCUAACAAAACUGGUCAAGGUCCAAGAAUAUCAGGAAACAUGCCUUAAGGAGAUUAAGGCCGAUAUCUUAGGUAUGACUCAGAAGGUCGAGCCUCAUACGAUUGAAAUCAAGUAGUUAGAGCAGUAGUUUCGGUAGAUGUUGGCUGCUUUAAAUCAGAGACAGCUAGGUACCUGUCAUGAUCUGAACCAGGUCCUAAUUAUGGCGGAUAUCUCAAGUCUUCUGGGACCGAAGAUCACCUUCUUGCACCUAACAAACCAACAGAAGAUCACCCUUGUCGGACAAAUUCCUAACACAAAACAAGAUAGCAUAAAGAUAAGCUUAAAAAUAUUUAAAACAUACAUAUAAUCCAUCAAUCAAAAAUCAGCUGAGUAACAUAGUAACAUCACCCAAGUCCAUAGUAAUCCAACAAAGUCUCUACCAAAAUUGAAUAUCAAUAAAGUGUAGGGACAUGCCCCCGACUAUAGCCAAAAAUAACUCUAAACAGUCAGAUACACAAGGAGCCAAAUUAUGAAAUGUAGACUUCCAAAUUAUGAAAGCUCACCACUUAAUGUCAACUCACAAACUAAUCUCGAAUCCUAAUCAACGAGCAGGAGAAAUAGAAGUAUGGCCAAUUUCUUCAUUGCUUGGGGAUACAACGUCCGAAGAUGGUUAGCAGGGUGAAUGCUCGCAUGAUACUCUGGGAAAAGGGUAACAUAAUGCCAUGAUCAACAGUUUCAAAUCAUUUAUAUCCAAUAUACAUAACCAAAUGCAUAUACAUAUAUAUAUAUAUUACAUGAAAGGAUAGGGAACAAGGCUUAACAUGUAUUUUAUAUAUAUAUAACAUACAAAGGAACCUAAGGGCUAUAUGGUCCAAGCUCUCCCCAGUAGGUAGGGUCCCAGUGUAUGUGGCCACAUGAUCCUAAUUCAUAGAGUUGACAAUGAAAUCCCGGCUACACAUAUCAGGAUAUUGAGAAGUCAAAAGCCGACUUAAAGUUUGAGAUACAUGUCACCAAGCCUCUAGCUUACCAAACUCAGUCUGCGCCAGCUCCCGAUGCUAUAGAAAUUCCUGCAGGUAUGCCUUUGCCCAUCACCACUUAUAUUUCACCCGAGUAUGUGCCUCCAAGCACUUCUACAAAGUCGGGAUCUGCACAAUCUAUGGGUGGAGUAGACUUUUCUGAAUGUAGGUUGACGCAGGAGAAUUUUUCAAAAUCAGUUAAGCUACAAAAGAGGUUUCAAAGGCAGUUAGAUAAAUAGGCAUCAAAAUUUAAGCCUUUUAUUCAUGAAAUUGUAGCUGAGGCAAUCCGUCCAUUCCAGACUGUUCAAACUAGGAUGGACAGCAUGGAGCACCGCAUCAACAAAAGGCUAGAUAUACUGUCCCUCCUUGAUCUUGCAAAGCUCAUGGCUGAAUUUGAGCAGGAAAAGACUGAUAUACCAGAGUUAAAGGGAAGGCAACCACAUCAGACUAUUUUUGACCCAACCUUAAUGGAAAGUGACGAUGAUGAGGGUAUUGUGGAUCUGAUGGGAAGACCCAUGAAAGACAAAGAAAAGCAGCACAUGGGUAAACGAGCUAGAAAAAAGUUAAAAAGAGGAGAAAAAGAGCACAAAUGAUAUUAGAGCAACAGGAACAACAUGAUAUGAAGAGAGAUCAAAAAAAGUUAAAGAAAUAUGAAAAAAAGAGAAAUAAGAAAGAGAAAUAUAAAAUAGAAGGAGUAUCUACUAGUGUUGCGCCAGCAAGGGGCAAAGUUCAGCAUCAGUCUGAGAGAUGAUUCCUCCGAUCUAGGAGGGUGAGAUUUUGAGUGACCCUACCACCAUAGGGUCCAACAUUGCACCAGGUGAGGACGUUGGGUCCUCACUAUACUUCAAAGACACCUCAGAUGAAUAAGAGGAAAAAUAAUUAUACCCAUUCCUUUUUACUUUAAUUUAAUGCUUUGAGGAUAAUGCAUAUGUUUUUAUGUGGGGGUGGUGUACUUGUAUCAUGGGGGGAGGGGGUUGUGUUGCUGAUAUUCUGAACCCUACCAUGUGAUAUCUAGGAAAAUUGGCAUGUCUAGGAUCAUAUUAAGUUUGAAUAUUUAUUCUCUAGGUUUAACUUCAGAUUUGCAUUUUUCUGCUUUUUAAGUCUGGUUAUAUUGUCAAUGUUGAUCCAUGGAAUAAAAGUGCUAUUUGUGUUAGUAUCUUGUUGUAAAUAUGGAUGAUGAAUGAUGUUGGUACAAAGCUAGGACUAUUUCCAUAUGACUAUUUAUUCGUCCCUUAGGAUAUGUGCUCAACUGUUAGUGAAUUUGUAGUUGGCAUUAGCCUGUAAAUAUACUUGGCAUGUGAUGCAAAUCUUAAGAAUAGUAGAAUGAGUGUGACUUAGUUGCCACUGUGCGUGCAAGUAUUUGUAUUAGUCUUACAUAGUAUAGUACCUAGAACUUUUCUGGUUCAAUUGAUAUUGUUUUGUAGUUCAACUACAGAUGAUGGAAUUAUGCAUCUUGCUAAUUUUGUUGGGAUCUGCACUUCCUAUACUAUUUAGGGGGUAGAUCAGGAGGUGUUCAGACUAAGGUUGUUCCCUUUUUCAUUGAUUGAAGAAGAUUCUUUGUGGUUAGGAGAGCUUCCUAGAGGAUGGAUCAUCAUUUAGAAUAAGUUUUGCAGUUAAUUCUAAAACUGUUUCUUUCCUCCAUCUAGAAUACUGCAGUUAAAAGAAGAGAUAUACAAUUUAAGGCAACUAUAUUCUGAGUCAAUGUAUGAGUCAUGGUUCCAAUUUAAGAAGAAGUUGAUCAUGGUACACAAUCAUAGUAUUUCAGGGAUGAGUUUAUUGGAGAUAUUUUAUAGAGCCCUGAACAUCAGUUCCCGAGAUAUGGAAGAUGCAAUCACUAGAAGAGCAUUUAUGAGAUUAUGCUAGAAAGCAGUUUCUGAGGUUCGAGACCAAAUCUCUCUCACCAACCAAAGUUGGCAUACUCGAAAGGCCGAGAAGAGUGCUGACAAUUAUGCCAUUAGAGCUUCCGCGACCAUAGAGCAGUUGAUGAUUUUAUUGUACAAGAGGUUGCUCAGAUGAGGACUAAUAUUAGGUUACUGACUAUGCAGUUUGCAAUAGUGAAUUCUGAGAAGGUGAACACUUUAGGUUCACAGGGUGCAAACUCUAGAGCAUAGCGUCUGACUUGGAAUAGGAGGCUAAGUAUCUUGAUCGAGAAUUCUCAAGGUUUUAGAGCCAAGGGGAAAUGAAACCAUGAUCAAAACUACUAUGGAGAUAGAUACAGAGAUUGCAGUAGGGAGCGUGAUGGUGACUGGAGAAGGAAGGAGGACUAAAAGAAAAAGAGAGACAUGUAUGUUCUGUCGAUCAGCCGUGAUUCUGAAUAGAGAAUUGAAGGAAUGCUAACAAAACUGGUCAAGGUCCAAGAAUAUCAGGAAACAUGCCUUAAGGAGAUUAAGGCCGAUAUCUUAGGUAUGACUCAGAAGGUCUUUCGACAGAUGUUGGCUGCUUUAAAUCAGAGACAGCUAGGUACUUGUCAUGAUCUGAACCAGGUCCUAAUUAUGGCGGAUAUAUCAAGUCUUCUGGGAUCGAAGAUCACUUCCUUGCACCUAACAAACCAACACAGGAUCACCCUUGUCGGACAAAUUCCUAACAUAUAACAAGAUAGCAUAAAGAUAAGCUUAAAAAUAUUUAAAACAUACAUAUAAUCCAUCAAUCAAAAAUCAGCCGAAUAACAUAGUAGCAUCACCCAAGUCCAUAGUAAUCCAACAAAGUCUUUACCAAAAUUGAAUAUCAAUAAAGUGUAGGGACAUGCCCCUGACUAUAGCCAAAAAUAACUCUAAACAGUCAGAGACACAAGGAACCAAAUUAUGAAAUGUAGACUUCCAAAUUAUGAAAGAUCAUCACUUAAUGUUAACUCACAAACUGAUCCCGAAUCCUAAUCAACAAGCAGGAGAAAUAGAAGUAUGGCCAAUUUCUUCAUUGCUUGGGGAUACAAUGUCCGAAGAUGGUUAGCAGGGUGAAUGCUCGCAUAAUACUCAGGGAAAAGGGUAACAUAAUGCCAUAAUCAACAGUUUCAAAUCAUUUAAAUCCAAUAUAUACAACCAAAUGCAUAUACAUAUAUAUAUAUAUAUAUUACAUGAAAGGAUAGGGAACAAGGCUUAACAUGUAUUUUAUAUAUAUAUAACAUACAAAGGAACCUAAGGGCUAUAUGGUCCAAGCUCUCCCCAGUUGGUAGGGUCCCAGUAUAUGUGGCCACAUGAACUAGAGGGUAUACAUAUGCAAUAUUAGGGAAUCAAACCUCCCUGCAUAUCAAGGUGCCACAAGCACAAAAUUAUGUAAUAUAAUGUAGGGGACUCGAACCUCCAAUCAUAUGAUGAUAAUAAGGGGGACUCAAACCUCUCUGGUUAUUUCGACCCCCGCGUCGGCAACUACAGUUUCUAGUAUCUGUUACUUGGACCUCCACUUUUACAACUCAGCUACACAACUCCUUUUUAAGCAAAAUUUAAAACAUUUAUAACACAUUCCCAUUUAUUGAACCAUAUUUCACAUUAUGGCAUACAUUGUUGGUAUCUUCAUACAAACUACACUUGCAAGGUAACAACAACAUGCCACACCAAUUACAUUCACUUGGGAGAAUUCACAACCCCUUGGUUGAAUUUUACAUUAGCAUGGGGAAUUACACAACCCCAUAAGGUUCAAUUCAAAAUCAUAAGGCAACAAUUCAAGAAUAGUCAAUUACCACAUUUCUCAUAAUUUAAAACCAAUUUUAGAAUAUGGGGUUGGGGUCAUAACCACCUUAAAAGUCACAAUUUUUAGGAAAUCACAAUUCCUUAGUUCAUUCACCAUAUCCAUGCACCCACAAGUUCAAAACCAUAUUUAAAGCAUGAAUUAUCAUAUGUACACCAUGGGAGAACAUUGUUCAAUAACACGUAUUAAAAACCCUCAACCCUUGUUUCCAAAAGCAACAUCAAUAUCUCAUGAACAAUACUUUAAAAUAUAUGAUUUUAACAAAUUAAUAAUGAGGGAAGAGUAACAUGCCUGAAAUACCAAGUUUUGCAAAAAGAAUCCAACCCUUGAGUCUUUGGAUUAUCUACUUCUCAGAAACCCUAAGUAUGGCUGCUUGAGAGAAUUUUGAAAGAGCUUAGGAAGUGUUUGAGUACGUUCAAGAGGAAAUAUAACCCCUCUUAAGUGCUUUAUGGAUCUGGGGAUUUAAUUGGUUAAGAGGACAAUGGUCCAAAGUUCCUUUAAAUUAAAAGCUUGAAUUUAUUAUUGUGACUACGAGUCACUGUAUGACUCGUAUAGGAUCAUUAUGACUCAUCUCCUUGAUUCGUAACCAUGGAAGUUCCUAGGAAGCCCACACACUGUUGACCCUAUGACUCAACUAGUACCAUUUGUAAUAGGACCCUACAACUAAUAGGGUCUAGUUGUAGUCAAUGUAGAACCCAAUAUGGUAAACACUUGACAUCCUAUGAUUUUCACCCAAUGACUCGUAACAAGUCCUAUGACUCUUCGCGAGCCACUCAUACUUAGAGAAGAACUUUACCACAUACAUACUAAUUUGGUUAUGAUUAGGUCCCUAGGACCCAUCAAGACUCCCUAUGACUCGUACCCCCAAGUCAUACUCAGGAUAGUAACUCAAGUACUAAUCAUUAGACACCUUACGACUAGGGUUACAUGACUCAUCAAGACACCCUACGACUCAUAGGGUGCAUUUGGAUAAAAUAUUAAAAAAAUUUCAAGGACCAAAAAACUGAGGCAUUACAAUACCCUUCCAAGUAACACAUUAAAAUCCUAAGAAUGAUGGUCACUGUUUUGCUAUCACCACCUGAAGUGGUAAGACUAAUGCCGAUUUUUCAAGGAAUGAUAGAAUUGUGGUUGAUGAUACACCUAUUGUAGAUUUAGAAUUAGCAUUAGGUAUUGAUGUUAGUAUUAAUAGGGAUAGAGGUAAGGUAAAGGCUGAUGAGCCCAUUGUAAAGUAAUUUCCACGACCGCCUCCACCUUUUCCUCAAAGACUGAUAUAGAAGUGGGAGGAAAAAAAGUUCAAGAGAUUAUUGAGAUGAUAAAAGAUCUAAGCUUGAACAACUUUCUAUUUUAGGCUUUGGAGUAGAUUCCUGGAUAUGCCAGGUUUAUGAAAGAAUUUGUGAUGAAAAAAUGAGCAAUUAUUCGGAGGAUGCUAGUGGAUUGCAUUAUUACAAUGUAUUCACUUAUAUCUUUUUGGCCCAAAAGAAGGGUGAUCCUAGAGAAUUCACGAUUCCAUGCACUAUCGAGAUGUCCAAAUUUACCAAAGCAUUAUAUGACUUAGGACCCAAUAUUAAUUUGAUGCUGCUGGCUGUGUUUAAAUAAUUUAACUUAAGACCUCAAGAACCGGCUACUCUGUGAUUGUUAAUGGCUGAUUGCAUAGUAAGAAAAUGCAUGGGCAUAUUGUUUGAUGUGUUGGUAAAAGUUGAUAAGUUUAUCUUUUCAAUUGAUUUUGUCAUUUUUCAUUGUGUGGUUAACUUUGAGAUGCCCAUCAUAUUGGAAAGACCAUUCAUGGAAACAAGUAGAGCAAUGGUUAAUAAAGAGAAGGGGGAGGUCAUGUUUAGGAUCAAUAAUGAAGAAGUCAUAUUCAACAUCUGGAAAACUAUGAAGCAACCUGUCGAUAUGAGUGUAGCGCUAGUUAUUCAUUGUAUUGAUGACCUAGGAUGGAAUUCUCUUAGAUGCCUUGAUGAAUUAUUAGUAAUCAAGGUACCCACAUUAUGCCGUAAUGUUAAAUUUAGCCCUGCAUGGGAGGAAACCCAUGGGCUUGUUGGUAAAGUCUGAAUAACAACAUAGCCACGUCGUGUUUCGAUGUUAAAUCAAGCAUUGAGUGAGAACCAACCCACUAUUUUAGUGUUCUCAUUUUUUUAUUUUUUUUAGGUAAAAUGGAAAAAGGAAUGGCCUGGAUUGAGGUAAAAUUGUAUAAUUCAAAAUAUUCCAGGUAAGGGGACAUUGUGACCAACUCAUGAACGUCACAAGUUCUACGUGUGCCAGGUAAGUUGUGCAUUAAAUGUUAAAAGGAAAUUUUGGGGAUGUUCUGUACUUGAAAAUGUAACACACUUAUAACUAUGUAAAUACCACUUAUGACUUCAUAAGUAGUGCAAUAUGAGUUAGAAAAAAGUUCAGAGAUUUAGAAAAAAAGUAAAAAAAGGGACCCGUCUAUGGUGUCCACCUCUGGUCCAUAGGUGGUGCCAUAGAUGGUAACUCUUUGGGCCUAGUUUUAUUUAAAAAUAUAGGCCUACCCUAACCCUACCUAGCCCUAAACCAACCCUAAGCCUAUUUAAGUCCCAUUUAGCCAAUUGUAACCCCUAAAACUCAAAAUUUCCUUCCUUUCUCUUAAAAUUCAAACUACCCCAUUUUCCUACACUUGAGUAAAGGCAAAUACACUAUUUUUUCUGGAUACCAACUUAUUCAAAAUCACUACAAGGCUUUCAUUUCGUUUUUUAUGCUUCAAUUUUGGUUCCUUGAAUAAAAGGUAACUUUCUUGGCUUCAAUAGUAUUAUCUUGUGCUAAACCUGAAAUAAGUGAAUUAGUUUGUUUAUUUUCAUGCAAAAUACAUAGAAAUCAAUAAAAUUGUAUAUAAGAUCCUUGAAUUUGCCUAAAUAUCCUAAUGUGGGGAAUUUUUCUCAAAUUAAAUCAUAAUAUCAUGCCCUAAAUGAAAGUUAAAGUUGAAAUGGUAAAGGAAUCCCAAAUGUUUCCAUGUUAGUUUGCAUUGAAAAAGUUGAUUCUAGUAGUAUGUGUGCAUAAUGGACUUUUUUGUGCUGAGUAUAAUUUAUAUAGACGUAAAAUUGAGUGAAAAUUGGAAGUUUUCAAAUUUUGAGUUUUUCUUUAAGUUUUGCACUCCCUCACUAUCUUUUGGACACUAACACUUGGUUCUUUAGGUACACAUAGUGGUAAAGACUUAAAAGAAGAAGGUUGUACCUUUAAUAAUAGGCUACACCUUCAAGGCAAAAGAAUGACUCCUCCGAGGGAAGUGUCUCGGUGGAGAAAUACCCAAUUGAUCGGACAAGAGUAACCCCAACUAGAGUGAUAUGGCCAGUGACUACGGGCCAGAAAUAUGAUGCAGAUGAGACUAUAAUUAAGGAGAACUUGGGCGUACCACUUGUAGACCAUUUAUAGUGGCGCAAAAGACCUACUUCUACUCAUACUAGAGCUAAGCCAAAAUCCCACAAACUAAUUUCUUAGCUGAGGAUAAAGAAGGCUAGGAUUUUAUCUGUAUACUCUUCCCAGUCUAUGGAGAGAGAGAAUAAGGACAAGGAUAAUGAUGAUAAGGAGGUGGAGUUUGAGUCACUUAUAGAGGUUACUACAUAGGACCCCUAGUCUUUGGAGGGGUCACAGGAUGCAAACGAGUCUGAGGCUGUAGUUUUAGAGAAGUCAAUAGUACUUUAGUUUGAGGAGGGUACCACAGUUCUGGAGGAGUUAUUAGUUAUACCCUAGUUUGAGUCGGGUAUAAAUCAGGCUACAUAUUAGGUACGGCUACCAUAUAUAAGGCCACCAUCUCAGAUACAUUAGGAUCGAUCGAGCCUAUUUAUGAGGUUAACCCAAGAUGGUGUGUAGAGGGGAUAUAAUUGCUUUAUAAAAGAGACAACCAUGUGACCGAGACAAGCCAACCCAAGAAAGAUAUUUAUGGGUAUAGAUGGAUUGAUUUGUCUGUGUUGGCUGGAGCACCAUUGUCCAGGGCUGUAUUUGGCAAGUAUUAGCUGUGGUGGAUGACUAGACCUUUAAGUUCAUACAAACCGAUAUUAGUAUGGGAGUUAUAUGACUUCUACCACUCUACAGUAUCUUUGUCUACGCCUAGAGGUAGGAGGCAUAUAGAGCAGCCACGGUUAGAGAAACUUUUGUGAGAGGGGUCAAAUUUAAUAUUUCAGUGACAACUAUCCAUCGAGUUUUAUUUGGCCCAGAGUAUGUAGCUCCCAUGUCUAUAGCUGAGUCUGAUCACUAUUUGACAUAGGCAUAUGACAAACACGCCAUUAAAAAAGAUAAGAACUAGAGUGAAAGGGUAGGUUGGUGAGACGAAUCACCAUUUAUAUCUUACCUCUCAAAGUGGAUGCCCCUGAGGUUAAGGGGCAAGAUAUGAAUAAAAAGGUUGCAUUGAACUUCACUUGAUAGUUUUGGUGGCUAUUGGUGUGUUAUUAUUUGUGUAUGACUACCACGAAUAACUUUUUUACUUAGGAUAGUGUAUCAGUGAUUGUGAGUAUGGAAAUUGAUUAUGAUAUUUAUUGUAGCCAUCAUCAAAUAUGAGAUACAUGAGUAGGCAUUUGGGGAGACAACCACACUGCCCCUUCCUAUCCUGGUAGAAUUUUUAUAUAAUGAGAUAAUGUUCUAGAUAUUCCAGGUUUUGAUGUGAUAGUAGAGGUAAUGAACGUGGCCCCGACUUAAUGAUCAAGGACCCAACAAACUCAGUCCUUGCACAGAGGUCUGAUAUGCUUCCGAUAGUGGUUCUAGCCCAAUUUGAGAGCUUAUCAGUUCUUUCUAAGCCAACUAAUAUAAAAGAAGUUGAUGUGGGUAUUAGCAUGGAGUUUGAGAUAGGGAAUAAAAAAGGUCCCUUGAUACGAGCACACAGGGUAAGGGGACACCAACUAUAUCUAGUUUAGUCCUAGAUUUCACUGUAGAGCCAGUUGGGACAUCUAUACUACCCCCUUACCCCUCUACUACAACUAUUGUAUCAGGUAUAGUUUUUCUAUCCCAUGAGUUUUUGCAGAGCAUAAUAGAUAGUCUGAGUGCUACCAUUACCCGUCUUGAGAAUAUUGAGGCUUAGGUUGCAUUUUUGUAUGGUUAGAUCUUGCCUUGGGCCCAGACAAUACUUAAGGCAAUAGAAACUAGACUACAAGCUGCACAUAUGAUUGAGAUGUCAAUAGUUCUAAGCUAAGGUGCUUUCUUGUAUAAAUACCUUUGAGGAUUGAGUGUUGGCUAAGUUUUGUGAUAUUUAGGCACCCAAUUUGAGUUUAAUUUGAGAUUAGGUGGCCACCCUACGGCUAGAGAUAUUCUUUCUCAUUGAAAGCAACAAUACAACCAUCCCUCUAAUUAUACCUCUAGUUGUUCACCAAUACCUCUACAUAGACCUAGACGCUUUGAAUAGUUCACAGAGAAUAAUGAGGCAGUCCCUAUUAUUAGGACUGAGAGAGGUAGAGAGGUAGAGUUUUAGGAUCCUGAUAUACCAUUUGAUCAGGCCCUAAAAUGGUCUAGACAUGAUUCAAGGGAUACUAACUUUGCAUAUAGACAAAGGCAUAUCGAGAUAGCUGCGGGUGCAUCCUCUAGUAAUGAACUAUCAUGACCACCACCUCUGCUAAUUGAGAUACCCUUCCUUAGGGAUGAUCAUGACACUGGUGCCUAGUGCAUCCCAGGUACGUCCUUAUUUCCUUGCUUUAUAUUAUUUAUAAACAGUGGGGACAAUGCAUAGUUUUUAGUUAGGGGUGGGGUAUACUAUAGUCACUGUGGGUUUUUGUUGCCAUGCUUCUUUUCAUAUCAAUCAUGGCAUGAUUGUAUAACUGAUAUGUCUAGGUCAAAGUUUAUGUCGUAUUGUUUUUUGUUUCAUAUUAUGUUUUGGUUAUGUGAAAUUAGGAGAUCUUUGAGUAUUUAGGGUAAUUGAUAUGUUUUUCAUGGAUUUAAGAAAAAUGAUACCCCUCCAAAAAAUUUAUUUUUAGAACUGUGUGAAUUUAUAUAUGUGUGACCAUUAUGGAUCUUAUUAUAGAAUCAGGAUUAGGGACAUCAUAAUCAUUGCUAACAAUUGUAUCAACCAGAUAGGUAGUAGCUUGUGAUGUAACCCUGUGCCAUCUGUGUAAGAUAUUACUUAAUUUUCUUUAUAUGUUGAAUCCAGAAUUUGCCUGAUUAGACUUUCCUUGGUCGUAGGAUAGUUGGUUAGGAAAACAUCAUAGGCCAUUUUUUUUAUGUUAGUCCACUUUUAGCCUAAAUGAUCUUCUAUGUGUGAAUAAGUUUCCCUUGAUCCCUAUUUUUGAGUCUAUAUGCCUAUUUUUCUUGUUACACCUUUCAGCUUCCCAUUUAUUUUACAAUGAGCUUAUUUUGGCCCUGGUCCUCCUAGGAUAUUAUGCACCUCAAGUCAAAAAAAUUGCCUGAGUUUAGGGCGACUAUUAUAAGGGUGCAUAAUUUAAAGUGAGUAUAAAGACUGGUAAAAUAUGAGAAAAAAUAUAGUAAGGUUGGGUAAGGUAGAAAAAGAAAAAGAAAGAAAAGAAAAAUGUGAAAAAUAAAAGAAAAAGAAAAAAAAUGAAUAAAAGAAACCAUACCCAACCUAAAUGUGCAAUAAAUAAUAAAAGUAAAGAAAUAAGGGUGGAAUAAAAGGAAAUUAGUUAAAGUGUGAACCCUAAAGUAAGUGUAGCGCAAAGGAAGCUUAGUCACUUGACAUUACCAUAUCUACCACACCAACCCCUAAACCUACAUUACAAGCUGAAAUAAAGCCCUAUAGUGAUCCUAACUUGACUGUUUGAAAGCUAUGGUGAUGAAAAUAAAGGUAUGCCUAUGGUGUUUGAUGCGUAUUGUUGGAACUUCUCUUGUAAGUGUGAGUGUCUCUUAAUUGUCCCUAUAUUGACAUACAUAAUUUCAUUUGAGUGAGUGGGACUUAUUUGUUGUGAGGGCGUAUGGGUUGUAUUGCUAGCUGUUUACUUGUUUGUGUAGUGUCACUUCUACAUAUGCACGGUUCUCUAUGGAUAAUGUAAUGCCAUAUCUUAAUUCCCUUGUGUCACAUUGUUAUACUUAAUAUACACACACAGUUGGUUUUAAUGUGUCAAAAUAGAAGGGGGUAAUGUAUUUGAGCUUAAAGUUGAUGAUUGACUGCCUUAGAUAGCUUAGAGUUCUCCUAGUUUAGAGUCGUUGCUUUGUUUUGUUUUUGUAUUUCUUAAGGACAUGCAAAUGUUCUAAGUUAUAGGUGUUGAUGUGCUAUGGAUUCAUAUCACUUUUGAUGCUUAAAACUAUAAAAUAUGCAAGUUACUUAGGUUGUUUUGUUAUGUAUGAUGUGUUUUGCGUUAUGUUUUGUAGGAUACUAGGUUUUGAAUGAUAAACUAAAGAAAAGGAUGAAAAACUAAAGUUUAUGGCUACUUAUCUAUGAACCUACAACCCAUAAGUACCAUUUACUAGGCGUAGGUUCCAAAGUAGGUGUCAAAAAUUAGAAGUCUAGAGGUUCAGAAUUGUAGAAAAAAAGACUAUGUCAUUUGCGAUGUAGGUGCCAGUCCAUGGUGAUAAAGUAUGUUGCAGAAAGGAAAAGUCCAUAGAUUCAGGAGCUGGUGGAGGAGAGGGGGCACCUACAUGGGACCACCUAUGAUCCAUAGGAGCAACCUAUGAUCCGUUGGUGGAUACCAACCUUAGUUUUCCUUUUUCGUUUGUGACUUGAUUUUGAGGGUUUACGUGUAUUCUAUAAAUACCCUUUUGACAUUUUUAGUUAGUUUACACACUCUUAAUACUUAUAAAUAUAUAUUUGAUUCUAGGAUUUGAUUUUGACCUUAGAAUGUACUAAUUUUUGUUGUUUAUUCAAUUAAAGACUUUGGGUUUUAUUCGUUGAUUAUUGUGAUAUUAUUUGAAUGACUUCAAUUAUGAAUUAUUUUGAUCGCAUUACAAACAUGAGCAACUAAUUCCCUUAGCUAGGGUUGUCGCAACCCUGGAUAAAUAAAAAAGUAAGGGAAGUGUCAAUCCUUCUAGAUAGUUAUUGCUGCAUGCAUUGUGGUUUUCUUCGUACUUAUUUCUUUCUUAACGGUUGCAAAUGUUAGGAUCAUCCCGUAUUCACUACAAACCUGACAGGGAGGUAGAUAUUUGGAAAAGAAGAUCAAAAUAGUGAUUUGGGUUUAAUUAGUGAAACAAGCUUACCUGCAUUAUCUUCUUAAGACAAUAAACUAUAUCUAAUCAACUUAAGAUCGAAAAGAGAUAGUUUAAAUUAGGGUACAAGGUAUGGGAUAGUAAGUCAACACUCUAAGAUAGAGAGAAGAUGAGUUAAAUUCACCAAAGUAUGUUGAGAGGCAAUUGGUGAUACCUAACAUACCAGAUUCUACAUGCACAGAAGUUUGAUAGUUUGAUUGAGCAUUAAAAGCCUAUCAAGUUGAAAGCCAGGGGGAACAAAAGCCUAUUGUUCAUCACUAAUUGAUUAUAACCAAAGUUAAGCUCGGUUACUUAUUCGAGAUUUCUACUACAAAACACCCAUUUACUUUUAGUUUUGCCUGGUAGGUUCAACAAGCUAGAGAGAUUGGUCCAUGUCUUCCCUGUGGGAUCAACCCCAACUUAGUUAGGUUACUUUACUUGACAAUAAUCGCUUUAUCUUACAAUUGGAGGUGUAGUUCGGGCAUUGCUCAUAAGUGGCCUCAUAAGUGUCAAAGGAGGUACGAUCUAAGAAGCUGAAUGCUGAAGAUUGUUUUGUCAUUGAUGAAGGGUCACUUAUGAUGCAUAAGUACCACUUAUGCCCCCAUAAGUACCAACUAGGAAUUAGAGGAAAUUUUUUUGAGAAGAUUAAAGACUAAAGAUUGGUCUAAGAAGGACGAACGGGGCAUAAGUAGCACUUUUUCUGCCGUAAAUGUCAUCAUAAGUAGCAUGCUACAACGACAUUUUGACACUUCUAAUCAACCUAGGGUCCUGUAAGUUACUUAUGGCUCGUAAGUGGGUUCGUAAGUGGUGACCGACCAAAUUUUCCUUAUUUAUUUUGGUUAGAAUUUGUAGUGUUUUGAUACAUUUUAUACAUGCACUUUUUGAUGUUUUUGGGAUCAAUGACAAGGGUAGUAAGGUGACACUUUGAGAUUCAUAAGGUGAAGAGUGAAAUUCAUCAAAAGCAUUCACAAGAUGGUUGGUGAUACAUAUCUUGUUAAAUUCUGCAUGCAUAGAGUUAAGAUUGUCGAAUUGAGCACGAUAAGUCUACAGAGUUAGGGAGCCAGGGGGAACAUAGUCCUAGUAUUCAUCUUAGUUUGACUUCAACCAUAGCGACCAAGAUUUGUUAAUAUUGAUACUGUUCUCACCAAAACCCUAAUUUACUUUCUGCAAUUUUUGGCUACUUCAGCAAAUUCGUGUGAGAUAUUCGAUCUAUUCCCCAUGGGUUUGAUCACAACCUUUAUUGGGUUACUAUAUUUGACAGCGACCACAUUAUGAUUUCUUUGGAGGUAUAGCUUGGGUGACAUCAAAUUUUUUACGCCAUUGCUGGGGCAUACAAUUACAAUUGAUUGAUUGAAGUUGUUAAGGUUGUUGGGUAUUUCUUUUCUAUUUUUCUUAGGGUGUACACCCGUGUAUGAUCAGUACUAGAAGUCAAGGCAAUUCCUUGAUCCCACUUUAUUCAAAGAAUAAAAGAAUCCUAUAAAAGAAUCUUAGGAUGUCAGAAUACGAUUGUGAAGCUCAUUAUGAGCUGCCUUAAGAUGAUACACUUGAGUUGAAUCCUCCACCUCUACAUGGUGCUCAAGAGGUAGCUUUGUAGACCUCUGUGUAGCUACUAGCUGAAGAGAAUGCGAGAUGGGAUGUGAUUGCCCGCUGUGUAUCUCAAAGAGGCAGAGAUAAAAAGCUAGGUGUUGAGAAAAACUCAACAGAGGUAAAAUAGAUAGAGUUUAAAUGCCCUUCGUUUUUCAGUGUAUUCCAGUAUAUGAUGAUCCAGAGGAGUACUUGAGGUAUACUGAGCCUAUCAAGAUAGAAGCCACUAUUCCCUCAGAGUUUCCUAGAGGGUGAAGGUUGAUAUCACAAAUGCUAUGAUUCAUCUGCUUAAUUUGAAGUGUGUUCUUGCUGGUUUGCCGAUGGAUAAUACAAAUAUGCAUAUUAUGAAUUUCGUAGGAAUGUGCUCUUCAUACAAUUUACUUGGGGUGAGUAAGGUAGCUUUGAUACUCAGGAUGUUCCCAUUUUUCUGAUGUGUGACAUGACAUUAUGGCUAGGGAAACUACCUCAUGGGUCGACCAUUAAUUGGAUUUACUUGGGAAAGUAAUUCUUGGACCGAUUCUUCCCGCCUUCUAGAUUGCUGUAAUUGUAGGAUGAGAUUUAUAAUUUCAGGCAAUUAAAUUUUAAACCACUUUAUGAGGCAUGGUUGAGGUUCAAGAAAAAGUUGUUGAUGGUUCCUAAUCACCGGAUUUUGCAAGGGAAUUUUCUUAAAAUAUUUAUUGAGCCCUGAAUUCCAAUAUCAAAGCUAUUGCAGAUACUAUCAUUGGUGAAGAUUUUAUGAGCCUGCAUUGGAAGUUAGCAUAAAAUUUUUAGAGUAGGUCUCUAUGACCAAACAUGGGUGGCAUACUUAGGAGGCCAAAAAGGAGUCAGUACUUAUGUUAUUAGUGCUUCCAGUGAACAAAGGAUUGUAGAUAAUAUAGUAGUAAAAGAGGCUGCUCAAUUGAGGAUGGAGAUUGGGUUAUUGACAAGGCAAUUCAAAACUUUGAAUUCAGAAAAGGUGAAUGCUGUAGGUGAACAAGGUAAAUCUCCUAAGAUAUAUGACUCAAAUAUUGAGGAAUAGACAAAUGGAUAGAUAAAUAAUGAGUUUCCAAGCCAAGGGUCAAGCCUCUAAUUAAGACACUUGGAACUCGAGGCAAGGGGAUUAUGGUUGGAACUACUCUAGGGACACAUAUAAGGAUUGGAGGAGAGAGAGAGAGAGAUGGUUAAUAGAGACAUAAAGAUGAAUAUAAGGAGAAGAAUGAUGCAUAUGUUUCUCUAAGAAACCAUGAUAUCGAUUCUAGGAUGUAAGCAUUGUUGACUAAGUUGGUUAAGGGUUCAUAGAAUCAAGGGAGUUAAUGUAAGAAGAAUAAGGUAGAUAUUUCAGUACUGAGCUAAAAAGUUGAAUCGCAUGCUACCGUGAUUAAGUAGCUUGAGCAAUAAUUUGGUCAAAUGUCGGGUACUUUGAAUCAAUAUCAACCAGGCACUCUUACAAGAACUACUAUAUAGAAUAUAAAAAAUGAUAAUCACUAUUUAUACAUCACCACUCGGAGUGAGAAGAAAACUAUUGGUCCCCCUCUACCUAUAGUUUAUGAGGUUUAAGAGGAUGUUGUUGAUAUUGAUGUUGCACAUGAAGUAGAAUCUACAAAGUUGGUGACAAAUGGUGAAUCUUCACAAAAAUAGAUGGGUAUUGAUAAAUAAGUUGAGAAGGAUAAAGGUAAGAAGGAAGUUGAGCUAGUAUUAAAGACUAUUCCAUAACCUCUCCAAACUUUUCCUCAUAGAUUAAAGAAGAAGCCAGAGGAAAAUAAGUAUCAAAAUUUCAUGUCGAUGUUGAAGGAACUGUCUAUUAAUAUUCAUCUUAUAGAAGCAUUAAAGCAAUGCCAGGUAAUACAAAGUUCUUGAAAAAUUUAAUUACUAAGAAGAUGACAGUGACGUUUAAGACCAUUGAUAAUAUGCAACAUUGUUGUGCUAUUUCCUCUCGAUCUUUGAUAGAGAAGAAGGAGGAACUAGGGGCAUUCUUUGUUCUAUGCACUAUUGGUUCCUUCAACUUAACUCAAGCAUUGUAUGAUUUACAAGCCAGUAUUAAUCUGAUGUCAUUGGUAGUUUACAAGAAAUUGGGGUUGGGGAAACCAAAUCAGUAUCAAUGAAAUUAUUGAUGGUUGACCACACUAUGAAAAAAUCGAUAGGCAUAAUAUGUGAUGUGUUGGUAACGGUGACCUCUUUUAUAUUUUCAGCUUAAUUUGUGAUCCUUGACUAUGAGGUGGAUUUUGAAGUUUUUAUUAUCUGGGUAGGCCCUUCCUAUUUAUGGGUAAGGCUUGCCAUAAAAACGGGGGAGAUAAAAUUAUGACUUAAUAACAAACAAGUUACUUUCAAUGUAUUUUAGUUUAUGCGAUAGCCAAAUGAUAUGCGGGUGGGGUCUAUGAUAGAUACUCUUAAUGAUAUGCAUUAAAUGUCCUUAUUAAGGAAAGAUUUGGGGUUAAAGAACUCGCGAUAGUUAUCAUGAACUUUGAUAUUGAUGGUAUCAAUUUGUAUGAUGAGAUAGAGAGUGCAAGUAUGGUAAGGGUUCUUAUUCUUAUGCUCCAAAAAAUCUAUAUCUUGAUUUGAAGAAUAGAGAAACUCCACCAGCUUAUCCACUUAUUGAGGAGCUAUCGGUUUUGAAAUUGAAGGCCCUUCCAUCCUAAUUGUGAUAUGGAUUUUUGAGGGCCAACAAUACAUUUUCGGUCAUUAUUCCUAUUGAUUUAUUUGAUCCGCAAGUCGAGGCAUUGAUUUUAAGUUUGCAGAGAUUAAGAGGAUGGACUAUUGUAGAUAUUGCAGGGAUUUUUCUUGGGAUUUGUACUCAUAAAAUUUAGCUUGAACUGGAUUGUGCUCCCAUAAUCGAGCACCAAUGUUAUUUGAACCCACCUAUGGAAGAGGUGGUGAAUAAAGAGAUAAUAAAGUAGUUGGAUGCAGGCAUGGUUAAUCCCAUUGCAUAUAGCAAGUGGAUGAGCUCGGUUCAAUAUGUAUCUAAGAAGGGUGGGAUCAUUGUUACUCCAAACUAGAAGAAUGAGUUCUUGCCCAUGAUAUCGGUUAUUGAAUGGAGAGUGUGCAUGAACUAUAGAAAGUUGAACACUUGGACAUAAUAGAACCAUUUUCCUAUAUUGUUUAUGGAUCAGAUACUAGACAAACUUAUAGGCAGGGGUUGAUACUAUUUUCUUGAUGGUUAUUCAGGGUACAAUCAGAUUUCCAUUACUCUUAAAGACUAAGAGAAGACUAUUUUACUUGACCUUCUAGUACUCCUGCAACCUUUUAGCACUGCAUUAUGUAGAUAUUUUUUGAUUUGGUAGAGGACACUACAGAGGUCAUUAUGGAUGACAUUUUGGUUUUUGGGGAAUCUUUUGAUACUUCCAAACAUGUUUGGCCAAUGCACUUCAGAGAUUUGAGGAGUGCAACCUGGUUUUGAAUUGGGAAAAGUGCCAUUUUAUAGUGAAGAAAGGGAUUGUUCUUGAACAUAAGACUUUGAAGAAGGGGGUAUUGAUAUUGGCAGGUUAAAAAUAGAGGUGACUAAAAAAUUACCACCUCUGAUUUUAGUUAAAGAUAUCAAAAAAUUCUUGGGUUAUGCUGGGUUUUAUAGGAGAUUCAUCAAGGACUUCUCUAAAAUUGCAAAUCUAUUAUGCAAGCUUUUACACAAGGAGGUGAAGUUUGUGUUUGAUUAUAUGUAUCUUAAGGACAUUGAUUUCCUUAAGAAGUGGUUGAUCUCAGCUCUAAUUAUUCGAUCUCUAGACUGGUUUUUUCUUUUUGAAAUGAUGUGCAAUGCUAAUUGUGUAGCUUUGGGAGGUGUCCUAGCCAACAAUGUGUGAAUAGGCUUCUACCAAUAUACUAUGCUAGCAAAGAAUUAAACCCUAUUCAAAAUAAUUAUACAAUCUCUGAGAAGAAGUUACUCACAGUGAUUUUUACUUUUGAGCAAUUUUGGUCUGAUUUGAUAGGGACAAAAGUCAUUACUCACACUAAUCAUACAACACCAAGGUAUCUUAUAUUGAAGAAAGAUACUAAGUCAAAGUUGAUCCAUUGGGUAUUCUUGUUACAAUAAUUUUACUUUAAGGUGAAAGACAGAAAAGGCAUAGAAAACUAGGUUGCAGACCAUCUAUCCCACUUUAAAGAGGAAGCAAUGUUCAAAUUAGGGGAUGAUUGAUGUGUGAGCUAAUGCUAACACAUUUGAGGCUUUUAACUAGAAAUAAUUGUAAAUUCUUAAGAAAAUUUUGUCAUUUUUGAUUGUUUUCUCUUUGAUAAUGCAGGAAAGUUAAGAUGCAAGAAAACCAAAGACAAUAAGAGUAAAAAAGGUGAAUUUGGAACAAGUGGCCAUGAAAGUGUGGUUGAUGGCUUGUCUGAUAAGUUAUCAAAUUUGUGAUUAGUUAUCAGAGUCAUCAUCAGUUGUAGACAGUGUGAGGAAGUUGGAGCAGAAGUGUGACGACAUCCCCUGAUAAGCCAUCAGGUGUAUGAUAGGCUAUCUAAAAUGCCGCCAGCCUAAGGCAGAGAUCAUAAAAAUGGAAGAGGAGAUGACGACAUUUCUGAUAAGUUGUUAGACUUCUGAUAAGCCAUCAGGAGUUGCUGUCAGCCAAUGAAAGAAAACAUCAAACUUGGAGGAGGAGCUGACAACAAUGUUUGAUAAGUCAUCAGACUCCUGAUAAGGCAUCACACUUCGUCGUCAGCUGUGCGAGAAAAAGUUGUAUUCUGUGAUUUGAUUUCUAAUUUAGCUCUUGGUAUUUAAGGGAAAGUUCUUAGGUUUAAUUAGAGGCGAACAUUUAUCUUGAACUUCACGACAUUCAUCGAUUGAACAUGAACUUACACUAUUUUUUCUCUCUAAUUUUCUCUGUAACUUUACAAUUAACUUUUGAGAGAUUGUUAUCAUAAUUUUCUUAGGAUUUCUACUGCGAUCUAAUAUGAAAAUACUUGUUGAUAUUCAUUAUUCUGUAAGCUAUCAUAUAUCGAAUUAUGAAUACAAAUUGUCUUGUUGCUUUUUACAUUAUGAGUAGUUAAUUUCUUUAACCUGAGAUGUGGGAUCUAUGGGUUUGGUUUUGUAAAGUAACUAGGCGUUCAAGAUUCUAAAGGUAGUAGGAACUCCUUGGUAAUUCCUCUAUUUUACGUAUUGUCUAUUGGUUGCAAACGAUAGGUCAUGCCUACUAGUGAUUUGCUUGUAAUAAGAAAUCAACCCUAGUAGGAAGUGAAUUAUCACCAGGGACUUGGAAGCAUCAAACUUUCAUUUAAUAAUUAACGCUGUAACAAGGUUAAUUAACUUGAGACAACAUCUUUUAUGAAAUAUAAAUUCCCUAAUUUUGAAAGAAUUAGGUAAUUAAAUGUCUAAAUAGGUUGAGAAACAUUUAGACAUUACUUCGACAAGGAUAAUCUGCUGUUCCUACCUACCACAAGAAUCUUGAACCAUUAUUAGUGUCUGUCAAAUACCAACAAUCAUAGUGAACACAACUCUGGUUUUCCAUAUAAUAUUGAUUACAAAUACUGACACUAAAUUGAGAAAUAAUUACUUGUUACCCUUUUAAAAAAACCCCCCAUUUAUAGAAAACUGCUAACUAUCGAUUGAUUGACUCACAAACAACUCAAAUUAACACCAUAUUCCCUGUGGGAUUUGACCCUAACCUGGUUGGGUUAUAUAUUUGACAACGACCGCUUACUCUCUCGUAAGAGAGAUAUAGUUUGAGCAUUAUCAAAAAUGGCACCAUUGCCGGAGAAUACAGUUGUAAAUUUAAGUUUGUAUGCGCUAAUUGACUGUUAGUCAAGUUUCCUUAUUUUACGUUUAUUUAUUGUUUUUGUUCAUUACAGGCUCAUUGUUGUUUAUUCCUUAAACCAGAAGUUCAGGAGAACCAUUUUUACCCUUCAAUACUGAACCCCAACUGAUCGGCAGAAUGGCAGACCCACAAGAAGCUGAUCGGCUAGCCGCCUUAGCUAGAGUUCAGGUUAAUCUACAGAAUGACGGUCAACAAGCCCGUCAUCUAAAUUUGGAUGAAGAUGACUUGGGAGAUAAAGAAUUUCUAAAUCCUGGUAACUGAAGGCGUGCAGAGGAGGUAGCUGCACCAGUGAAAAUAAAUGUACACAGAAACCAUCCUUUCAGGUUAAAACCUGAUCGCCAAGCUGUACAAUUUGAUCCUAAUAAGGAUGAUGAUGGAAUGGACGGAGCUGGUGCUACUGGAGCUAUUUUUCCCCUACCUCUAGUACCAGGAGUGAAGUUCAACAUUACUAGUACAAUAAUUUAACUCUUUCAGCUGAAGGGGUUGUUCGGUGUACUCCCAGGAGAUGAUCCCAAUAUGCAUUUAGUGAACUUUGUCACUAUUUGCAAGUCUUUCGAUGACAAGAGAGUGGGACAGAAUUCCAUCCGCCUGCAUUUAUUUUUGUUGUCUCUGUCUAGGGAGGAAACAUUGUGGCUUAAUGAACUGACGCCCGAUUCUAUAACCAGAUGAAGGCAGUUGAAAGAGGCUUUCCUAGAAAGGUUCUUUUCGCCUUCCAAAAGGGUAUAGUUGAGGGAUGAGAUCAACGACUUUAGGUAGUUUCCAACCGAAACCCUUCAUGAGACAUGGAAGAGGUUAAAAAAGAAGCUGAUGCAGUGUCCGAACCAUAAUAUGAUAGAUAUUCAUCUGAUAAAGACUCUUUAUUGGGGUUUGAACUCUAUUAUGAAGCCAGUUGUUGAUAAUGUUGCAGAGGGAACAUUUGUGGAUCUCACUUUUCAGGAGGCCUCAAAGAUGAUUGAUCGGAUGACCAAACAAAGUAGAGCUUGGCAUACCAGGGAUUCUGUGGUAGCAAGCCCUACUAUGUCUGUUGGCAUUACUGUCGAACAAUAGAAGAAAGAGAAAGAACAUGAUCAAGACAUGGAAUACUGGAAGACGCAGAUGGAUUUAUUAACCAAGCACUUAUUAUCUGCAAAGACUGAAAAAGUGAAAGAUGUUGUAUCACAAGGUAAAAAUUAUUUUGAUUCAAAAGAAGAAGCCAAAUAUUUGAAUAACUAGGGGGUUUUCGAGGCAAUAGCAAGAAAAUCAAGGUCAGACUUAUUAUGACAAGGCUAGAGAUAAGGAUUGGGAUCAAGGAAACUGGAAGAGGAAGAGUGAUAGAAGUGGGAUGUAUGUACCUCUCAGAAGCAGAGAUAAUGUAGAAACUAAUAUGGUAAGAUGUCCAUGGAGGACAUGAUAGAGAAAUUGUUAAAGAGAGUUGAGGCUACCAACUCUGGGGUAACUACCAUGAAGACCGAUUUGUCUUCUAUGAGUCAGUUGGUAAACUCGCACUCUACUUCGAUCAAACAGUUGGAACAACAAAUGAGCCAACUUUUUGUAGCAUUGAAUCAGAGAAAAAGUUGACGCUGCCAAGUGAUACAAUUUAGAACCCUCAAAAUAAUGGUUCAUGUAUGGCUAUUACCAUACAAAAUGGUAAGAUUUUAUCAGGCCCUUCUUUAGGCAAAACUGUUAAUGAUGAGGUGAUCAAAGAAGAUGUUGAUCUGGACAAAGGUAAUCCAGUAGAGUCUGAGAAGCUGGAUGACAUUGAUAUCCCUUCCAUCCAUUAAUAGGUUGAUGAGGUGGAACAAAGGAAAGAGAAUAAAAAGGAAGUAGUGGUGAAGACUCUCCCAAAACCACCAGCUCUCUUUCCUCAGAGAUUGAAAAUGAAGGUCGAUGAUAUGAAGUUUAGUAAAUUCAUAGAAAUGUUGAAGCAUCUAACAGUGAAUAUGCCUUUGGUCGAGGAACUUAAACAAAUGAUAGGACAUGCUAAAUUUAUGAAGGAUCUUAUGACGAAGAAAAGAGCGGUGAGCUAUGAACCAGUGGAUAACUUCCAUCAUUGUAGUGCUAUUUCUACAAGGUCCUUGGUGCAAAAGAAAGCAGACCCAGGAGCAUUCACUAUUCCUUAUACUAUUGGGUCACUAGAAUUCACUAAGGCCUUAUGUGAUCUAGGAGUAAGCAUCAAUCUGAUGCCGCUAGCUGUCUAUAAAAAGCUGGGUUUGGGCAUGCCCACACCCACCAACAUGUGACUUGUGAUGGUGGAUAGGUCGGUAAAAUGACCUAUUGGUAUUUUGUAUGAUGUGCUGGUAAAAGUGUCGAGCUUUAUAUUUCCUGCAGAUUUCAUAAUUCUAGAUUAUGAGGAGGACUUCGAGGUUCCCAUAAUCUUGGGUUAACCUUUCUUCACAACCGAAAAUGUGUUGAUUGAUUUACGAGCUAAUGAGCUCUUAUUCAAGUUAAAUGAUAAAGUGGUGUGAUUUGAUGUGUGCAAAUCAAUGAAGCAGUAUACAGAAAUGAGUGUGUUCUCAAUUGUUGACAUAUAUUAUGAGGAUGAGUAGGAGGUGUCAAUAGAGGAGAAACUUUCUUCCAACCUUUAGCUAUAGUACUGAUGAGUUUUGAUCAUAAAGGCUUUGAGGAGUACAAAGAGACUGUUCGUGCGUUGUUAAGAAUGGGUUCAUACUCUUAUGCCCCUAAGAAUACAGAUCUUGAUCUUGCUAAUCGACCAACACCACUGGCUAAGCUAUCCAUUGAAGAGCCACCGGAUUUGGAAUUGAAAGAACUGCCAGGGCAUUUAAGGUACGUGUUUUUGGGUAGUGGAAACAUGUUACCCAUUAUUAUUGUAGCUGAUUUGGGCAAGCAACAGGUGGAAGCACUUAUUGCGGUACAACAAAGUACAAAAGGGCAAUAGGCUGGACUAUUGUAGAUAUUAUUGGCAUUUCCCCUGGCAUUUGCACUCAUAAGAUACAGUUUUAGGAGGACUACACUCCAACCAUCAAACACCAAUAUAAUAUUAACCCACUAAUGCAUGAGGUGUUUAAGAAAGAAAUUAUUAAAUGGCUGGAUGCAGGAGCAAUUUAUCCUAUUUCUGAUAGUAAAUGGGUGAGCACAAGAAAUGGGGCAUGACUAUUGUUGCAAAUGAAAGGAAUGAGUUGAUUCCACUCAGGUUUGUGACUGGGUGGAGAGUGUGCAUAGACUACCACAAACUAAAUUUAUGGACUUUGAAAGACCACUUCUCGAUGCCCUUUAUGGAUCAAAUGCUUGAUCGAUUGGCAGAAAGGGGGUGGUAUUACUUCUUGGAUGGUUAUUCAGGGUAUAAUUAGAUCUGUAUUGCUCCCAAAGAUCAGGAGAAGACAAUAUUUACAUUCCCGUAUGGUACUUUCACAUUCAAGCAGAUGCUGUUUCGAUUAUGUAAUGCACCUACCACCUUCCAAAGGUGUAUGUGUCUAUUUUCUCAGAUAUGGUUGAAGAUACCUUGGAAGUAUUUAUGGAUGAUUUCUUGGUGGUAGGAGAUUCAUUUGAGAUUUGUUUGGCAAACCUGAGUAUGGCCUUGGAACGAUAUGUGGAAUUUAAUUUGGUGCUUAAUCAAAAGAAAUGCCACUUUAUAGUGAAGGAGGGCAUUGUUCUCAAGCACAAAAUUUUGGCAAAAGGGAUAGAGGUAGAUCGAGCCAAGGUAGAGGUUAUUUAGAAGCUACCACCUCCCAUUUCAGUGAAGGAAGUAUGUAGUUUCCUUGGACAUGCUGGCUUUUAUCAGAGGUUUAGAAGGGAUUUCUUGAAGGUUGCAAAUACAUUAAUCCAAUGGACUUGAUAAAGUGUUAGCCACCUUAUAUCUUGAUAAAUUCUGAGUAAUCAAGAUAACUAAGUCGUGCUGCGACACUAAAUCAGGCGCUAUUGGAAGGCAACCCAAAGUUUUUAUGUUUGAUCAAGGUGUCUUGAUGACCAAGUCUAAUAAGCUAUCACACUUGUGAUAAGCCAUCACACUAGGUCAUCAGAGAAGCUAAGCUUGAGGUAUAUUUUAUUUAGGGCUGACGACAACACUUGAUGGGUUAUCACAAUUGUGAUAAGCUAUCACAUGAGGUCGUCAACUGAGAAAAAUUUUGAGAUAUGUUCUGGAUAGAGCUGAUGACAAAAUAUGACAGGCUAUCACAACUCUGAUAAGCCAUCAAUAUUGACCAUCAGAUAUGAUGAAAUAAGGCAACACUCUGCCUUGAUCUACCCCAGGUAUACCCUAAACCUUAGUUCAGUUUCUCUUUGAAUAUAUAUUGAGGACAACACUUGAUUUUAUGUUGAGGGUAUAGGGUGAUUUGUUGUAAAGUGUUGUAGUUGACUAGGAGAAAUACAAGUACCUUAGGCAGUUAGCAUAUUUUUGUUGAUUUUUGAACACCUCUCCAAUGGUCUACUAUAUAACUGUGUGAUAGGCAUUUAUGUGUGACCACUGUGCAUCUUGUUAUGGCAUUAGUACUAGUGACAUGAUAACUAUUGCUAAAAAGUUGCAUAAACCGGAUGGGUAGUAGCCUGUAAUGUACUUGUAUGCCAUGUGGUGUGAGAUAUUACUUAGAUCCCUUUGUAUGUUAAAUUCAGAACUUGCCCGGUUAGUCUUGCCUUGGUUGUAGGAAAGGAUCAUAGGCCAUUUUAAGAUUAGUCCACUUCUAGCCUAAAUUACCUUUCCUAUAUGAAUGAUAUCCCUUGAUCCCAUUUUUGAGAAUGCCUAUUCUUUUAUGAUACCUAUCACCUUCCCAUUUGUAUCAUAAUGAACCUGUUUUGGCCCUAGUCCUUAUUGGACACUGUGCACUUUGACUUAGACAAAUAGCCAAAGUUGAGGGUGGAUACCAUAGGGGUGCAUGAUGUAAAAUUAGUAUGAAGAAAGCUAGAAUAAAAGAAAAGAAUAAAAAGCUACAUUUGGUGGAAAAACAACAAGAAAAGAAAAGUUGUGAAAAAAAAUGAAAUAAUUGUCAAAAAGACCGCACCCAUCCAGAGUAUGCGUGAUCAAGAAAGAAGAGAACUAGGUAAAGGUAAAUAAGAGAGACCCCAAAAGUUAGUUUAGUGCCAAGAAGGAUUAGUCACCUUAAAUAUCAUAGAUUGUCAUACCAGACCUUAGCCUACGUUACAAGCCGAAGAAAAAGACCUAUAGUGAUCCUAGCUUACCUGUCUGAAAACCUUGGUAAUGAAAAUAAGGGCAAGCUUAUGGUAUUUAGCAUACAUUGACUGGAACUUCUUUUUGAGAGUGAGUGUCUAUUAAUUGUCCCCAUAAUUACAUAUGUUAUUUCUUAUAUGAGUGAGGAGGGACUUCUUUAUUUUAAGGGCACACUGGUUAUGUUUCUAGUUGCUAACUUGUUUGGUUAGUGUAAUACUGGUACAUGAAUGGUUGUUGUUGCUAAGUUGAUGCCAUAGCUUGAUUCCUUUGUGUUGCAUUAUUGCUUUUCAGUAAUAUACAUAGUUGAGUUUUAGAUGAUUGACCUUGGAGAUGGUAAAUAUGUUUUGAGCUAAAAUGAAUGAUUGAUUGCCGAAUGUGCUUUGUAUCCUCUUAGUUAUGUCUAAGUUGCUUGAUGACAAGCAAUUUUUUUAAGUUGAGGGUGUUGAUAUGUGAGGUAAUGCUAACACAUUUGAGGCUUUUAACUAGAAAUAAUUAUAAGGUCUUAAGCAAAUUUUGUCAUUUUUGAUUGUUUUCUCUUUGAUAAUAUAGGAAAGUCAAGAUGCAAGAAAACCAAAGACAAUAAGAGCAAAAGAGGUGAAUUUGGAACAAGUGGCCAUGAAAGUGUAGUUGACGACUUGUCUGAUAAGUCGUCAAAUUUCCUAUAAGUUAUCAGAGUCAUCAUCAGCUGUAGAAAGUCUGAGGAAAUUGGAGCAGAAGUGCGACGCAUCCCCUGAUAAGCAAUCUGGUGUCUGAUAAGCCAUCAAGACUGCGAUCAGCCUAAGGCAGAGAUCAUGAAAGUGGAAGAGGAGAUGAUGAGAUUUCUGAUAAGUCAUCAUAAUUUUGAUAAGCCAUUAGGAGCUGACGUUAACCUAAGGCAGAAAUCAUCAAACUUGGAGGAGCUGACGAUAAUGUCUAAUAAGUCAUCAGACUCCUGAUAAGGCGUCAUACUUCAUCUUCAGCUAUGCGUGAAAAAGUUAUAUUCUUUGAUUUGAUUCCUAAUUUAGCUCUUGGUAUUUAAGGGAAAGUUCUUAGGUUUUAUUAGAGGCAGACAUUCAUCUUGAACUUGACGACAUUCAUCUUGAACUUCACGACAUUCAUUAAUUGAACACAAACUUACACUAUUUUUUCUCCCUAGUUUUCUCUGUAACUUUACAAUUAACUUUUGAGAGAUUUUUAUCAUUAUUUUUUUGGGAUUUCUACUGCGAUCUAAUCUGUGAAACAAUUGUUAAUAUUCAUUACUCUGUAAUUUAUCAUUCAUCGAAUUAUGAAUACAAAUUGUCUUGUCAUUUUUUACAUUAUGAGUAGCUAAUUCCUUUAACCCGAGUUGUGGGAUCUAUGGGUUUGGUUUUGUAAAGUAGCUUGGUGUUCAAGAUUCUAAAGAUAGUAGGAAAUCCUUGUAAUUCCUCUGUUUUACAUAUUUUCUAUUGGUUGCAAACGAUAGGUCAUGCCUGCUAGUGAUUUGCUUGAAAUAAGAAAUCAACCCUAGUAGGAAGUGAAUUAUCAAUAGGGACUUAAAAGCAUCAAACUUUCAUUUAAUAAUUAAUGCUUUAACAAGGUAAAUUAGCGUGAGACAUCAUCUUGUUAUGAAAUAUAAAUUCCCUAUGUUCGAAAUAAAUAGGUAAUUAAAUGUUUACGUAGGUUGAGAAACAUUUAGACAUUACUUUGACAAGGAUAAUCUGCUAUUCCUACCCACCCCAAGAUUCUCAAACCUUUACUAGGGUCUUUCAAAUACCAUCACUCAUAGUGAACGUAACUAUGGUUUUCCAUAUAAUAUUGAUUACAAACACUAACACUGAAUUGAGAAAUAAUUACUUGUUACCCUUUAAAAAACCCCAUUUAUAGAAAAUUGCUAACUAUCAGUUGAUUGACUCACAUACAACUCAAAUUUACACAUAUUCCCUAUAGGAUUUGACCCCAACCUAGUUGGGUUAUAGAUUUGACAACUACCACUUACUCCUUCAUAAAAGAAGCGUAGUUUGAGCGUUAUUAAUGAUCUUUAAAUAGAUGAUACUUUUCUAGAUGAUCGGGUCUUGGCAACAUCUCAAGACUUAAUCCCAUGUUUGUUGAUUUUGCUAACUUUUGGGCAAGUGAUCUUGUUACAAAAGAUUUAUCAUUCCAGCAGGGCAAAUAGUUUAUGCAUGAGGUGAUAAAGGUUUUCUAAGAUGAUUAUUAUCUAUUUUGGGUUUGUGUAGAUUGAGUUAUUUAGAGAUGUAUUCCUGAGGUGGAGAUGAUAAGCAUCCUUGAGGAUUAUCAUUCUUUGCCAGUUGGGGGUCUUCAUGGUGGUACCCGUGCAACCCAUAAAUUCUAUAGUGCGAGUACUAUUGGCCGACUAUUUUUAAGAAUGCUCAUGAUUUCACUUGAUCCUGUGAUUAAUGUCAGCAACAAGGUAAUAUUUCACUAAAACAUAAACUCCCCAUGACACCUAUCAUGGAGUUAGAGUUGUUUGAUGUGUGGGAGAUUGAUUUCAUGGGUCUGUUUGGGAGCUCUUAUGGGAUGAAGUAUACUAGUAGAAGUCGACUAUGUUUUUAAGUGGCUGGAGGCGGUUGUGCUCCCUAACAAUUAGGGUUAAAGUUUCACUGCAUUCUUGAAGAAAAACAUCUUUUCUUGAUUUGGCACUUUGCGUUCUAUUAUUAGUGAUGGUGGGUCCUACUUCUGCAAUCAUCUACUUAAGGCCUUGCUAAAAUAAAAUUAUGUGAAGCAUAAAGUGGCAACAACUUACCAUCCUCAGAUGAGUGAGCAGGUUGAGGUCUCCAAUCAUAAGAUCAAGUCCAUAUUGGCAAAGAAUAUGAACGCCAAUAGGACGAACUAGUUAAGGAAGUUAGAUGAUGCUCUUUGGGCUUACUGGACAGCUUUUAAAACCACCAUAGGUGCCUCUCCAUAUCAUAUUAUGUACGACAUCACAUGCUACUUGCCUAUUAAAUUUGAGAACAAGUUAGUAUAGGCUUUAAAAAAGCUCAAUUUAGAGUAAAGUGAUGUAGCAAAUUUGAUGUUGAGCAAGGUGAAUGAGUUAGAUGAAUUUUGGCUUCGGGAUUUGAGAGAUCUACUUUGUACAAGGAGAAGAUAAAGCUGUAUCAUGAUAAAAAGUUGAGAAAAGAGUAUUUGAUCGUGAUUACAUGGUCCUAUUGUAUAAUUUAAGACUUUUCUUGUGUCCUGGAAUGUUGACGUCUAGGUGGUAUGGACCAUUCACUAUGAUUAGUUUGUUAUCAAAUAGUAGUAUUGAGUUGAAAUGAAUGGCGAGCCAUAUUUAAGGUGAAUGAGAAGCGCGUUAAACACUGUAUUGGAAAUACUAAAGAAGUGAAAGUUUGUGUUGAUGUAAGACUUGGCAAAGUCUGAGUAGUUAAGGGAAUCGAGUCGUGCUGUGAUGUUAAAUCAAGCGCUUUCUAGGAGGCAAACCAUGGGCUUGUUGGUGAAGUAUAAGUAUCCAACACUGUCAAAUUAUGCUGUGAUGUUAAAUUAAGCCCUAGUUAGGAGGCAACAAAAUUUCUAGUGUUCACUUUAUUUUUAUUUUAAUAGGUUUAAAGGUUGGGACAAUAGUUGGAACAUGGUAAAAAUAAAAAAAUUUAGAAAACUCUAGGUAAGGGGACUUACUGACCUACUUAUGGGGGUCAUAAGUCCAACCUAAGCUAGGUAAGUGAUGCAGUAGAUGUUAGAGUGAAGAUUUAAGAAUUGUAGGGCCUUUGAAUUUUUACUCAGAAACCCACUUAAGGUGGUUGGAAGUACCACUCUAGACCCCGUAAGUGGGGUCAUUGAAAUCGAAGUCAAGAUUCAGAGGAUUAUAGGAUUUUUAGGUCACUUACGGUGGCCCAGUAAAUACCAUUUGGGGGUCGUAACUGGCCCCGUAAGUGGACUAAUACUCUAAGGGAUGGAAUUUUAAAAUCUAGAUUUGACACAAGUGGAUAUGACUCGAUCUGGCACACCAUCAACCAUGAAACCCCCAAACCCAAUCCAUAUUCCCCAUUUUCCUAGAUUUUGUAACUUCCCACCUUAAUUAAAACUCUCCAACUCCCUUUUGUCACUAUAAAGCAAAUAACCACUCAUAUUUUCUCUCACUUCCACACGCAGGGCACAUAAAGCUAGAGUUUUCAUCAGCCUUAAUUACUUUCUACUUCAAUCAUCUGCCACUAAGGUAGUAUUCUUGGCACCUACAGGUUAAAAAUUUUAUUAUUAGAAAAAACUUGAGUUGGUACUUAAAUAAUCCUAAUAUUUGAGUGAAUCUAUUAAGUCUUGAUAGUUUGGAGCCUAGAAUGGUUAAAAUGUAAACUUGUUGCAUUGUUCUUGACUGGGAAACCUAUGAUCAUGUCUUUAUGAAAGUAGAAGUUAAAUAAGUAGAUUAUAAUCUAAAAUUCUUAUGUAAAACCUAUUAAUUUUAACUUGAUAUAUGUUGUUGUGUAUGAAGCUGGACUUAAAAAUGCAACAUACCCUGUGUGGGAUAAAUUUUUUUGGGAAAAUCUUAAGUACCCAUAGCAGAGUACCUACACCGCUACUUAUGAGCCACAUAAAUGGAACUUACGGACCAUAGGUGGGGUCGUAGGUAUCCCGCCUUAGGUGUUUUGAUUUCUUUCAAAACAUUUUGUUCCCUUUUUCUUUUUUAAGCACUAACAACUACUUUUUCAGGUAUAAUGACACCUAAAGUAGCCAGAAAAAGAGAGUUUAAUCAAGGAUCCAUGAUAAGUCCCUAGACUAGAGUGGCUCUAUAGAAAAGUACCAUAUUAGCACAAACAAUACUUUAGUGGCCCCACGAUAAUCUAAGGGUUGAUCUUUGAGAUAGAUUGCAGCUGUAAUAGUUGUGUCCAUAUUGGUCACCCAGCCUACCCAACACCAAAUUAAUUAAGGAUUUAUCCCACACUAACACAGAAUGAGGCCUAGAUAACAACAGUUAGACCUGUUCCUAGAUUGAGGAUGAAGAUGACCCAAAACUUACCACUACACUCUCCCUAAUACAAGGAGUGAGAGUGUUAUUUUGAAUAUGGUUUAGAGAAUGAGGUAGAUUUAUAGUUUGGGUAUAGAUAGGAGUUUGAGUCUAGAUUAGCAUCAGGGUCUGUAGAAGAGAAGAAGGCUCUUGGCUCUUAAUUAGAGGAGGGGUUAAAGAAAGCAUCAGGAUCAGUGAGUGAUUCACAUCGAUUGCACCAUAGCCUAAGGAGGGUGUAUUCCAGUGGCUUCAAUAGAUUUCAUUGUCUUUAACAUAAUAUGAUCUAUCGAUAUCACAGGACACCCAACCUUUUAUUCCACCACUGAACCCAGGGUGUGACUUUAGAUACGUAUUGGAUAUGACUAUAAUUAAGAUAAACUUGAGGUGGUGUGUAGAGGGUAUGAAGCAUAUCUUUGAUAUAGAUAGCCUCAUUAAAAAGAAGAGUCAGCCUAAGAGGAAUAUUGUAGUUGAGAGAAGGAUUGAUCUGAUGGGGUUAGUAGGGGCACCAGACCUGCAAACCUCUUUUGACCCUUAUCGAUUAGGGUGGAUAAGUCAUCCCCAAGGAUCAUAUAUCCUGGCAAUAGAUUAGGAGUUUUAUGCCUCUUACACUUCCAUGAUCUAUUUGAUUACUCAACAUGAGGGUAGAAGUAUAGAGUAGCCCUAGGUGGAUCAUAAAUUAGUUUGAGGGGUCAGAGUAAACAUUUAUGUGGAGGCCAUCUAUAAGGUACUAUCUGGGAUAGACUAUGUGGCAUCAAUAUCAAUGAUAAUAUUUCAUUUUAGAAUGAGAAUAGUAUGGGAUAGACACGCUAUGAGAAAUAUAGAUUACAGAUAAUAGAGGCUUGACUUGGCUUAUUGGAUAGCUAUCCGUAUUUAUGAUUUGGGCAUUGAUGACCCCUAGAAAAAAGGAAAAGUGGAGAUAAAGAAGUCAACACUGUAUUUUGCAACAAAAUUUUAGAUUAACAUGGUGUGCUUCAGGCUGAGUUUGAGUACAUCAAACAAUAUACUUACAUGAAAGAGAGAUACAUUGGUUUCCAUCCUACUUACUAGAUAUGAUGUUGAUUUUACGCCAUUAAACCAAUUGAAGAUUCAUGUUAGAGCAUUUAAUAAGGCCAUGACUCUCCUUUUCCUUGUCUUAUCUAGAAGUUAUGUGAUGCGACUGAAGAACUAAAUAUUCAUGAUUUUGAUCAUAGAAUAGAGGUGACAAGCACUAGAAAUAUUAGUUUGAUCAAGGAUCUAGCAAACCCAAUCCUUGUAUAGAGAGUGAAACCACCCCUACUGCUGUUUUGGUCCAUUUUGAGGGACCUUCAAUUUUUAUUGAUCUUGUUGAGAGGUUAGACAUUGGUGUUGAUAUUGAGAUAAGAGAGUAGAGAGCUUAGCUAAAAAAAAAAAAGGAAAGGGCCCCAACUGUAUCUAUGUCAGCCCCAACUUUUACUUCUAAGCCGUAUGAGGUAUCUAUUUUUCCUUCUUGACCCAAAUUUGUUGGUUUGGUUAGUGUGCCACAUGAGUUUCUUUAGCGCAUGGUUAAAUAGAAAGACAAGGUAAUAACAUGCAUCACUCAGAUCGAGUCUCACUUGGCAGCAUUAUUUUGAUGGAUUUGAUCUUUGGUUCGGACUACACUUGAGAUUAUUAAGGCUUAAUUUGAGGAAAGGAUGAGGGAAGAUAUGGUAGAGAUUAUUCAAGAUUUGCAUGCUCUGAUUGAUGUUUUUGAGGGCUGGGGGAAUGCAUAAUUUAGAGAGGUUCAUGCUCCAUAUUUUUGUAGGAUUUGAGAGAAGAUGCCACACUAUAUACGUGAGGUAUGCUCUUUUACAGAGAGCCAAAUUAUGGUCAUUCCCCUUAUCAUCCCCUUGUUUGCACAACCAUUACCUCCACGACCAUUUAUAUUGUUUGAUUUAUUUUUUAAAGAGGAUACAAUCCUGACUGUUAGAGAUAACAGAGGCCAAGAGGUGGAGGUACAAUACCCCAGCAUACACUUUAAUUAGGCCUUGAAAAUAGCCACCCGUGAUUCCAGGGUGUCUUCAAUAAUUGAUGCAUAGAGACAAGCUGAGAUAGUAGUGAGCGCGUCUUAUAGUCGUGCCCCACCACCAUUUUUGCAUAAUGAUCCAUGAGAUGCAUAGAUUGGGGUGAGUCUGCUACAGAAACCUAGAUCAUCCCAAGUAUGUACUAAUUCCCUUAUUUUAUCUUGUAGUUAUGCACUGGGGAUAGUGCACAUCCUUUGGUUGGGAAGGGGGUGUACCACGAUCGAGGGUUUUUCUUACAAUGUUUGUUUUCCUAUUGGCUGUGCUAUUAUAAUAGAACUGGCAUGUUUAGGUCAUUUUGUGUUUGUGUCAUACAUGUUUUAUAUUUUGUUUGUAUUUAACUAUGAUAAAAAGAAGUGACCAAAGGGCAGUUGAUAUAUUUUAUUUACUUUAAAGUGUUUUGAGAAUAAUGAUGCCCCUCCAAAAAGUUUUUAUGAAUUGUGUGAUAUGAUUGUAUGUGUGACCGUUGGGAUCAUGUUAUGGUAUUAGGAUUAGGGACAACAAUUAUAUCUUAGCAUUUACAUGAACUGGAUAGGUAGUAGUUGGUAAUACAACCCUAUAUUAUGUGUGUGAGAUGCUUACCUAAUUCUCGUUGUGCAUUUAAUCCAGAACAUACUCGGUUAGUCUUGCCUAGGUUGUAGUAUAGUUGGUUAGGACAUGAUCAUAGGUUGUUUUUAAACUUAGUCCACUCUUAGCCUAAUGACCAACGAAAUGUGAAAAGUAUCCCUCUAUCCCUGAUUUGAGCCUACAUAGACCCAUUUUCUUAUUUUCACCUUUCACUUUCCUAGUUUAGUUACAAUGAGCCUAUGUUAGCCUUGGUCCCUCCUUGGACUUUGUGCACCUCAAUUCAAAAAAAUUUCCUAAGUUAAGCGUGGCUAUCAUAGGGGUGUGUAGUUAGAAUUAGGUAUGAAGAAGGGUUUGAAUAAAAGAAAAAAAAGUUGGGUUGGGUGUGGUAAAAUAAUUAGAAAAUGAGAAAAAAAUAAAAAAAAUUGAAAAAGGAAAGAAUAAAGAGUAAAUAAAACCACACCAACCUGAAUAAGAAAUAAAAGAGAAAGGGGAGAAACAAAAGAAAACAAUUACGAUUGGGAAGUAGACCCCAAAAGUAAUUGUAGUGUCAAGAAAGGUUAGUCUCAAGUUCAUAAAUGUACCAUACCAACCCCUAAGCCUGAUCCUAGUCCUACUGUUUGAGAAAUUAAGGUAAGUAAAAUAUGGGCAAGCCUAUGAUAUUCUAUUCACAUUUAUUGGAACUUCUUUAUGAGUUUUAGUGUAUCAACAUUAUCCCCGCAUUGACAUGUAUGAUCAUACUUUAAAAGUAGGAUUUCUUUGUUGUGAGGGUAUAUGGUUUGUGUUGCUGGCUGAUUACCUUUUCAGGUAAUGUAACUUGUAUACUUUCUUAGUUGUUUGUCGCUAAUGUAAUUCCAUAGCUUGAUUCCUUUGUAUCACAUUAUUGUGCACAUAGAUCCACAUAGUAGUUUUGAAAAGUUGGAAAUAGGAGUGGGUAAUGUGUUUUGAGCUGAAAUUGAGUUGACUACCACAGGUACCUUAGGUUUCUCUUGGUUAAGCAUUGACGUAUUAUUUUGUUAUGUGUUUAUUUACCAAGGACAUGCAAAUGUUCUAAGUCAAGGGUGUUAAUGGGCUAGGGUUUCAUGGAACUUUCAAUACUUAAAACUUAAAAAUACGCAAGUACUUAGGUCUAUUUUAUUAUAUAUGAUGUGUUUCUAUGUUUAUUUUGUAGGAAACUAGGUUUUGGAGCCUUAAAGAAUAAAAAGCGUCGAAGUGUGUAGAAGUCCUUACUUAUGAUACAUAAGUUCCACAUACAUUCACCAUAAGUGGCCUUGUAAGUAUUAGAGGAGGUAUGAUAUGAGAAGAUGAAUGCUGAAGAUUGUUAUGACAUUGAUAGAGGGUUACAAUGCGUAAGUACCACUUAUGCCAACAUAAGUGCCAACAUUAGAAUCAAAGAAAAUUAUUUGGAGAAGAUUGAAGUCUGAAGAAUGGUCUGAGAAGGAUGAAGGGGAUACUUAUGCAGAAUAAGUACCACUUAUACCACCAUAAGUGCCAUCAUAAGUAGCAUGCUGCAACUCUAAAGAUUUUCUAAAACUUACGACCCACCUAGGGGCCCGUAAGUACUACUUACGACCCAUAAGUGAGUCCGUAAGUGGUCACCAUCCCAAUUUUCCUUAUUCAUUCUAGUUAGGAUUUUAUGGUAUUGAUGUAUUCUAUAAAUACCCCUUUGAUGUUUCUAUAUUAGUUUACAUACUCUUUACAUUCACAAACAUAUAUUGAUUUUAAGAUUUGACUUUUGAUCUUUCAUUCAUAAACAAAAUCUGUGUUUGCUUCUUAAAUUAUUCCAAGAUUAAUCUUAUGCUUUCUUUGAUGAACCCUAAGGAUAUUCUUACAAACAUCAGAGGCUAAGCCACCUACCUAGGAUUGUGGGAACCUUGCAGAAUAAAAAAGUAGAGAAAGUGUGAGGACCUAAAUUAGUAUUUUAUGCAUGUAUUGUGAUCUUUUUCUAUUUGUUUUCUUUCUUAGCUACUACGGAGGUUAAGAACUUACCUGUAUUCGAGAUCAUCUUUACAAGAGAGGUUGAGAUUAGAAAAUAAGAUUGCAAUCAUAAUUCAAGGCUACAAACCCUCAUCUAAUUAAAUUGACACUCAAAAGGACAUAGUUAAUCUAGGAUUAAGGAUAAGGAUUAGUAAGGCAAUACUCUGAGAUGAUAAUGUGAAGAGUGAAAUUUACAAAAGUCAUUCAAAGGAUGGUUCAUAAUAUAUAUCUUGUUAAAUUUUUCAUGCAGAGCAUUAAGAUAGUCUAAUUAAUCAUGAUAAGUCUACGGAGUUAGAAAGCCAGGGGAACACAAUCCCAGUAUUCAUCUCAAAUUGACUUUAACCAAAGCAACCAACAUUUGUUACUAAUUAAUACUGUUCUCACCAAAACACCCUAUUUACUAUCCUGCAUUUUUUUUGGCUACUUCAGUAAAUUUGUGAGAGAUUUACAGCUUAUUCCCUGUGUGUUUUACCCCAACCUCUGUGGGGUUAUUAUACUUGACAAUGACUGCAUUGUGAUUUUUUUGGAGGUAUAUCUUGGGAGACAUCGAUUCCAUUAUGGAUUUUUAAUGGAUCAACUUCAGUACUUCAAGGUUAGUGUGAUUGAGUUGCACGCGCAGGACUCGGGUGACUCUUCGCUUGGUUUAGAAUGUUUAGUAGUUUUGGAAAGGCAAAAGAAGGUUAUAUUUUUAUUUAUAGUUGGUUGCAUCACUCAUGCUUGGUUUGCCUUUAACUUGGAUUAUUUUCAUUUGAUUAUGUUGGUAUCAGUGUGGUAUUAGUAUGUUGUGGUUUAGAUUUGCGUGCAUCAACCUUCCUCAAUUCAGUUGGAGGCUAGUUGGUAGUUGAGGUUAAGUUUUGAUUGUUUGAGAAGUGAUGAAAUAAAGUUGGUUGAAAAAGGUAUACCUAUGGUAAAGUCCCUUGGAAGUGUCGUGUUUUCUUGGAGGUUAUCUACGAAGUCGUACUUAGAGCAUGCGGGCCCAGUACCUCGUACCUUUGAGCUUUUAUGAUCUUUUUAUCCAUUGACUUUUGCAGAUGAAAGUCUUUUUCGUAGUCGAUAGUGUAAUAACUCUCUAGGUCAUUUCCUUGAUUCAUAUGCAUUUUUGACAUUUUUAGCUUUCCUAUAGUGGCAACAUGUCAUUUAUGAAUUGCCAAAACUAUCGACUUGGUUAAGGGAUAGUCCAUUUGGAUUUUAGGCUAAUUUCCGUAUUAAGGAGUUAUUGCAAUUUAGGAUUUGGUAUCGGUGAAUAAUUUAUUGUACAUAACCUUGGAUAAGAAUUCUGAAAAUGCCAUCAACUUUGAAAUGUUGAUUUUAUACCGGGGGAUCCUUGGUUCAGGUCCCUAGGCUAUCAAACUCGUUUUGGCCUAUUGGGCAAAUUAUAUUAAAAAUAGAACUAUAGGUGUGGUCCUCAUAAUUCUUUUAAAUAAUCUCGGGUGAAAGUUUUGAUGAUUCUAUUGAGUUCGAGAUAUCAAAUUUGGUAUGGUAGCAUAGUGUGUUUGCAUGCACGGGGUUCCAAUCAAAUCCAAGGCACUCCGUCGAAGUCCAUUCUGGACUUUGCAAAAUUUGGUGCAUGCCACUUGAUAGGACGGCUUAAGUACCUAUUGGGUCACUUUAGUGUUCAGUAAUAUAGCUCCCAGAGUCCACUGUAGUGACCAGGCCCUUUUUCGGUAGUGCGCUUUAGCGGCAUCCGCUGCUAUUGCCAGACCACUUUAGCGAUCAUGUUGUCACUUUAGCGCUAGGCACUUUAGGACACCAGAUGUCUGCUUCAAUGACACCUGUAGCUUUUUUGUUCCAUUUUCUCCAUCUGAUUUUCUACCGUUCCUUCUACUAUCUUUACACAAAAUUGAGAGCUGAAAGAGUAGAAAAAAUUUGAAAAUCAUCCAUAUAAGUUGAGGUAAGCUAAUCUAGCUCUUCUUGGUCAUUCCCAUUGAUGUUUCCUUAGAUUUUCAUUCUAAUUCUUGGUAAAAUCCUUAGAAAUUAGGUCUUAAAUUCCUUAAUUUUGAGGGUUUAGAGACUCGAUUUGUUCCCCAUUUGUGCUCAACUUUUGAGCACACAUUUCUUGUUUUUUGAGGGACCUCGUGACAGGUUUAAUUUUGAAUUCUAUUUGUGGGCCCCACAAGCUGUUCUUGAUCAAAAUUUUUCACCCAACCCUUAAUAUAGCAAUAUGGGUCUUGUUUUUUUUCCUAACUACGUUUAGAAUACUAUUUUGAUAACAUGACGAUAUUUGUGAUUGUGGACUAACGAUGGAUAAUUCAUGGACAAUUUAAGGGUUGUGAUUCGACAUUGAGGUUGACUUUUCUCUCCUCUUCUUCUUGAUAUGGUGUAUUAUAUAUGUUACAUGUUAGAUAGGGGUUUUAGGAUAUGAUUAUGGUCGAACCCCGUGACCUAGCCUACAUUCUGAGUUUGGGGGAUAGAAGGGUAUUUGACCCUUAAGCUGAAAUACUUAUUAUACUUCUAUAAUCCUAUUACCUUCUUUAUAUAUAGAGAUAAUUCGUAGUAUGAUUAUGAUAUUAUUCUAUAUAUGGAAUGGGAUUUAGGUCUUGGAAGAAGGAUUAGUCUUAUUUAGACUGUUUAGACUAUCUUAGAACAGUAAUUUAGGUGGAAUUUGACUUAGUUGCUCAUGUUCUAGGUGGAAUUUCUAUCUUAGGACUAAUUACGGAUUAUUUAAUAUCUAGAAGUGAAUUAAGGUACCGUAGCCUAUCCCGGGUAGAAGCUUGUCUAAAAUAAAUUUUGAUAAUUUAAACGUGGGCCCCUUCAUCCCACCUUAGGCCAUGACUUAUGUUAUCUUUGUAGACUUAUGUUCAUAUGAUGGCCUAUUAGACAUAGAUGAGAUUAACGAUCUUCUAGUAUAAGGUUGCUAUGUGACUUGGUAGAUUGUAAUGAUUUUCCCCCGAAUUAUGAUGUUUUGGUUAUUUUGGAUAUAAUAUUGGGUCUAAGACCAUGAUUAUGAUUCUAUGGUUAUGCUAGAUAUAUAUUGGUCCUAAGUUCGUGAUUUUGAUAUUGGUUAGAUUUUGGGAAUUAUUCUAUCAUUGUAAAGGAAGAGGUCGUAGUUUAUAGACAUAUAUAAUUCUUAUAAUCAUAUUAUUUGAAUGCUGGUGAUGGCAUGUAUAGAUUCGGUACAAUCAUGAUCAUUUAGACGGUAAAUGGUGUGAAUUCGACUAAAAUAUGGUUUUAUUACUCUUUUCCUAAAAAGGGAUUUAUUCCUACUUUUCUCUUUUAAAAAAAAUUUCUUCAUAACAGGAAUCGUUCCAUCUUAAUGAACAACUCACGAGCCUUUGAGCUUAAAAAUAAUGUUUUAGCGAUUUGACUGAGAUUGAUGUUGAUCAAUGAUUUUUCUACUACGAUUUACCUUGGUCUAGAGUGAUUUCGACCCUUUCCAUACUUUUAUGAUGAUUUAGUCCUGUAGUUUACCCCAGACAAUAGAUUUACGGACUUAUAGUCUUUUAGCCACGGUCCUAGCCGUGCAUUAUACAUACAUACAUACAUAUAUCCAUAUAUAUAUACAUACAUACAUAUAUAUGUAUAUAUAUGUAUAUAUAUAUGUAUAUAUAUAUGUAUACAUAUAUAUAUGUAUAUACAACAACAACAACAACAUACCUAGUGUAUUCCCACUUAGUGGGGUCUG